UUAGUCUUUAUUUAAAAGGGGAAAUUAUAAAAAAUUCUCCUCGUUCCCUAAAAAUCUAGGGUUUCUCAAGAAUCGCUAAACCUAGAUCCCAAUCCUUCAAAAUCUCAAUUUAACCUCUCUAGGGUUUCAAUUGUCAAGGAUUCGCUUCAAAAUUUAGUAUUUUUUUAGGGGAUUUUGCUUGUCUCGUAUCCUUCAAUUGUUGUUCGGUUCUGAAAAUAAUUUGGAAUUUUAGGGAUUUUCAGAUUAUUUGGUUUUGCUUGAGUGCAUUUUCCUCUAGUUACGGUUUCAGUUUGAAGGGUUAAGUGCGAUUUCGAAUAUUGUUAUAAAAUUUAAAUUAAAAUUCAUAAAACGAUUGGGCGUUUAAUAAUUAAUUGAUGGCUAGCGAUACUACAACGGCGGCCGCAGCUGCGGAAGAAGCAGAGGCGGUGGAGGAGUAUGAUAGCGAUCCAGAUGAAGUGAAACGCUCUCUUGCGAUGCGCAGAAGGGAAGCCAGCGAUGAGGAGGUUGAGGAGGAUAAAGAUUCAGAGCUUCCAAUAGUUCAAAGUGUCCACAUUCCUGCAGGAGAAGCCGAGGCUGUGGAUGAGUAUGAGAGCGAUCCAGAUGAAGUGAAACACUCUCUCGUGAUGCGGAGAAGGGAAACAAGCGAUGAUGAGGAGGAGGAUAAAGAAUUUGAGCAUCGAACAAAUCGUAGGGUCCACAUUCACUCUUACAUUGAAUCUGCUGGCCAAGGUGGUGCUCCAGCUGAGUAUGAUGAUGAUGAUGAUGAAGAAGAGGAACAUGACAGAGAAUUGGAGGAAGAAGAAGAAGAUGAAGAAGGGGAUGUUUAUGAGGCCGUAGAGGAAGAAGAAGUUUAUGAAGAAGAGGAGAGGAAUGAUGGGGCGGUUAAAGUCAAAGGAAUAGAGGGUAAUGAUGCAUGAGGAGUACGGAGGGUGCAGUGGAAGUGAGUAAAGGGAAUAAUGAUAAUGGCAAUGGUGCUAAAAGAAUGAUGCAGCAGAGGAGGGAAUGGAGGAAGAGAAGAAGGAGAGUAAUGAGCCUUUUGCACAGCAACUGGGGCUUUUUAUAUGGGACAAUGUUGCAGGUCGACACAGGUAUUAUUUGAUUUGAGUGACAAUUUAUAAAUAGCUAAUAGCUGUACUUUCAUUAGGGCUUGUCAAUUAAUCCAGUCUUGUUUUUUGGUGCUGUAUAAUGAUUGUUUGCUGGAAUCUGUGUAGAAGGCUUUUGGCCUAGUAGGUUGAAAGGAGGGAAAGUUCUCAAAUAAACAUCUGUGCUUUGCGGAAUAUAAUUAAUAGGUACAAAGCAUACUAAAUUACUUGACUGAUAGAUGCCGAGCUAAUCAUGAGCUAUGAUAGCAUUAUCCGUGCUUUGUGUAUUUUUAACAGGGCUUGUCUAUUUCAAAGUGUGUAGUGUAGAAUUUUUGGGUUUAGUUUGAGUGAUGAAGUGUUAGAUAGGUUUCUGUUUGGCAUAGUUAAGUGGUUAAUACGAGCUAUUGAAGCAAAUAUGGAGUAGGAUAUCUAGUUUUGGGUUUGGUCUUAGUUUGAAGAUGGCUACUGAUUAUGCAGCUAGGUACGUAUUAGUGUUUGUGGAUUGCUAAAUGCUUUCUGUCAAAUGUGACUAGAUUAUUACUUGAAGUGCAUGGAUCUUACACUUAAUUAAUUAUAUAUCCAUUUGUAAUGUUCAAAAUGAUCAUGUACUAUUGCUUAAAAUUAUGUUUUCAAGACAUCAUUUUGAAUCCAUGGUUGUAAUGUGUCUCUAAAUUCAGUAAUACAAGUUCUGUCAAUUGCUGUCGGAUGCAGUGACUUGAAUAGUUUAAUAUUCAUUUGCAGAAAAAAUUUGAGAAAGAAAACUAAAAAUUUCUGUGCGUUCUGCUGGAAAUUUAAUUAGCUUCAUUUGAGCAUUAAUUGCUGGCAUUAUCUCUUAGAUUUCUCUUGCAUUGAAUGAAUGGAUGAGUGCUAAUCCAUGCAAAGACUUCCAUGCAUACACAAUGAAUGCUUCAUCAAAGGUAUGGUAAAAUGUCAACACGCUUUGCCCAAAUUAUCAAGCUGGUGUGGUGGCUGCUAGAUUUGUUCAUCCGGAUUUUGGACCAUUUUCAUUGACAAUGAGAAAAGCUGCAAGAUCUGUAAAUCGGAAACUCAUUAAAGUGCCAAAAGAGAGAUGGAAUUGAAUAACUAGAGAGUUAGUGAAAAGAGGGUGCAGUGAUUGUGUGGGAAGCUUUGGGUAUACUUGGGGUUUGGAUGUGAGAUAAAAUAAUUUGAGAGAGAGGUUGUAUCAAUUUUUUGGUAAUAGAGUUUUUCAGGUAACUCUUGUGUUGUGUGAUUGGAGUAUUCUCUAUUGUAUUUUUUUAUUUGUUAUUUAUUUGACGUAUUGCUAGCGGAGAUCUUUGUCAAUUGUUUUAAACUCUAUUUCGAACAGAGCAUGAAGGGAUUCACUUAUCUGAUUAUGUCUUUUAUGCUUUAACUUCACUUGAUUUCAUCUUGUUUGUCACUUUUAAUAAAGUUGUAUAUGUUGGAGUAUUAGGUUCAUCACAGGGAUCAUAUUACGGCUAAGGAAGGGGCACAGUUUAUCAGCUGCACUCAAGUGUAGCAGAGUAUUUGGAUUCAAGACUGUUCGAAGGUUGUUACAAUGCAAGGCUGUUGCUGUGUAACUGUAUGCCAUUCUCGCAAGUGCACUCUUAACAGAUUGCUGAGCUGGCACCGGAUGUUUUUAGCUAAUAUUAGUUAUUGGUCUAGAGUGUUCUGAUUUAUUCUAUAAGUAGCUCAUUUGAGCUUAGAACCUUUAUAGUGUAUCAUACGUUUCCGUUACUUCUAAUAAUGAUUUUCUCUAUUCUUUUUUCUUUCACUUUCUCUUCCAUUUUCAUGAUCCCCAAACACCAUCAAUCCAUGAUUUUCUAGAGUAUUAGUUGUCUAUUUCUACAAACAAAGAAUUGUUGUUUUAAGAAACAAAGUACUCUGUCCUGUCACCCGCGGUCUCCUUGUUUAUCGACUUGUGAAUGGGGCUAAAUAAACGGCAAAUAAGAUAUUGGGUCAAUGGGUCUAACGUGACAAAAUAUUGAAUUAUUGCCCUUUUCUUUUCUCCACAAAUCUUUGGUUAAUUUUUAGGUUCCAUCAACUUUGUUCCCCUUUAGCACUAAAAUUCAUUUUUGAUACUUUAUGCAAAAAUUAUGAUGCAAAUGAGUCACUUUAGAACAUUAAUAAAUUUUUAUUUUUACAUCCAAGAUAACGACAGUUACACUUAUAUCACUCUCAUUUAGUUGAAUUAUAUAGGUAAUAAAGUUGGCUUAACAAAAUAUGAUUCUCAACUGUUGUCAUUAAGGGCUAGUAUUCUUUGGUUUUAGUUGUAGGGCUUAUAAUGCCGUGGCUCAGUUCUUGGUGGGUUUGAAUUAUUAGACGAUCAUUCUCAAUCCUUUACUAUUCGUAAUAAAAAAUUCCUAUAUCACAAUUAGAACUUACAAACAAGUCAAAGUGGGUUAAAUCAUAUGUAUAAAUUCGAGGUCUAUUACAAACUUUUAAAAAAGAUUUUCUCUGUUUUUUUUUUUCUCUUUCACCUUCUCUUCCAUUUUCUCAAUCCCCAAACACCACCAAUCCCUGAUUUUUUGAGUAUUAGCUGUCUGUUUCUACAAACAAGUUCUUGAAUUGAAUGGCUCCUCUUUUAUCCAUAGAUCUUUGCUUAAUAUUUUUGUUCCCUCAACCUUUUUCGGCCCUUGGCUCUAAAAUUCUUUUUUGAUACAUUACGCAAAAAUUAUGAUGAAAAUAAGUUACUUUAGAACAUCAAUAAAAUUUUAUUACAUCUAAGAUAAGACAAUUAUGCUUAGAUUACUCUUAUUUAGUUGAAUUAUAUGUAAGAAAAUUAGUUCAAUAAAAUCUAAUCCGUAAAUAUUCCUUAUCACAUGAUUAACGUACUUAAAAAUUCUUAACUGAUCGGUCGCUUGUUUUACAAUUCUUUUAUAUAUCUUUGAAACUUUCAGCUUCCCAACACAUCAUAUUGUUCUCAAUUCGUCUAAUUUUUUUUUUUCAAACACUGCAACAACAACCAGUAUAAAAUAGUAUAAACUCAUUUAAUGGAAAUUUUCCUAGAUGCUUUCAUGGCAGAAUCUCAUUGGUCUAUUUCUCUUCGCACCUUAAGGUUCCUCUAACAAAACUACCUCUUAACUCUCAUGUCCGAAUUUAAACUUAAAAGAUGUUCCCCGUCCCACGUGUCCCCAAAUCUUUGUAUUUCCAAACAAACCCCUGCCAACUAAGUCAACUGAUAGGAUGGCUUUUAUUACAAACUGUAUGAACGUUAUGGCCAUGGGACAUUGGAUAAAACUAAUGGAAUGUAAAGCAAAAUUACCGAUUAAACUAAAUUGAAAAUCCAACCAAUUGAAUCGGUUCAGUGUCACACAAAAUAUGUGUGUGUAUGUGUAAAACAACACAAUUAUCAUAUUAAUGAGGCAUUGUUAAAUUCAUUCAGUGAAUAUUUUUCUUUUUCAUUUUCAAUGAAUACUUAAUAUGACAAACAAUCUGUCCCAUUGAGCACUUUUUAAGUCAUUCAAUGAAAAUGAAUACUUCUAUAACAAAACAAUAAUUCCUUAUUUAUUUGACACGCAAAGAACUUUCUUGCUCAGCUCAGCGGCUAAUCCUUUAAAAUUUGUUAAAAUUCAGUUAAUUGAUGAACUAGACAUAACCCAAUAAAUCGUUUAAUUUGUAUAAUUGAUAAAAAUUUGAACUUCAAAUAAAAUGGAUAGAAUGAUUAAUUUUUUUCAUAUUUAGAUAAUUAAUAUAUGUCAUGUUACUAUGAGUAAAAGAAUGAAGUGUAUGAUAGAAAACAUAAUGUUUAUGUUUGUAUUAAAAAUUUUAAGUGCAAAUCUAUUUAGUGUAGGUUAGACAUAAAAAUAGUUACCAACUUGUCUUGUUUCUCAUUUUGUUUAAUUUUCCUAAUUUGAAUAACUAUUAAUUAUGAGUCAAGGGUUUAUUGCGAAAAUAUGGUCUUCCAUUUACUAUGCAAAGAUUAGUGUGAUUUAAUUAUUUUUCUUUUUGCUUGGUGUCUGUAAAAUUAUGAAUACUUUGGUAAAUAAGAUAAUUAUAAAUACCAUUUUGAAAAUUCAUGGCCAUGGUUGUGAUGUAUCUUUAUCAAUCAUGGAUACAAAAAUUAAUCAAAAUUAUCGAUUGUUUUAAAUUCUGUUUUUAACAUAGCAUGAAGAUGUCGCUUAUCUAGAUUUAAUUUUUAUGCUUUCACUUCACUUAAUACAGCUUCUUCCUCCUUUAAAUGUAUGCCAUGGCGGCAAGUGUAUUGUACAGAUUACUGAGCUGGCACCGAUGACUAAGCUAAUUAUUAGUAAUCAAUCUAGAGCGUACCUGUAAAUACAAUAGGUUGCUUAGGUGGCACCAAUAUACUAACUUUAUGCCAUGUUUCUGGUGUGUCUUCACAAAUUCACCGAUAAAAAUUAAUUUCUACCAAUAUUACCAAAUGAUUGUAUUUUACGUUUCUAUUUACUUGUAAUAAAGAUCUUCAAUUUUAUUGGUUACAAAAUUCUCUAGGAUUGCAUGUACAUUAUACUUUUAUAUACAUAUUUUCUUCUUUCUCAUUCGUUUUCUGGGUGAACAUAUUAUUUUCGUCAUCAUCUCUAUAACAAUGAAGUGAAAAUAGUCCUCAUUUAAAGUAUUGACAGCAAUAUUGUACUCAAUAUAACGUAUAAAGCACGCAUAAUUUAAUUAAUGGGGCAGCUGCUGGUACCUUCUUUAGAAGAGAAUUAUUGCAGCAAGGUUAAUUGGAAGCUCAAAGAGUUUCCGUAUUAGCCGAAUCUAAGCGAUAAGUGUUUCCAUGUGAGCCAUAAUUUGGGAAAAAGACCAAUUCGAGUUAAAGAUCAGAAAACAAACACUGUCAACAAGCAUUAAUGUCAUUUGAUGCAUGAAAGACAAUUAGUCCCAUUUUUUGUCCGUUUAUUUUGCAAGGCUGUUGCCAUGCUGGCAAGUGUGCUGCUAUAACAGAUUGUUGAGAUGGCACCAAAGAUUGUAAACUAAUUAGUACUGGAAAAUCAUGAGUUUGAUGAUGAAGAGGACGAAAAAUAUUAUUUUAUUAUUUAAAAUAAGACUAUCAAUUAUUUCCAUGGUCAUCUUUUUUUUUUAUUAAUUGGCCUAAAUAUUAUAUUUUUUGUCAGGAGUCUUGCAAUGUUGCGUAGCACCGUAAGUAAGAAGAACUAGUGAAACUUUAAAGCAUCAUAAAAUUGUUUCAACAUAAGUAAUUAAUUUGAAAAAUUGCCAAUAAUGUUUAAAGUGGUAACGAAAAGAUUAUACUAUACGAGACACGAUAUUAUUUAAGACAACUUAUAAAUUAUGGGAAAUAUAUCGAUCUUACAAAUAAUAUUUAAUAAGUACAAAUUUCAAAUUAAAUAAUAAAUCCUUAAUUUCCUUUUAAUCAUAAUUAUGAUCUUAAUAAUUAAAGUCAUUCAAUCUUAACCACUUUUUCAUUUUUUUAAACUAUCUAAAUGACAUUGAAAACUCUACUCAAUAGGGGAUUUUUAUUGAAUUGUUUAAUAAUAUACUACUAUCUAAUAAAUCAUUAAUUUCCUUUUAUUCGAAUUUUUUGUUUCAAAAUAAUUGAAAACUGUAAAUGAAACUGCAAUCACAAAUGGCCUAAAAUGGGAUUUUUAUUUUUUAAUAUUGCAAUGACUUUGAUCUUGAUAUUGGAAAUUUAUUUGUAACUUAUACUAAGUCUUCAAUUUUAUCAUAAUUAGUUUCCAAAGAUGCAUUUUCCAAACUGUGUAGUUGUAUUGUAUGAUGAUAUAUUACAUUAGGGUGCAUUGUAUUGACCUGUAAUGCAAUACUAUUUUAUAUUAAUGUUAAAACUAAAUCAACAUUAUUUAAAUUUAUUAAUAUUUUAGGGUUUUAUUAGUAAUAUCUGAAAUUAGGUAUUAAAUAAUUAUUUUUAUAAUAUACAAAUUAUUUAAUAAUAUUCUACUAUUAAAUAAUAAAAUAUUACAAUAUUAUGUUAUAUUAUUAACAAUUAUUCUGUUAUAAUAUAAUUUAUUUUUAUAUAUUAGUUAUUAUAAUUUAUUAUAAUCAUAUUAUAAUAAUAUUAUAUUGUAAAAAUAUAAUACUAUAUAAUUGUAUAAUAUAAUAUGAAUUAAUUUACAAUUUAACAUUAAAUUAUAAAUUUAUUUUAUUUAUUAAUGUCAAAUAUAAUUGUCUAAUUUAAAUUUAGUAUUUUUUUUAAAAUAAACUAUUAAAUAAUUAAAAUGAUUUUAUAUAAUAAAGUAAAAUAAUGUAUUAUUAUUUAUUAAUUAAAUAUUUGGGUUUAUUAAUAUACUAUAUUAAUAAAAAAUAAUGUAUUAUUAUUUAUUAAUUAAAUAUUUGGGUUUAUUAAUAUACUAUAUUAUUAAUUAAAUUAAUGAAUAUUAAUUAAUAAUUUAAAUUUAUUAAAUAAUAAAAGUUAAAUGAUUAUAUUUAAAAUAUAAAUAGUAUUUUAAUGCAAUAAAACCUAAAUCCCACAUGUAUACCACAUUUGUUAUACAGUGUAAUGCAACUAUAAAUUAUAAUUAUAUAAAAAUAAUAUUUUAAUACAAUAUAAUACAAGUAUAAUGCCACUUGAGAAAUUAAUAUUUUAAUGGAACCAAAUUUUGCAUUUGGUUUGUGGGUCUCUCAAAAAAUAAUCAUAAAAACCAAUAUAAUACAAUGAUUCUGUCCUCUUUAAUAUUUUUCUAAAUGCUUCCAUGGCAUAAUCUCAUUGGUCCAUUUUGUUUCACAGCUUAGAUUCAACUUAAGAUUUUCAAUUUAAAGCAAGCUGUGGUCGACUGGCCGUGGCCAAACAAACGUGCCUCAUGGAGUCAUGGUGACUGAAUCAUCUCUUAUGUCAGAAUUUGAACUUAACUACCUUCACUCUUAUUGUAUAAAUAGAGAAGAUGAUGAUUCCUACAAAGCCACGUAAGUCAAGUGAACGUUACGGUCAUGGGACAUUGGAAUUGGAUCAAACCACCGGAAUGUAAAGCAAAAUUAACCGAAUAAACUAAAUUAGAUCCGACCAAUUGAAUCGGUUUAGUGUCACUCAAAAAACAAAUAAAUAUAUAAAACAACACAAUUAUCAUAUUAAUGGGGCACUUUUUUUUUUCAUUUGUAAUGAAUGCUUAAUAUGAAAAACAAUCUGUCCCAUAGAACAUUGUUUAAGUCAUUCAAUGAAAAUGAAUACUUCUAUAAGAAACUAUCAUUCACUUGUUUAUUUGACACGCAAAGAACUUUUUUACUUAGCUCAGCGGCCAAUCCUUUAACAUUUGUUGAAAUUCAGUUAAUUGAUGAAUGUGAAAUAACUCAAUAAAUCGUUUAAUUUGACUGUAAACUAAUUAUUGGUGUACAAUAAUAGAUUGCUUAAGUUAGCUGGCACCAAUCUACUAAUCUUAUGCCAUGUUUCUGAUGUGUCUAUAAAUUCAGUAACACGAAUUAAUUUCUACCAACAUUACCGAAUAAUUUUAUCGAUUUUUAAGCACGUAAACAUACCAGCUUUCUUUCUUUUACUCUCUAUUUCAUGUUUAUUCAAUUUCAAUCUUCUGCAAGUUUUUGGCUGUUUUAUUAGUUACAAAAUUCUCUAGGAUUGCAUGUAGAUUAUGCUUUUACGUGCAUUUUUUUUUCUUUCUCUUUUUUUUUUUGUAAACAUAUUAUUUUAUCAUCUAUCACCAUAGAAUGAAAUGAAAAUAGUUCUCAUUUAAAGUAUUGACAACAAUGUUAUACUCAAUAUAAUGUAUAAAGCACACAUUUAAUAAGGUUCUGUUUGGGAUUGGGGUGCUAUAACUUUUAAGUUACAGCUGCUGUGGAAAAAAAUUGUAACUAUAGAACAAAAGUUAAUAAUAUAUAGUAAAUAUAAAUUUUAAAUAAUAAUUUUGACAAAAUUAUUAAAGAUAUAAUAGAUUUUCCAUCAUACAAGUGAAAAAUCAUAUUAAGAUAACUUGCAAGUUAUAGCAGCUAGUGUUUACCAAAUAUUCUAGUGCUGUACUUUUUCAGUUACAGCUAUCCAACCUCAAUCCCAAACGCAUCCUAAAUGGGGCUGCUAAUAUCUUCUUUGAAAGAGAGUUAUCGCAGCCACGUAAUUAGAAGCUCAAAGGGUUUCCAUAUUAGCCGAACCUAAGUGAUAAGUGUUUCCAUAUGAGCCACAAUUUGGGGAAAAAAACAACUCAAAGUUAAAGAUAAGAAAAGUGUGUCCCGGACGAAUACAAUAAUUCAAGCCACACAUUUAUCAAACGCAUGGCAGAGACGCUUCAACAUGUUGUCUCAUGGAAAGAGAUCCUUCUGUCUUUGGCGUAAUACUUGGGGCAACGUAAAUUGACUUUACAUUAAAACAAAACAAAACAAACACUGUCGACAAACAUUAAUGUAAUGUAGUUAAGAAAAACUUACGUUAAACCGUUCAAUUUAACUUUGAUAAGUGCAAGAGAGGGGUGGGACAGUUGGACUCAUUUGAUGCAUGAAAGACAAUUAGUCCCAUUUUCUGUCUUGUUUACCUGACUUGGGCGAUUUGCCGUCAACUUUUCUCAUCUACGUCAGGUAAUAUGGCUUUUAUUUGAUAUGAAAAAGCCAAUACUUCGAUGAGUGGGACAUCACUGAUUUGUAUAAUUUUCAGGACUAGAAAAUUAUCUCAAUUUCAAAAUAUGUACUUACAAUUAUCGAACAUCACUAAUUCCAACAAUUUAUCCAAAGAUAUUUUUGAGCUUCAAGGAAUGUAACGCUUAUGAUAGAAUGGUCAAGUCUUUCAACUUUUUAGAUAUUUGAUAUAUGCCAUGUUCUAACUUACAAUGAGAAUAAAAUUAUAGUAUAAUUUUUUUAAAUUAGUGGAAUUAUUAAACUCUUUUCUGAAUGGAGCAUUAAAGGACUACUUAUCUAGAUACGUUUUUUAUGCUUUCACUUCGCUUGAGCCUAGAACUUACAACUCGUAUUUUACGUUUCUCUUACUUUCUCUUCUAUUUUCCCGACUCCCAAACACCAACAAUCCUUGAUGUUGUAGAGUAUUGGCUGUCUAGUUCUACAAACAUAAUAAAGAAAACAAGAGACAGCUGCCAUAUAUAUUCCAUAUUAAUUAGUCACCGUCCGAUUGUUUCCACUCCCACUGACUCUGUCGAUUCAUGCUUUGAUGAAGUGAAACGCUUAACGCACUAUUGUGAUGCGGAGGAGAGGAGGAAAAACACAAUUUUAUUAUUGCAAUCCUGACACGCGCAAAGAGCUUUCUUACUCUGCUCGGCGGCUAAUUCUUUAUAAUUUGUUAAAACUCAUUUAAUUGAUGAAUGUGACAUGAAGCUCUAUAAAUAGUUUAAUUUGUAAAAUUGUUAAAAUUUUAAAUUUCAAGUUAAGUAGAUAAAAUGAUUAACUUUUUUCAAUAUUUAGAUAAUUGAUAUACGUCAUUUACUAUGAGUAAAUGGCUGAAAUUUUUCAUAGAAAACACAAUGCUUGAAUUAAAAAUUUUAAGUGCGAAUCCAUUUAUUGUAAGCAGAUGAGUGCGAUUUAAUUAUUUUUCCUUUUGCUUGAUGUCCUGAAAAUUAUGAAUGCUUUGUAGGAUGUAGAAGAUUAAAAUUUUUAAUGCAUAUUUAUAUUGAAAACUGAGUAAACAUAACACUAUUGCUUCUAUAAAUAGAUCAUUUCAACUUAAAACCUGUUACUUGUAUUUUACAUUUCUGUUUCUUAUCAUAAAGAUUUUCUCUGUUUUUUUUUUUUUUGGUUUCACUUUUUCUUCCAUUUUCCCGACCCACAAACACCACCAAUCCUUGAUUCUUUUCCUAGAGUAUUAGCGGUCUAUUGUUACAAACAUAGACAUACUGUUUGUCUAAUUACUAUUAAGAAACAACAUACUCUGUCCUGGGGUCUCUUCGUUUACUGACUUAUGUGACACGUUAAGAAUUAUUUUUCUUUUCAUUAAAAAUGAUAAUGAAAGAAUGCAAAGAGCCCAAGAAAGUACAAUCCAUUAGACACGUUAAGAAUUAUUUUGCUUUUCAUUAAAAAUGAUAAUAAUUUUAAUAAAUUGGAUUGAAUUAAUAAUAUUUGCCUGUGUGAUAUAAAUAAUCGCUUUAGUGUCGCCCCAUCAUUAAUGAGUGACUGUCCGAUUGUCUUCUCUUUCAUUGACUUUGAAACUGUGACUUCUGAGUUGGAUUAAGAAUUGACAAAAAUGUUGUUACCCAUGAAGCACGUAAAAUUAAUUAAUGGGCCACUAAUUCUUCAUCUUAAAAGAAAAUUUUUGCAGGGAGAUUGAAAAAAGACUAAUUCGUAUUAAAGAUCACAAAUGAGUAUCUAUCACAAAUACAAGUCAAGCUACACAAUUGUUCUUGUCAUACUAUUUUAGCAACAACACUUCAACAUCUGUUGUCACAUGGAGGGAAAUCCGCUUUCUCUUUGAUGUAAUAUUUGGCAAAAUACAAUGACUUCUCAUUAAAACAAGCAUUGUCAUAUUGUUGACAAAAACUCACGUUAAAGUGUUCAAUUUAAUUUUGAUAGGUGCGAGAGAAGGAUAGGACCGUCCAAUUAAAUUGCAAGUGGGCAUUCCCACCAUUCUUGUCUCAUGCUUGUUAUAUUUAAAUUUAGAAAUCACACCAUGUCAGUUUGGUGAUGAUGUGAAAUUGUUUCACCAAAAUUUUUAUCUUCAUAAUCUCUGUUAUAGAAAAAAUAUUGGGCGCUCCCAGUGGAUGCUUCUAUUGAGUGGCAGAAUCAGGAUUUUAUUUCGAUGGUGGCCAUAAUAAUUAAACUAUAAACUUAAGUUGGUUGUGAAAUAAAAUCAACGUUGUAAAUACUGCGUCCACAUUUUAUAAAAGUAUUUUUAUUUAAUAAACUAUUAUACCAUAGGAUAUCAAAGUGAAUCCGCAUGAAAUAUGCAUUUAGGUAAUAACUAUCAAAUAUUGAUACAUGUUUGAAAAAACUCUUGAAAAUUGGUUUCUACUUACGUUAUUACAGCUCUUGUAUAAACUAACAUGGCAACAUAUGAUUGGUUAAUAAAAGAAUAAAUAUAUAUCAAGUGGGUUCUACCAUGUUUUUAAUUCAACUAAUGCUACAUCAAUUUGUACAACAGUAUUUAUGACCAUAUCAUUACUCAUUAAUUAAUAGGAACACUAAUUUAUUUUCUUAAAAGAGAAUUCAUCAAUUUGUAUAGUAAUAUUUUAUAAAAAUAUUUGUAACCGUAUCAUUACUCAUUAACUAAUAGACCACUAAUUUAUUCUUCUUAAAAGAUAAAAACUGCAGCGAGGUUGGAGGCUCAGAUUUUCCCAUAUUAGCCAAACAUAAGAGAUAAGAGUUCAUAUGAGACAUAAUUUAGAAAAUCAAUUCCAUGCAAUAGGUCUUAGUGGGUUCGACUCUGUAUACGAUCAUAUUCAAUUUUUUAGCAUCUUGUAAUUAAAGAUUCCUAUAUCACAUUAUAAUUUUCAAACAAAUCGAAGUGAGUCAAAUCAAAUUUAGAAAUUUGAGGUCUACUAUAGACUUUUGACAUAUUAAAUUUAAGACGAUUAAGUAAAUGCUAGACAAAAUCUAACUUGCAAAUUUACCUUACCACAUGAUGAACGUACUUAAAAAUCUUAACUGAUUGCUCACCAAUUAAUUGUUGUUUUACAAUUUUUUUAUAUCCUUUCUUUUCCCUAAAACUUCUGGUUUCCUAACAUCUUGUUCUCAAUAGGUCUAAGUAUAAUAUAAUUUUUUUAAAUAUAAAUAAAUUGAAUUUAUUUAAUGGUCAAGUAUUUGUUUUCUUUAGUUACAGUUUGGUUUGAAUGGUUAAGUUCAAGUUCGAAUUUUCUUUUUGUAAUUUAACUUAAAAUUGAUAGAACAAAUGGGCUGAUCAGUCUGAUGAAGAAGAAGAAGUAAAAGCUAUUAAGCAUUAUCCUAUCACCAUAUCAAAUGGACCGAAUUCAAUCAAAUGAAAUCUAGAAAAUAGAGCAGCUCAUAGAUGUACGUCGCUAAGUGGAGGUUCAUUUGUAAGUACUUGGUCGAAUUGCGACUUGCGCCGGAGGCUUCGUUUUAGAAGAGUGCAGAGCAGCUGCCUUCUCCAUUAGGCAGGCCAACGACUUUCUAUUGACCAAUAAUUUUGAAAGCGAUAUUAUUAAUUUACCAUCUAAUUUUUUUUUAUAUUAUCAUUUUACCAUCAAAAUUUUUUAACAAUUAUUUUUUUCACUUAAUGUUUUAGUUUUUAUUAUUUUACUACCAAAAAUUGGCAAACGCACCCCUAGUGUAGGUUAUCCACAAAAAUGGCUACCGAAUUGUCUUGUUUCUCAUUUUGUUUAAUUUUCAUAAAUUCGACUCACGAUUCAAAUAUGAGUGAAGAGUUUUUUUUGGGAAAAAAUCUGGUCUUCCAUUUACUAGAAUUAGGUAUGUGUGAUUUUAUUAAUUUUCUUUUGCUUGAUAUAUAUCUGGAAAAUUAUGAAUGCUUUGUAGGAUUUAGAAGGAUUUGAAUGUUUGAACGCAUAUAGCUUUCUGUCCAUCAGCUAAUGCAUAUUCUGCAUUUUAUGAAUAUCAGAGCUGGUAGAUUGAAAAAUGGACCUUAUUACAUGUCAUAAGAUACUUUGCUCAAAGCUGCAAUUGGGCAACACCGUGCUGUUCUUAUCGGCCAAUGCAAGCCAUUUACUAUUCUUUCUAAUGGAGCAAAAUAAGAUGAUUCUUACCUGCUUAGAGAAUUAGAAAAGAAAAGGAGGAUUACUGAUCUACAGAGCUGUCAUUUACUAGAAGCACAUAAAUCUUACACUUAAUUCAUUACCCAUCUGUAAUGUUCUAAUGAUACUUAAGUAUUAACUAAAUUAGCCUUUCAAAAUUUCACUUCGAAAAAAUCCAAGGUUGUGAUGUGUCUGUAUAAAUUCGCUAAUAUAAGUUCUCUCUAUUCCCAAUUGUUUUAAACUCUGUUCUGAACAGAGCAUGAAAGGCUAUAUUCGUUUAUCUAGUUAUAUUUUUUAUGCUCUCACUUCACUUGAUUCACCUUCUCCAUCUUUUAAAACAGUUGUAUAUGUCGGAGUAUCAAGUUCAUCACAAGGAUCAUAUUAUGGCCUAAGGAAGGAGCACAGUUCAUUGUCUGCACUCAAGCUUAGCAGAGUAUUUUGGGAUUCAAGAGUGUUAGUAGGCCGUUACAGAUGCCAUGCUGGCAAGCGUGCUAUGACGUAAAAUUGCUAUUUGCAAGUAAAAUUGCCCAAAACAAAUAGAAUGAGAAUACUUGUACAAAAGUACAAGAUUAAUAAAGUGAAUUAAUUUUAUCUUUUAUCUAAUUUCUUCUAAUAAGUAGCUCAUUUGAGCUUAAGACUUGUAUUUUACGUUUUUAUUACUUUCUCUGUUCUUUUUUACUUUCACUUUCUUUUCUAGAGUAUAGCGAUGCAGUUCUACAAACACGAAACUGCUGUUGGUCCAAUUACUUUCAAGAAACAACGUACUCUGUGGUUUAUUGACUUGUGACAUGGGCAAAUUAGUCACGGUCCGAUUGUCUCCUCUUCCACUGACUCUGUCAAUUCACGACUUUGGCACACAGUAGACGCCAGCUGCCUGCCCCAUUUGACGUGCAAAAAUCGAUUGAUUAUUUUGUUUGGUGAUGAUGAGUUAGUUGUCAAUUCAUGAGUUUGAUGCAGUGAAACGCUUAACGCUCUCUUGUGAUGCGCAGGAGAAAAGCCAGCGAUGAUGAAGAGGACGAAAAACAUUAUUUUGUUAUUUACAAUAAGGCUAUCAAUUAUAUAUUCCAAAAUAAUUGGGUUUCGAUGGUCAUUUUGUUUUCUAAAAUAUCCAAAUGGAAUCUUACAGAAUUAGAGUGCUCGACUUCUUUAUACAGAAUUUAUAAAGGGGAAAAAUCAAGAAAUUAAAUACUCUUCAUAUAGUGAGAGGAGAUUCGGUUGCCAUUAUGAGAAAUAAAAGAAAAAUAAAUUAAAAGUACAAUACUUCAAUAAUCUCAUUCCCAAACAUACCGGAAAUAAAAUUUUCUGUAAACAUCUUUAUUUUCUUUGCAUACGAGCCUUCUUUCUUUUGCUUUGGCCUUUGCUCUUGACUAUAUUUCAUGGUCAUAUUCAAUCUAAAUCUUCUGUAGGUUUGCGGCUGUUUUAAGAGUUACGAUAAAUAUGUUAUCUCAAUUUAAAAAAAAAAAUGCAAUCGCAAUUAUCAAACACGACUAAUCCUAACAAUUUAUUCAAAAAUUUGAGUGUCAAGAAAUGUAGUAUUUAUGAUAGCAUGGCUAGUUUCAGAUAAAUGAUAAAUCAAUAUAUGACAUGUUACUAACUUACUUUAGGAAGAAAAUUAUAGAAUAAGUUUUUGAAUUAAUAGAAUUAUUUUACGACAAAACUAUCACAAUCUAAUUUAAAAAUAAAGUUAUUCUUUAAAUUUCUCAUUACUAUUCCUACUUGUCUUGUUAUACUACUUAAUGGCACUAGUGAAGCCUUGAAUUAUCAAACAAAAAGCAAAAACACAUCAACAUCUGUUGUCCCAGUGAGCACUGUUAAAUUCAUACGAUAAAACGAGUCUUUAAUUGACAUAGGCAAUGUGCGGUCAACUUGUGGCACCCUUACUGACACGUAAAGAACUUUCUUACACCACAGCCAAUACUUUUAUGAAUUUUUAGGACUGGUGAAUUUUUCAAAUUUAAAAGAAAAAAAUACAGAAAAGUAAUUUCAAUUUAUCCAAAAAUUUGAGUUUCAAGGAAUGUAGCAUUUAUUAUAUGUCAUGUUAAUAUAAAGAAGAGAAUUUUAAAAAUUUCUUUUUCGAAUGAAUAAAAGUAUUUUUUGAUAAAAAUUUGACAAUCAUAUUUACAAAAAAAAAUUUAAAAAAAAAUUCUCUCCUCUUCCUACAUAAUUUAAGAGUUUAACAUUUUAAAUUAAUCUUUUUAAUCAAAGUAAUAAUCUCUCCUUCCGUCUGCAAAUGCUAAAAUUUAAUAUUAUAUCCGUUGACGAUUUUUGCUCCAAAUUCACCAGAAUAAAAUUUCUAAUAGAAUUGUGAAAUUCGUUACUCGAAAUUUGUAUAAAAGUCGUGAGAAUAGAAGGUUUGAUCAUAGGAAAUUAAAAUAUCACUAUCCAAUGCAAAAAUGGUUAUAAAGAAAAACAAAAGUCACGGGCUUAUUAUAGAAAAAAAAAAUUACUCUCCAUUUUCCAAUAAUUAAAGUAAUUCUAAAAUCAUAGACUUUUGGAAAGUAUCACAAAUGAUAGACUUUUGGUGACCGAGGUCAAGCCUAACGCAUGCCGGUCUUUUUCUCCUUUACUUCCAUAGAAAUUUUGGUUUCACUAUAAAUACUCGGCAUUACCAAUCCAACUAAGCACAGACUUACAAUCUAAAACACUCUCAUCUCAUGGAAAGAGUUCAUUCUCUCAGUAUGAUGAGCAGAUUUCUCUUACUUCAUUGUUUGAUUCUUAUUUCCUUAUUUAUCGCGGCAGCAACAGCCAACACAAGUUCUACUAUCACAGACCGAGAUGCUCUGUUAGCCCUGAAAGCUCACAUAACUCAUGAUCCGACCAAUUUCUUGGCUAAGAAUUGGAACACAAGUACUCCUGUCUGUAAUUGGACAGGCGUCGCUUGUGAUGUCCAUAGCCAUAGAGUCAGUCUUGAAUAUUUCAAGCUUAAAUCUCAUAGGCACCAUCCCUUCUCAACUUGGGAAUCUAUCUUCCCUGCAAUCACUCAAUCUCAGUUGUAACCGACUUUCUGGUUCCAUUCCCUCCGCCAUCUUCACCACGUAUACACUGAAACAUGUUAGUCUCGGUGAAAAUCAACUCUCUGGGCAAAUUCCUACAAAUAUUUGUAGUAAUCUUCCUUUCCUUGAAAUUCUUUUCUUGUCCGAAAACAUGUUUCACGGAGAAAUACCGUCCGCUCUAUCAAAUUGCACAUAUUUAAUAAUCUUAAGUUUGGCAUACAAUGAUUUCUCGGGAGCCGUACCUAGAGAAAUCGGUAAUUUGACCAAACUUAGGGAAUUAUAUCUUGGCUGUAACAGACUCCAAGGUGCGAAUAAUCACGGAGUUUCAUUAUGAAAUUUUUUCCAUAAGUUGUAGUAUGAAUAAUGUUCCAUAAUACAGUUUACACACGUUGAUUAAUUUGCAGGAGAAAUUCCUCGAGAGUUUAGCAAUCUUGCCGACUUGGAGCGGAUGUCGUUGGGAGACAACAAUCUCCAAGGCAUGAUUUUAAACUUUUUGCAAUUUUAUUUUAGCUAUGCUUGCUUCUGUAUUCAUUCGCUUGUUCUUUGAUUAUGCGAUGAUUUAUUGUUUUUCUUUCAGAUAGAGAUAAAGCUCCAUGUCUCCCCUCACUCAUUUCAUUCUUUAAUUUAUGCAGAUAAAAAAAAAAAAAUGUUUUGUAAUUUUCUUUUGUCAUAUUGCCACUUCCGUUUUGAAGCUCCCAAUUAAGUCGAUGAAAAUGAAUGAUGUUUCAUUCUUAUUCUUGUCAGCCUAAUUCUUAUAUAAUUGAAGAGUAAAUUGUUAUUAUGAUAAUUCUUUUUUUUUUUUUUUACCCCAAACAUGAGUGAUCAAAUUGUUUGCGCAUACGUACUUAAUUCGCAGGAGGUAUUCCACAGGAAUUGGGGAAUCUUGCAAAAUUGGAGGGGUUACAGCUGUUACAGAAUAACUUGACCGGUAACUUUCUUUACUAUACAUAUAUGAGACAUCUUCCGUUUCUUAAUUAAUAGAUUUCAAGUCUCUCACUAUAAAUUCCGCUUCUUAAUUAAUAGACAUCUUCCUCUAUCUGCUUUUAUGUAUUAUUAUUCUUACAUACCCCGACAUAGGCUUUUAGGGAUGAGUGGCGUCAAAUGUGAUUAUAAUUCUUUCAAAAUACAGAUGAAAUAGCACGUGAAAUCGGAAAAUAUUUUACUGCCAUAAGAAUUCAUAUAUUCAUUGUAGUAGCACAUAGAAAAGAGACUAUAAAUUUAGUUUCAAAAAUACAUUCUUAUCUUCAUAAAGGUUUUACAUUACUAAUUUAAAUUAAUAUUAAAAUAUGUUGUUUCUUUCACUAUGUUAUUUUAUUUACACAAUGAUGUGACUACUGGAAUUAGUAAUACUUAUAAUUAUUUUGUAAAAAUAUAAAUUUAAUACUUUGUUAACAUUUUAUCUACAUAUAAUAAUUAAACUGAAACUUGUAUUUAAAAAAUUCUAGUUACGCAUAUUCAUUUCAUGACAUAAAAGUGCAUAUUUAUGCUAAUUUACCAUUAUCAAAAAAAUGCUUUGAGACAAAUAAUCUAAUUUAUAUUUGUAUAUUUAAAAUACUUGCAAUUAUUAUAUUUUGAAAAAACUUUAUUUGCAAUUAUUUUAAACCGUUGGAUUCAAAUUUUCGUAGUUAUUAAAGUCAAAGGGUAUAAAUGUAUAAUAGUCAAAAACAGAUUUGUGUGAUCAUUUUUCAAUGUAUAAAUUUUCUUAGUUAGUAGGAAAAUUAGAAAUUGUUGAUUUACUCAUAAAUAAAUUUAAUGUUUAGCAUUUCAAUUUUGGAAAACUUGAACUAAAUGUUGAUAACUUUGAAUCGGUCGAGCCGAGUUUCGCUUCCUUGACCCACUGGCCCAUUUAAAGUUCUAUUCGAAUUCAGUUUCCUGGUGCUUAUAAAAAGUAUUUCUUUUCCUUGUCGCAGUAAUUUAUUCACAAAUGAGUUGAUUAGCAUCGAAGUUACCUGAGAGUCUGAGACCAUGCUAGUAGGAGAAAUUUGAAAAGAAAUUAUUUUACUGAAUAUAUUUAUUUUAUCUUGUUGUAACUGAAAUACUACUUUUUUUUUUUACCUAUCACUGGGGCUUGAUUUACUUUAAUAGUAGCAGCCACCGACUUAGAUGUUUUUUACUUCUCACCACACAAUUUGAUCUUUUAAUUCGUUUUAACCACAUAAUCUAUCUAUUUCUCACCUAUUGCUUACUUAAAUCACAUACAUAUUUUACCUACUAAUUUUUAUAAAUAUUAGUCAAAUAUAUUUUAAUACGUUUCUCUCGUAACUGCUCCAAAUGUGUACUAUUAAUACUUAACCCUCCCUUUUAAUUUACCGUGCAAUCUAUCUAUCGUUUAAGUCACAUAUAUAUUUUACCUAUAUUUUACCCCAAAAAAUAUAAAAAUAAAAGAAAAAGAAUAUGUGUAGCAAUUUGCAUAUAACUAACAACACAUUGAUGGUGUGUAGCCUUUCAAUACUUCACGAGUGGCUUUUCUUGUGUGUUAGUACUUGUAAUAAUUGUGUAGCAUAUAAAUGACAUUUUAUUAUUAAAGUGCGUCCAUUUUUAGAUAUUACUUAUUAUUUGAAAAAUAAUCUGAAUAUAAUUCUUUUAAAAUACAGGGGAGAUACCACUUGAAAUUGGUAAUCUCCAAAAUCUGGAGGAGUUGCAGCUUGGUCAAAACAAAUUAAUUGGUACUGUCCCAGCUGCAAUCUUUAAUGUGUCAACACUCAAAUUUCUUGGGCUUCAAAAUAAUUCUCUCUCUGGAAGUCUUUCGUCCAUCGCAAACGUCCGACUACCAAAUCUUGAAAAGCUUUAUUUGUGGGGUAAUAAUUUUAGUGGCACAAUUCCUCGUUUCAUCUUUAAUGCUUCUAAGCUCUCUAAGCUAUCAUUGGGAAUGAACUCAUUCUCCGGUUUUAUUCCCAGCACAUUUGGCAACUUAAGAAACCUUGAGCAACUUGGUUUAGAUGAAAAUUAUUUGACAUCUUCAACUCCAGAAUUGAGCUUUCUAUCCUCGUUGUCAAAUUGCAAGUCUUUAACACUUAUUGACUUAUCAAAUAAUCCACUAGAUGGCAUUCUUCCUAAGACGUCUAUCAGUAAUCUUUCUCGUUCUUUGGAAGAAUUUUACAUGUACAAUUGUAACAUUAGUGGCGGCAUCCCUGAAGAGAUCAGCAACUUGACCAACUUGGUAGAGAUUGAUUUAGGAGGCAAUAAAUUGAAUGGAUCAAUUCCGAUUACUCUCGGCAAAUUACGAAAGCUUCAACGGUUGAAUCUUGAAGAUAACAUAUUAGAAGGAUCAAUCCCAGACGAUAUUUGUCGUUUGGCUGAACUGUAUAGAUUGGAGCUGGGCAGCAAUAAGCUUUAUGGAUCAAUCCCUGCAUGCUUCGGUAAUCUGGCUUCUCUGAGGAUACUGUCGUUGGGAUCCAAUAAGUUAACUUCUAUUCCCUUAACUUUUUGGAACCUUAAGGAUAUCUUGCAACUCAACUUUUCAUCAAAUUUUUUGACUGGCCCACUCCUAUUAGAGAUUGGAAAUUUGAAGGUUUUGAUUGGAAUUGAUUUUUCGAUGAAUAAUUUUUCAGGCGUUAUCCCAAGAGAAAUUGGAGGCCUAAAAAAUCUAGAAUAUCUCUUUUUAUGAUAUAAUAGAUUGCGAGGAUCGAUUCCUGAUUCAUUUGGUGAUUUGAUAAGUUUGAAAUUCUUGAAUUUGUCCAAUAAUAAUCUCUCUGGGGCUAUUCCUACAUCUUUAGAGAAACUCUCAUAUCUUGAAGAUCUAAAUCUUUCUUUCAACAAGCUAAAAGGGGAAAUUCCUAGGGGAGGAUCUUUUGGAAACUUCUCAGCUGAAUCAUUUGAGGGAAAUGAAUUAUUAUGUGGUUCACCUAAUUUACAAGUCCCGCCAUGCAAAACCAGCAUCCACCAUACAUCAUGGAAAAAUUCUCUUCUCCUAGGGAUUGUCUUGCCAUUGAGUACUACAUUAUUGAUAGUAGUCAUUUGGUUGAUUCUAAGAUAUCGACAGAGAGGAAAAAAACCAUCGAAUGAUGCUAAUAUGCCACUAGUAGCAACGUGGAGAACAUUUUCAUACCUAGAACUUUGUCGAGCAACAGACGAAUUCAGUGAAAACAAUCUAAUCGGCAGAGGAGGUUUUGCUCUGUUUAUAAGGCAAGACUUGGGGACAAGAUGGAGGUUGCAGUGAAAGUUUUUAAUUUGCAAUGUGGAAGAGCGUUCAAGAGUUUCGAUGUUGAAUGCGAAAUGAUGAAAAGUAUUCGCCAUCGAAACCUUAUCAAAGUUAUUAGUAGUUGUUCAAAUGAAGAGUUCAAAGCGUUGGUAUUAGAAUACAUGCCUCAUGGAAGUUUGGAGAAGUAUCUAUAUUCAAGUAAUUGCAUUUUGGAUAUUUUUCAAAGAUUGAACAUAAUGAUAGAUGUUGCAUCAGCUUUGGAAUACCUGCACUUUGGUUAUUCAGCUCUAGUAAUUCAUUGUGACUUAAAGCCCAGCAAUGUAUUGUUAGACGAUAAUAUGGUUGCUCAUUUGAGUGAUUUUAGCAUCGCAAAAUUGUUAACUGGAGAAGAUCAAUCUAUGACUCAAACACAAACACUUGGCACAAUCGGCUAUAUGGCACCAGGUUUGUUCAAUAUAAAUAUUUUCUAUUUCUUGUAAACUUCCUAAUAAGUUAUUUAUGUUUCAUGAUCUUCAUUAGAUAAGGAAAUUAUUAUUAAUGAUAUAUCUUACUAUGUAACUGUUACAAUUCAUAGAGUAUGGAAGAGAAGGACGAGUAUCCACAAAUGGAGAUGUUUAUAGCUUUGGGAUUAUGUUAAUGGAAACUUUUGCCGGGAAGAAACCCACAAAUGAAAUUUUUAACGAAGAAAUGACAUUAAAGCAAUGGGUUAAUGGUUGGCUACCCAUUUCCACUGUGGAAGUUGUUGAUCCUAAUUUGCUUAGUCAGGAGGACGUACAUUUUGUUGCAAAGGAGCAAUGUGUGUCAUUUGUCUUCAAUUUGGCUAUGGCGUGCACUGUGGAAUCACCUGAGAAGAGAAUCAAUGCAAAAGAAAUUGUAACAAAGCUCUUAAAAAUUAGAGGCUCAUUACUUAGAAAUGUUGGAGGCAGAUGUAUAAGACAAUCAAAUUUAAAUUGAUUCUGCCACUCCAUUGCUCUCUAUCCUUUUCAGAGACUUGAACGGUUAUCCUUCAUACCAGUUUUGUUGAUAUGUUUUGUUAUUGUUCUUGCUCAUGUUUGUUUCUCUAUUUCUUUAAUUUGCAUGCAUGUAUUUUUCGUUCUUUUUUAUGUUUUUGUUGGUUUAUAUGUAGUUUGUUUUUAGGGGUAAGGUUGAUUAUAUCCUCUCCUAAUUAGACGUAUCCUUUUUAUGUUUAUUUAAUAAAGCUUCUCUAAUACUAUGGAGGUUCAUCAAAAGAAAAUUUUUAAUUAAUUUUCUUUUCUUUGACAGGUAAUGAAAUUCUAAUCUUCAUAGUGAAUAACUUCAAUAAUAGAGUGUAAGAGUAUUAGUAGUUAUGGUUGUUUUUUGAACCAAGAGUCAAGAACAAUUUAACAGCAACAAACAAGUCUGUUGUAUUGUAGGCAAAAUUAUUUUCAUUAAUCUUAUUUGUCUACAUGUUCUCCUAUUUUCUCCAAUAAUCUUCGCUCAAGGUUUCAUGCUUCCUCUUUGAUAAAGGAAAAUAUUACUUGCGAAUAUUUCAAUUUGACAUAAGAGACUGUUUUGCCAACCAUUUGAUAAAAUGGAUAUGAGUGGAGCUUUCAAUCAUUACCUCCACCAAAAUCCUUACAACGCCACUUUUAAAUUUUAUUUUUAAAAUACAUUCAAUUUAAUUUAUAAAAAAUAAAUCCAUUUGUUAAAAUUAAUCUUUUUCUCAUAAAUUUCAACCUAAAAAAUAUAUUUCUUUUAAAUUUUUAAUUAUAAAAUACAUACAAGUUCUAAACUAUUAUAUUAUUUUCUUCUUAUUAUAUAGUUUAUAUCUCCAUAACUCUAAACUCCUAUAAUUGUUUUAAAAAUAUUUUUAAUUUAAAAUAUAAAUAUAAAGUAUAGAAUGGAGUGGGUAUAAAAAACUUAAAAGAAUAAUUCAUUUAAGUAUUUAACUGAAUUUAAAUUAAAAUAAGAAAUAAAUUAAUUUAUUUUUUAUUAGUUAAGUAAUUUUCAAUCGAAAAAAGAGCUGUAUAAGUUAUAUUAUUGAAAUAUGAUUAAAAUUCUUAUGAAUAAAACAUUUUCAUAUAAAUACUAGUGAUAAUUAUAGAGAAAGUACGAUGAACCAAAGAAAACUUGAAUAGAAAUACUCCAAUGUAAUUUUACACAUGCAAAUUAUGAACCAAUCCAUUGAUCUUUAGAGGAUCAUAAAAUUAUUUUAACACAAUUAUUUAUUUUGAAAAACUGCCAACAAUGUUUAAAGUGGGAUCGAAAAGAUUAUGCUUCUUAUAUAAGACAUGAUAUCAUUUAAGAUGGCUUACAGAUUAUGAGAAAUAUAUUGAUCUUACAAAUAUUUAAUAUGUCAAUUAGACGGGCCCAGCUACCUUCCACCCGCUGGAAGGUACAACUUAUUUGGUCCUCUAGUGUUUUGGUCGUUGGAUAUUUGAGAAGUUGAUCUAACGGUUCUUUUUAGGCAGCGUGAAAUUGAAUUUCAAUUGGCAACUGUUUCAUGAACUUUGCAAGAGACAAUAAUCUACAUAAACAUUAAAAAAAUAAAAAAAUAAAACAAUUUUUCCCUUUCAUCAGUCGCCGCCGCCACCCACAUCCCCUUAAUAUCAUCAUCACCAUCCCAAUCCUUAGCCGCCAUCCACAAGCUCUAACAACCACCAUGACCGCCAUCACAACCACCAUUCCUCAAAACCCCUAGCCACCACUACAAACAUUCACAAACUCUAACCAUCAUUGUCAGUUCACCAGCUUUAUCCUCCAUUGCCGCUGCCUACUGAUAACUAUAUGAAAUGAGAGUUAUCAUAACACUUUUAGAUUUAAAUCAAUAUUACUUAGAGAGUAAAUGAUUGAUGUGUUUUUAUUGCAUUUUUGUUACAUUUUGCAUAAAUAUUCAUUUUAGUUUAGUGUUAAUAAGUUUUGCUUAAUUUAAAGUAAUUCGUGCUCAAAUUGUGUGCAUAAUUGCAGGUUUUCAAAAGCUUAUAAUUCAUGAAAGGAAUGCUGAUGCAAUAGGCUUGCAAAAAUGACAAAGAACUUGGCUACAAAAGAAUUGAAACAAAUCUGGAACAGUGCAGUUGCUGUAGAUAUUGCUGUAGCAAUCAUUGUUGUAGCAACCAUUGCUGUAUCAAUCCUGGAACAACGACAGAGAAAAUUCCGCGCGGGAUACUUGCAGAAUUGCGACCUGUAGUUUCCUAAUCUGACUUAUGUGCGCCCUAGGCUUUCAUUUACCCUAAUUUUGAACUAUAAAAGAAGCACACAUCAUGAGGAAAAGGGGAGAGCCGUCACCCAAGGAGAAAAACAAGAUUCAAGAGAGAGAUUAAGGGCUGCACAAGAGGAAAAAUUACAGAAAUCAAUUGGGAGCUCAAUCCUUCUUAUUCUUCUCUUGUUUUCGUGUUUUCUAUUUAUUCAUGGGGAUGUGUUUCAUGGCUGGAACUUUGUUCUUUAUUUUUCUUUUGCAAACCAUGAACUAAAUUUAUUUGUGGUUGAGUGAUAAACAAUCUUCAUGGUUUAUUGACUAGAAAUAUAUGUUGCUGUAUGUUUGCUGUAGCAGUUUGUUUUGAUAGUAUUUAUUUUAUUCAUUAUUUCGGUUGAUCACCCAUUUAAUGAUACUAGCUAAUGAAGAGCCGCAAAAGGGUCUAUCUUAGUGGAACAUAUCAGAACAAUACUUGAUCUUAAAUUGAGUUUCCCGGAUUGAAUUUUAACUUGAGUCCCAAAAGGGCUAUGCUUGAUUUAAGAUUAGUGAUGAACUAGACAUAUGGAUUCACCUUGUAGGGUAAAUAGAACAUAAGCGUGUAAUGCUAUAUCUUAUGGUGGCAUAACAAUUGAUCACUGUUAGGUUGCAUAUAGAUAUAAGAUAUCCAACAUGCGACGGCUGAGGAUACAUAAGGAUUCUGCCCAGUGCUGUAGCAAAUACUGCAGCAACCGAGCCAACCAUUAGAAAAUAGUCAAGACCAUUAGGAGAGUUUAUUCACUCAACUACUAUAUAUUCUCAUUAGUUUUAUCCUUGAGAUUGACGUGAUAAUUUACUUUAUUGCGUUUUAUUAAUUACAUUUUUAUUUUAAUUAGUAUAUUAGUUUCAUUAAUUGUUUAUUUUAUUUUAGCAGAAAAUCUGCACUGUUAAGAUUGCUGUAGCAAAUCUGAUAACAUCAAUCCCUGUGGAGAUGAUCUUGAAUACUCAUCACUUUAUUACUUGUUGUGUACACUUGUACAUUGACACCAAUAGCAUUAGUAUUUAUACACCAACAAGUUUUUGGCGCCGUUACCGGGGACUGCUUGUUCAUUGUGAUUUGUGAAAUUAGUUUUAAUGGUUCUAAUUUUUUAUUUUAUUUUAAUUUGUUUAUUUUGUUGACAUAGGUGAUCUAGCAACCCUUGCAUGCACAAAUAUAAAUCUGUUGACUUACCGUUUGAUCCAAAAAUUGAAAGAACUGCAAGGAGAUUGAGAAGAGAGCAUCGGGAAUUACAAGCUGCUAUAGCAAUUGAUGAUUUGUAAAAUUUGAGAAACUUGAACCGUAGAGAGGGGAUACAACCAGUCAAUGUACAUGAAGGUCUGAAUGGACAAUGUGUUCAAAGGCAACCAGGGAACAACAACAUUAUUCACAUGGCGAACGAUAGAGAUAGAGCCAUUCGAGACUACGCAGUGUUAACUCCUCAAGCCAUACAUCCGGGAAUAGUUAGACCCGACGUUCAAGCUGAUAAUUUUGAACUCAAACCCGUGAUGUUUCAUAUGCUUCAAACAGUGGGGCAAUUUAAUGGUUUGCCAUCCGAAGAUCCUCAUCUACACCUUAAGUUAUUUUUGGAAGUGAGUGAUGCUUUCAAGAUUGCUGGAGCAUCGCAGGAAGCAUUGAGACUCAGACUUUUCCUGUUUUCUUUAAGAGAUCGAGCAAGAGCAUGGUUGAAUUCUCUACUACUAGAUUCUAUCACUACAUGGAGUGACUUGGCUGACAAAUUUUUGUUGAAAUAUUUCCCGCCAACCAAGAAUGCAAAGUUGAGGAAUGAGAUCACAUAUUUCCAUUAACUUGAAGAUGAGAGCUUGUGUGACGCAUAUGAGAGAUUUAAGGAGUUCCUUAGAAAAUGUCCUCAUCAUUGUAUUCCUUGCUGCAUACAGUUGGAAACAUUCUAUAAUGGUCUCAACCCAAGCACUAGAUUGAUGGUGGACGCUUCAGCAAAUGGGGCAUUAUUAUAUAAGUCUUACAAUGAGGCUUAUGAAAUUUUGGAGAGGAUAGCCAACAAUAACUAUCAGUGGCCAUCAACCAGACAAGCUGCAGCAAGAGGAACAACAGGAGUUUAUAACGUAGAUGAUGCAAUAGGCUUGCAAAAAUGAGAAAGAACUUGGCUACAAAAGAAUUGAAACAAAUCUGGAACAGUGCAGUUACUGUAGAUAUUGUUGUAGCAAUCAUUGUUGUAGCAACCAUUGCUGUAGCAAUUCUAGAACAACAACAGAGAAAAUUCUGCGCGGGAUACUUGCAGAUCAUAAGGAAAAGGGGAGAGCCGUCACCCAAGGAGAAAAACAAGAUUCAAGAGAGAGAUUAAGGGCUGCACAAGAGGAAAAAUUACAGAAAUCAAUUGGGAGCUCAAUCCUUCUUAUUCUUCUCUUGUUUUCGUGUUUUCUAUUUAUUCAUGGGGAUGUGUUUCAUGGCUGGAACUUUGUUCUUUAUUUUUCUUUUGCAAACCAUGAACUAAAUUUAUUUGUGGCUGAGUGAUAAAUAAUCUUCAUGGUUUAUUGACUGGAAAUAUAUGUUGCUGUAUGUUUGCUGUAGCAGUUUGUUUUGAAAGUAUUUAUUUUAUUCAUUAUUUCGGUUGAUCACCCAUUUAAUGAUACUAGCUAAUGAAGAGCCGCAAAAGGGCAUAUCUUAGUGGAACAUAUCAGAACAAUACUUGAUCUUAAAUUGAGUUUCCCGGAUUGAGUUUUAACUUGAGUCCCAAAAGGGCCAUGCUUGAUUUAAGACUAGUGAUGAACUAGACAUAUGGAUUCACCUUGUAGGGUAAAUAGAACAUAAGCGUGUAAUGUUAUAUCUUAUGUUGGCAUAACAAUUGAUCACUGUUAGGUUGCAUAUAUAUAUAAGAUAUCCAACAUGUGAUGGCUGAUGAUACAUAAGGAUUCUGCCCAGUGCUGUAGCAAAUACUGCAGCAACCGAGCCAACCAUUAGAAAAUAGUCAAGACCAUUAGGAGAGUUUAUUCACUCAACUACUAUAUAUUCCCAUUAGUUUUAUCCUUAAACUUGACGUGAUAAUUUACUUUAUUGCAUUUUAUUAAUUACGUUUUAUUUUAAUUAGUAUAUUAGUUUCAUUAAUUGUUUAUUUUAUUUUAGCACAAAAUCUGCACUGUUAAGAUUGCUGUAGCAAAUCUGAUAACAUCAAUCCCUGUGGAGACGAUCUUGAAUACUCAUCACUUUAUUACUUGUUGUGUACACUUGCACAUUGACACCAAUAGCAUUAGUAUUUAUACAUCAACACCUACCAAUUAUCCACAACACUUAACCACUGUCACCAACAAACCUUAGCCGCCGCCUCCUACAAGCAAGCCUCACCACCCACCAUACUAUUGCGACAGAGGCCACAAUGUAGGCAAGAUCCAAUAGAGGAGGGAUGUCUUCAUUCUCCGGCUAACUAUUAUUUUUUGUCUUUUUUAUUUUUUAAUUAUUAUAUUACUUUUAGUUAUUUUUAGUUUUUCUUUUAUUUUGUCUAUAUUUUGGUUGUUAGAUUGUUUUUGUUGUUGCCGGCGGUAAUGGAGUUGCAGCUCGUGAUGAUGAUGGUGAUGUUGGUGUCAUUUUAAUCGAGAUUUUGUUUUUUUUUACGGGUACGGCAGUCAUCUUCAUUCAUUACGUGUCCAUUUCUAACAUGUUAGAUUUAACUAUUUUUUAAUCCAAGGGUUAGACCACAAUGAGACAAAGGAUGGGGUACCUUCCAACGGGUGGAAGGUAGUUUCGGCCCAAUUAGACUGAGUCUAUACAAUAAAAAUUUUAUAUUAAAAAAUAAACCUUUUAGUUUCUUUUAAUCAUAAGUGUGAUCUUAAUUGUUGAAGUCAUUCAAUGUCCAUUACUUAUUCAUUUUUUUAAUAACCUAAAUGACAUUGAAAACUCUACUCAAUAAUAAUUCGUUCAAAUGUUUUAUUUUAAAGUAAUUGGAAACUGCAAAUGAAACAAAUACUUGAAAUCACAGACGGUCUAAAAUUAGAUUUUCAUUUUUCAAUGUUGCAGUGACUUUGAUCUUGAUAUUCAAAAUUUAUUUGUAACUUAUAUAAAGGCCUCAAUGUUAUUAGUGUUUUAUAUUAUAAUCUUUUCAUUGUCACUUUAAACAUUUUUUGUAACUUAAAUCAUUUUUUUAAAAUUAAAUAUAAAACUUAAUUUAAUUACAUAUAAAAAUCAUUUAAAUUAAAUAUUAACAUUAAUUUAUAAUUUUUUUUACCUAGAAUUUUGUAUUAUAUUAAAUACUAAAAUUCUAUUCGAUAAUGUAUUAUCAUUUAUUUAAUAAAUGUUUAGGUUUUUAGUAUGUUAUAUUAUUAUUUAAAUUACUUUUUUAUUUACAUAUAAACAUAAAUUAAUAUUUACUACUUUAAAUUUAUUAUAAUUUGUUAAAUAAUAAAAGCUAAAUGAUUAUAUUGAAAAUAUAAAUAGUAUUAUAAUGUAUUAUAGUCUAAAUCUUACCCCUAUGAGUUUAUUUUAUACACCUUUUAUUAUAUUAACCACAUUUAUAAUGAAGUGCAAUGCAACAAAAAAUUAUAACCAAAUAUGAGUUAGCAUGAAAAUAAUAUUUUAGUACAAUGUAAUGUAAGCUGACAAAUGGAUAUUUAAUGGAAGCAAAAUUUGCAUAUGGUUUGUGGGUCUCUCAAAAGACAACAAAGAAACCAAUACGAUACACUAAUUCUAUCCUCUUUAAUGGUGUCUUUACUAAAUGGGAAUCAUAAUGAAUUGGAAUUGAAAUGGGCUUGAAUCGAAAUAAGGAAUUAGAAUCAGAAUAAGUUGUUUGUUUAAGUUGUAUGAAUUAGAAUCGAAAUAGUUUUUAUUCAAAUUGAUGUGUUUAUUUUCUCUUGAAAUUAGAAUGGACUAUUACAAGUUACUACAAAAUCAUUUCGUAAUUGUUGUCUCUAAUAUUAUUUGUACCUGUUAUAAUGUUAACAAUAAUAAGAAUAAAAAUAAUACUAAAAAUGAAAAUAAUAAUAAUAAAGACAAUUAUAAUAAAAUUAAUAAAUUAUUAUUACUACUACUACUACUAGUACUGAAGACCGCCUAGUGAAGAUUGGAUAGUGAAGAUGAAGAUGACGAUCCUGGCAACCAACUGCUGCUUCAAAGAUGAUGUGCCCAAAUGGAGACAACCAGGGAUGACCAGCCAACUAGAUCCCAAUCUCGAUGUUGUGAUCUCGCAUGACCAUUGAUAAAGCGAUGUGUGAUGCCAGUGUUGUGAUUUCUUUUUAUUUAUAUUUUUUAAUUUAUUGGGGGUAUUUUUAAAAUUUAGUAAUUUUAAUAUGGAAAAAUUAGAUUGUCGAGGGAAUAGGAGACUGAUUCCCAACCAUCCUAAGAAUUAGUCUAUCAUUCUCUAUUUCUAAUUUGAUGUGCGUCCAACUAUUUCACUUCCACUUCUUACAUUUAUUUGUAAAGUAAAUGAAGUUAAUGAUUUCGAUUUCCAAUUGGAGAUGUAAACACAUCAUAAUAUUUUUUUAGAUACUUCCAUGGCAUAAUCUCAUUGGUCCAUUUUUCUUCAUGCCUUAGAUUCAACUUCAAGAUUAAGCCUGCGGCUGACUGGCAGUGGCCAAGCAAAUGUAACUCAUAGUGACCGAACCAUAUCUUAUUAUCUUACGCCAGAAGUUAAACAAUGUUCCCAUUCCACGUGUCACUCUCUGACCGAUCCCCAAACUUGCUACAUAUUUCCAAAGAAACCCUUACCAAGUCAAGAUAAUUACCUUCACUCUACUUCUAUAAAUACUGUCGUCGAUUCAACUGAUGAUGACAUAUCCUUACAGUCUUUAUUUAAAAGGAAAAAUUAUAAAAAAUUAUCCUCGUUCCAUAAAAAUCUAGGGUUUCUCAAGAAUCGCUUGAAAAUUUAGUAUUUUUUAGUGGAUUUUGCUUGUCUCGUAUGCUUCAAUUGUUGUUCGGUUCUUAAAAUAAUUUGGAAUUUUAGGGAUUUUCAGAUUAUUUAGUUUUGUUUGAGUGCAAUUUCCUCUAGUUACGGUUUCAGUUUGAAGGGUUAAGUGCAAUUUCGAAUUUUUUGUUAUAAAAUUAAAAUUAAAAUUCCUAAAACGAUUGGGCGUUUAAUAAUUAAUUGAUGGCUAGCGAUACUACAACGGCGGCCGCAGCUGCGGAAGAAGCAGAGGCGAUGGAGGAGUAUGAUAGCAAUCCAAAUGAAGUGAAACGCUCUCUUGUGAUGCGCAGAAGGGAUGCCAGUGAUGAGGAGGAGGCGGAGGAUGAGAGAGAUUCAGAGCUUCCAAUCGCUCAAAGGCAAGAGCAGAAGGGAAACAAGCGAUGAUGAGGAGGAGUAGACAGAAUUUGAACGUCGAAUAAAUGGAAGGGUCCAGAUUCACUCUUACAUUGAAUCUGAUGGCCAAAGUGGUGCUCCAGCUGAGUAUGAUGAUGAUGAAGAAGACGAAGAGGAACAUGACACAGAAUUAGAAGAAGAAGAUGAAGAAGGGGAUGUUUAUGAGUAUGAAGAGGAAGAAGAUUUUUAUGAAGAGGAGGAGAGGAAUGACGAGGCGGUUAAAGUCAAAGAAAUAGAGGGUAAUGAUGCAAGAGGAGUACGGAGGGCGCAGUGGAAGUGAGUAAAGGGAAUUAUGAUAAUGGCAAUGGGCAGCGAAGGAGGGAAUGGAGGAAGGGGAGAAGGAGAGUAAUGAGCCUUUUGCACAGCAGCCGGGGCUUUUUAUAUGGGACAAUGUUGCAGGUCGACACAGGUAUUAUUUGAUUUGAGUGACAAUCUAUAAAUAACUGAUAGCUGUACUUUCAUUAGGCUUGUCGAUUAGUCUAGUCUCGUUUUUUGGUGCUGUCUAAUGAUUGUUGGCUGGAAUCUGUCUAGAAGGCUUUUGGCCUAGUAGGUUGAAAGGAGAGAAAGUUCUCAAGUAAACAUCCGUGCUUUGUGGAAUAUAAUUAAUAGGGACAAAGUAUACUAAAUUACUUGAUAGAUAGUGCCGAGCUAAUCAUGAGCUAUGAUAGCAUUAUCCGUGCUUUGUGUAUAUUUAUUAGGGCUUGUCUAUUUCAAAGUGUGCAGUAUAGAAUUUUUGGGUUAAGUUUGAGUGAUGAAGUGUUAGAUAGGUUUCUGUUUUGCAUAGUUAAGCCGUCAAUAUGAGCUAUCGAAGCAAAUAUGGAGUAGGAUAUCUAGUUUUGGCCCAAAUUAUCAAGCUGGUUUGGUGGCUGCUAGAUUUGUUCAUCCGGAUUUUGGACCAUUUUCCUUGACAAUGAGAAAAGCUCCAAGAUCUGUAAAUCGAAAAUUCAUUGAAGUGCCAAAAGAGAGAUGGAAGUGAAUAACUAGAGUGUUAGUGAAAAGAGGGUGCAGUGAUUGUGUGGGAAGCUUUGGGUAUAACUGGGGUUUGGAUGUGAGAUAAAAUAUUUUGAGAGUGAAGUUGUAACAAUUUUGCACGUAGAGAAAUUUUUUGUCUCGUUGUCCUUGGCAACUGUGGUUUUUUAUUUGGGUAAUAGAGUUUUUCAGGUAACUCUUUUGUUGUGUGAUCCGAGUAUUCUCUAUUGUAUUUCUUUUAUUUGUUAUUUAUUUGACGUAUUGCUAGCAGAGAUCUUGGGUGGGAACCAAAAAUUCCCAACAAUUGUCAGUUGUUUUAAACUCUAUUCCGAACAGAGCAUGAAGGGAUUCACUUAUCUAAUUAUGUCAUUUAUGCUUUAACUUCACUUCAUUUCAUCUUGUCCGUCACCUUUACUAAAGUUGUGUAUGUUGGAGUAUUAGGUUCAUCACAAGGAUCAUAUUAUGGCUAAGGAAGGAGCACAGUUUAUUAGCUACACUCAAGUGUAGCAGAGUAUUUGGAUUCAAGACUGUUAUAAGGUUGUUACAGAUGCAAUGCUGUUGCUGUGCAACUGUAUGCCAUGCUCGCAAGUGCGCUGUAACAGAUUGCUCAGCAGGCACCGGAUAUUUUAAGCUAAUUUUGGUAAUUAGUCUAGAGUGUUCUGAUUUAUUCUAUAAAUAGCUCAUUUGAGCGUAGAUAUCUACAUUUCUGUUACUUCUAAUAAAGAAUUUCUUUAUUCCUUUUUCUUUCACUUUCUCUUUCAUUUUCAUGAUCCCCAAACACCAUCAAACAUAGAAUUGCUGUUUUAAGAAACAAAGUACUCUAUCCUGUCACCCAGCGGUCUCCUCGUUUAUCGACUUGUGAACAGGGGGCAAAACGUGACAAGUUCUUGAAUUGAAUGGGUCCUCUUUUCUCCAUAAAUCUUUGCUUAAUUUUUUUUGUUCCCUCAACCUUUUUUGGCCUUUUGCGCUAAAAUUCUUUUAUUUGAUACAUUAUGCAAAAAUUGAUGAAAAUAAGUUACUUUAGAACAUCAAUAAAUUUUUAUUACAUGAUAAGACAAUUAUACUUAAAUUACUCUUAUUUAAUUGAAUUAAAUGUAAUAAAAUUAGUUCAACAAAAUCUAAGCCGUAAAUAUUCCUUAUCACAUGAUUAACGUACUUAAAAAAUCAUAACUGAUCGGCCGCUUGUUUUACUAUAAAAGAUUGGUGUGAUUUAAUUAUUUUUCUUUUUGCUUCGUGUCUGUAAAAUUAUGAAUACUUUGGCAAAUAAGAAAAUUAUAAACACCAUUUUGAAAAUCCAUGGCCAUGGCUGUGAUGUGUCUUUAUCAAUCACGGAUACAAAAAUUAAUCAAAAUUAUCGAUUGUUUUAAAUUUUGUUUUUAACAGAGCAUGAAGAUGUCGCUUAUCUAGAUUUACUUUUUAUGCUUUGACUUCACUUAAUACGGCUUCUUCCUCCUUUAACUGUAUUUUUGGUUUGUCUUCACAAAUUCACCGAUACAAAUUAAUUUCUACCAAUAUUACCAAAUGAUUACUGAGCUGCUAGAACCUUCUUUAGAAGAGAAUUAUUGCGGCAAGGUAAUUGGAAGCUCAAAGAGUUUCCGUAUUAGCUGAAUCUAAGCGAUAAGUGUUUCCAUGUGAGCCAUAAUUGGGGAAAAAGACCAAUUCAAGUUAAACAAUUAUUAAUUAUUUUAAACUAUGUUCUGAACAGAGCAUGAAGGGUUUCACUUACCUAGUUACGUUUUUCAUUCUUUCACUUCACUUGAUUUCAUCUUGUCCCUAUCGUUUAUAAAAGUUGCAUAUAUUGGAGUAUCAAGUCCAUCACAAGGAUCAUAUUCUGGCUAACGAAGGAGCACAGUUCAUUGGCUGCACUCAUGUGUAGCAGAGUAUUUGGAUUCAAGACUUACAAUUGCGGAGGUAAUUAGUGUAGAGUGUUCUGUGAUUUAUUCUAUAAGUAGCUCAUUUGUGCUUAAAACCUACAUGUCUUGUACGUUUCUAUCGGUAAUUUAAUUACCUUUCCGUACUUUAUCAAUCAUCGAAUGAUUUUACUGGUUUGAUCGCUUGAUUGUUUGAUCGUCUGUCUGCAAGUAAUUUACAAUUCACUCUCCAAUUUUCAUUAAUUUAGUCUACCAAAGCUUUAACUAGAUAGGUAGAUAACGUGGUCAUGAAAACUUGAUUAAGAGUUUAAUGCAAUCAAAUCUACUUUAAUGAUUAUUUAAUGCACGGAGAUUUAACAUCAAUUAUCAUCACGUUAUUCUAACAGCGAGAUUGCACAAACUCAGAAGCACAAACUUUCAACAAUGAUAAUAGGUAAAAAUUGAUAAUCUUAUAAUAAAAAGCAAGAAAAAAAAAGUUGAUUUAGGAGGUAAGAAUAAAAAAAGAAAAAUAGAGAGAGAAAUUAGUUUAGGCUCUAACCAUUGUUAUAGUAGAGAAAAAAAAAAUUGAUCAAGAGUAAUUUUAUGACUUUUUAGAAAAGAGUGAAUUAAAAUAAUAAGUUAUAAUUUGAUUAUUAUCUUAAUUAAAAAAAUGGGGUUGAAAUAAAAUUAGUGAAUUUAAAUAGUCUGCCCAAAAUCCAAACUUGCAUAUCAAUUAUUUUCUAAUUUACAUGAAGUUUUUCUAUAUGUUUGAUAACAUUUGAUUCUCAAUUGGUCUAAUGGAGAAACAACCAGCAAAAAAAUAAAAUGAAUGCAAUUAAAUGGAAAUUUGAAAAGAGCAGUAGAUGACAUUUGUGUGCAAGCAAAAUGCAAAAUUGCAUUCUGUUUGUGGGAUCCUGGAAAAAAUAAAAGAAAGAAAACAGAGUAAGACGCUGAUACUGUGGGCUUUAAUAUUUUUCUAGAUGCUUCCAUGGCAGAUUCUCGUUGGUUCAUUUUUCUUUACGCCUUAGAUUCUAUGAUUCAAUUUCAAUCAAAUACGACAAACAAAAGAAGCUUUUAAGCCUGCAGCUCAAAAAGAUGGCACUUUAAUUUUCGGCUGAACAUACAUAUGGCAAGAUUAUUAUUAUUGAGCUUCAUAAGUGGGGAUAGCAAAAUCCGAAUUGGGAUGUAGGUGCAUUCGGAUUUGGAUUCGGGAAAAAAUAUGUGGAUGUGGAUUUGGAUGCGGAUAAUAUAUGUACGGAUUGUGGGUGAAUAUUCCGGAUAUUCAGAUCCGCAUAAUAAAAAAUUAUAAAAUAUUGCGGCUUCAAAGCCCAUAUGAUCAUGGGCCACCGCUUGCCCAUGCUUUGAAUCAAAAUUUUCUAAUGAAGUGAGGUUGGAAGCUGAAAGGGGCAAAUGAUAUAUUGAGCCCAACGGGACAAGAUCAUCAUUUAAUUCCCUCCUCUUGUCGAUAGAUGUUUGCCGAAUUUUUUCAUUUAAAAAAUAUUAUAUUGGUUAAUAGAAUUUGAAGUUUUACAAAAUAUAAGUUUAAUUUAAAAAAAUUAUAUUUGUUAAUUUAAAUUUUUCAUUUGGUGGUUGUGUUUGAGAAAAAUUUUAGGUAUACUCGGAUAUACUCUCUUAUUAUUCAUUGAAUUUGGGCAUUUAAAACAUACUAGUAUGCAAUAUUUUUAAGUAAUUACCAGAGAAGUAUACAUGAGAAAAAUAUAACACGUGAAACAAUACACAAUGAAAUUAUCUACAAUUUUCCAUUGACUUAGUCAACUCUUCAUUAAUUUCAUUGACUUGAUCAACUCAUGAUCUAACUUGACAACUUGAAAAUUAAAUUAUGCUAGUAAUUCUGUAAAAUAUGCUAGUAAUUCCGUAAAAUUAAAAUUUAUCUCCCAAAAUUGAUAAAUACUGUGUCACUUUGUCAAAUUACUUAGGGUAAAAGCUCUGUGGCUAAAAACUUUUAACAUUAGUUGUAUGCUAAUUGAGAAGGACAAGACACGAAAGAAUUCAAUGAAUGCCACAUCAUGUAACACUAAUACUAACACUACUUACUCUUAACAAAUUCUUACAAACGUGAUUCAUGAAAUUAACUUGACUUUUUGUCUAAAAAAGGCCUAAAGAAACAUGCCAAGCAACAAAUAAAGUAGUCCAAACGUGAUUCAUGAAACUUGAUAGGCACUAUCUAAAUAGUAUUAAUAUGGCAACCAAAAACAUGCGCGCAAAGUAGACUUUCUUGGACGAUCCAUGCCAAUCAGCAUAUAAAGUAGUCCAAACGUGAUUCGUGAAACUUGACUUCUUGUCUAAAAAGGCCUAAAGAAACAAGACCAAAAUUUCCAUGCAAUAGCAAUAUGGUGGCCACAAUGCACUUUUUAAGCCAUUUUUCAAAACUAAGUUUCUUCGUAUCACAUGCACUAUUCAAGCAAUUUUUCAACAUUUUCUCCUUCCCCUAAAAGCUACAUGCAUGAAUCAUGUCCCAAUCAAUUUCUUGGCAAAAAUUGGAACGCAAGAACCGAUUGGAGCAUAAGGACAAUGUCGCGAUUCAAGAUUCUCAGCAAGACCACGUCACAAUGCAUCACUUUUGGAAAGUAAUUUAGCAAUUUCCAAUGCCUUAGCUGAUUAAUGGCUUGACCAUGUGACGAUUGGUCCACCUUAUGCACAUGGCAAGAUCAAAGAAAAUAUCACAGCUAGCUCGACGACUACUAGCCAAAAUAACAAGACAAUGACGGCCAGUUACAAACUCUUUACGAAGGAAAUACCGAAAUAUGAAUAUCCCUCCUAAUCACUUUCUUAUAUUAUCAUUAUUUUGUACAUGUAACAGAACACGUUCUCUCUUGUAAUGAAGUCAAGAAAACGGUUUUAGUUUUUAUAUCAAUAAUGGAAUCCAAAAUCUUUCACAGCUUGCUUCUCCUUUGGACGCUUGAAAGACUUUCUUACCUGGCUAAAACUGUGAAAAUUGUUCAAACUAAUUUGAUUGAUAACUUUCUGACACUAUAUUGUAUAUGAAGGCUGCAUUUAAAUGUGAAAUAAAAAUGAGUGCUUAUAUUAAAAAACAAUCAGUCUCAUUGCGUCCUCUUUCAUUGACAUAGGCAAUUUUGCGGUCAACUCGAGGAGUUGUUUGAUUUUAUGUUUCAAAUUAAGUACCAUAGCAUUACUACUUCUAUAAAUAACUCAUUUGAGCUUCGAGCUUGUUAUUUGUAUUUUACGUUUCUGUUUCUCUUCAUAAAGAUUUUUUUUUUUCAUUCUCUUUUUCUUCCACUUUCCCGACUCCCAAACACCACCAGUCUUUGAUUUUCCUAGAGUAUUAACUGUCUGUUUACACGAACAUAGACCGACUGUUUGUCUAAUUACUGACAAGAAACAGCAUACUCUAUCUCGGGGUCUCAUCGUUUAUUGACAUGUCACUUGUGAACGGGCUAAUUAAAGGGCGUUCCUUCCUUCAAGAAAGAAUGCCAAGAAAGUACCAUCCAUUAGACACGUUAAGAAUUAUUUAACAUUAAAAAUGAUAAUAAUCAUAAUAAUCGGUUUAGUGUUACCCCGUUAUUAGGUAAUGACUGUCCGAUUGUCUUCGCUUUCAUUGACUUCGCAACUGUGAAUUCUAAGCCGGGUUAAGGAUUGACAAAAUGUUAUAACCCAUAAACACUACAACAAACAGUUAUAUCACCGACGAAAUAUUUCCGAGGGCGUAAAAUACCUUUGAUAAUAAGUACUUUUUUCUAAGGUGUAAGAUGGCCGUCGGAUAAGGAUGAAAAUAUGAUCAAUAUUUCCGAGGGCAAUUUGCCCUUGGUGAUAAUGAAUACUUCGUCGAAAAUGCCUGCUAGACUUAACUAGAAGCACCCCAAAAUUUACACACUUCGGGCCCGGCCUUUGGAGUAGAGUACUAAAACCACAAGCCCGCAGCCAUAACUUCCACUAAUUGUUUUUUUAAGAGUAGCGUACUUGGAAAUUUUUUUUCUUGUAAAUUUAAUUACUCUUGGUAAAAUUAAAAACCUAAAAGAAUGAAAUACAAAUAAAAAGCUAAGAAAAUACAGAAGAAACGAAAAAAUAAACAAAAGGAAAAAAAUUAAAACAGAAGGGAAAGUUCAAAAGAAAACAAAAAGAACAAAGUUAAAGAGAACGAAUAAGAAAGAAAAAGAAGGGGAAAGUUCUUCAAUCAUUGCAGCGCAAGCACUCACAUCUCUCACUUUUCAAUUUCUCAUUGUCCAUUGCUCGCCCAAUCACUUUGGUAAUUAUUUCACUGUUGCUUUCUCUAUUUGCGCUAGAUUUCAUCUUUUUUUUUCCUUCAAUUAACUUAGGGUUAGGUUAUAGUUUCCAUCAUUGAUGAUGAGUCUGAAGGCUAAUUAUUUCUCUUAAGUUUGUAAUUGUUACCAUCUCUUGCAUAAUCGCUCACUCUAUGCUUCUAAUUUUGUUUUUAAUUUGUUUUUGCUGCUUCCGAUUUUGUUUUAGGCCAAAUGGUAGCUUCCUAUAAGUUCGGUGAAGCUAUUGCAUUUUUUUUUUAAUUUUUUAAUUUUUUAAUUUUUAUUUUGGAGCUCUUACUUGUGAUGCUAAUUAUUUAGAAUUCAUUGUUUGUUAUCUGAUUUGGAUUAAUUUUAAUGAUCUUUUUGCUGGAUUUCAUUAAUUUUUUUUUUCCAUUUUUAAUGUUAUGUGAUGCUAAGUAUGGACUCUAAAGGAUGUUGAUAUUUUUUAAUUUUGAGGAGUUGUAGGGAGAUGAAGUGAAAUAAACAUUUAGGGGGUCAUGUGUAUAUAGAAUUGUUUGAUAGAGCUAACAUGACUAAAAAAUGUAAGUUAAUGCUAUACUAAAGCGAUGGUUAACUUUGUACUUUGAAUUUUGCAGCAUGAAUUUAGUAUAUUGGUAUUUUCAUUUUAUGUGUACUAAAAACUAAAAAGGAAGAUAAAAAUAGAUGAGUUACCAGGGAGAUAAAAUUCAAUCUGCGGUGAACUAGUUGUAUUUCUUUUUCUCCUUUUUUUUUUUUUUUUGCCCCACUUUCUAUGCAUCCUCAUUUUAAAUAGUUAGUAUUGCUGGUAUUGGUUUUAUCAUAAUCAUAACUUGUGAGAUGAAUUUUGUGCUUAAUUUUUUUUUUUUGUUUUGUUGAAAGGGUGUAUAAAAUUUAAUAGUAAUAUCAAGAACAAGUUUCUUAAGCUUUGAACUGAAUAUAUAUUAAGCUUUUAAACUUUUCCUGGCUUGCUGCAAUGAUUUCUUUUCUAAGCUUUUCCUUCCUUGUUAAAGCACUUAUUCACAUGUUUCAGGUUUUGAUUGUUGUACUACUAUACGAAGUAGCUCUAUGCUUUGUAGGGGAUGCCUUCUUGAUGAUAUUCUGCAGGUUAGAAUCUGAUUCUCUAAAAAUUCUUAUACAUGUAGAGAACAGGAGCUUAAAGAUGUCGUAGAACUUCAUGUAAAAAUUCGUUUUUCAGAUUGGAUGUCAGAGCUGAGGAGGGGAAUUUUUAAGAAGUAUCCAACUGUUGGAGAGCAUUAUGCACAUGCUCCUGAGAAUGUGCCUCCAAGAAUAUUGAGACAAAUGGUUGACAAAUGGAUGGAUGAGGGGUGGAAGGUACCAAUAAUGACUAUUAGCAUUAUAUUUUUCUGUCCUUUUCUUUCCUAAGCUUUGCUGUUAUUUUAAUUCAUCAGUGAAUUAUAGUUGCUAGAAUCAUUAUAGAAAUAGGAACUGAUAAAUCUUAUCCAUGUGCUUUGUACAUGAGUUGUUCUUGGCGGGUUUAGAAUAACCAAGUUGAUUUUAUGUUUUUUUUUAACUUAUUUAUAGAAAACAAGCACAACAAACAAGAGGAACCGAACCAAGUCCAAACUUAUUCACACUAUAUAUUCCCAUAUUUUUUUUUUUUGGGCAUGAUUUCAUUACUAUAUGCACUCAGACAAAUGUAUGUAUUUAUUAUAGGAAACAAUGGAAUCAAUAUGAUCAACUGUUAUAGAUCAAGGCUUGUCAGUUGAUGAAUGGAAAAUAUUUCGAGAAGUAACAGGAGAACCAGCACAUGGUCGUGUUGUUGGUUGGAGAGCCGGCAUCAAAGGCAAGGAUGUGUAUGGUUCUCCAGGUCAAGGAGGUAACAAGCAUCAAUGUACUAAUUUGGAAGUGAAAGUAAAAGACUUAGAGAAGAAGUCAAGAAGUUGAAAAGACUGAUAAAGCUCGUUCUUGGAAAAUCCGCACAAGAAUCAUCUCAAAAGGUAUAGGUUGUUUAUUUCAUUUUAUUAAUAGAUUAAGUGAAUGAGUAUGUUCUAUGUUUUGAGUUCUCAUGGAAAAUGAUUGGUGACUUGUCAUUGCUCUGUUAGUUAAUGAACUGAAGUGAUUAUGGACAAGCUUAUAAUAUAGGUGGAUGAUUGAAUAAUUAUUAGAUUUUUUUUUUUUGAAACAGAGACUGCAUUUAUAUAGAGUUUUUUUUUAUUGCACAAUUUUUCUCAUUAGUCUCAGCCUCUUUAUUAUAUUUUUUACCAGUUUUUGUUUUGGUAAUAAUAGUGAUUAAAAUUUUUUCUUUUACCUAGGAUAUUGUUUUGACGGAAGAAGAUGACAGGUAUGAGGAUGAUGAAGUUGAGCCAAACGAUUUAGAAAUUGAAGAAGUUGGUUUAGAGGAUGAUUGAACACAUUCAAGAUAUGAUGAUAUCAUUUUGUAUAUACAUUUGGUAUUUUUUUGCAUAAAAGAUACUAUAAAAUUGAAUUUUUUGUUGUAUUCUUGAAUGAUGAAUGUGAUUUUAUGAAUUUUUAAAAUUAAUGAAGUUACCUUUAGUAAUUUCGAAUAUUAUUAUUACUUUUGUUACAUCACUUCUCUAAUAUAGAUAUUUCAACAAUAAAAAUAAAAAAAUGAAUGAAAUAUUAUUACUAAAUAAAAUAAAGGGGGCCAUUAAACAACAAAAUAAGUUUAUUUUCGACGGUAUAUCUUUUAUUUCCGAGGGCAAGUUGCAGAUGAAAAUAAAAAUAACCAGGUUUAUUUAUCUUUUUUCCGAGGGCAUUUAAUUCCAUUUCCGACGGCAAUGCGCUCGGAAAUAAUUUUUUUCUCCGACGACUCGUCGGAAAUUCGACAUUUCCGAUAAGACUUAAUACGGCGACGGUCGACGGCAUACCACGCUCGAAAAUGAGUUUUUCUAAGGGUCUUUGUGUAUUUCCGACUCCGAGGGUAUUUGCCCUUGGAAAUGACCCAUUUUCUUGUAGUGAAAGCACAGAUAAUUAAUCAAUGGGCCACUGAUUUCUUCUUUCAUAAAAGAGAACUUUUCCAGGGAGAUUGGAAUAAAAGGCUAAUUCUUGGUAAAGAUCAGAAAGUUCUCAAAUAAAAUUCGGCUCUGUGGAAAUUAAAUUAAAAGCAAUUAAGCAUUAUAAAUUACUUAACAGCUUAAUCGAGUUUGGUUUUGAAAAAUAUAUCUUUAAAUCCCUUGUAAUUAAAGAUAAUUAUCAUAUUACCGUCUCAAAUGGACCGAUUUCAAUCAAAUGAAAUCUAGAAAAUUGAGCAGCUCAUUGAUGUAUUUGGUCGAAUUGUGACUUGUGUCAGAGUCUUCGUUUUAGAAGAGUGCACAGCAGCUGCCAGGUCCACUUGGCAGUUGGCACGCCAAAAUUUUUCUGUUGACCAAUAAUUUUGAAAGGGAUAUUAUUAAUUUACUAUCAAAUAUUUUCGAACACAUCACUUUACUAUCAAAAUUUUUUGACAAUAAUUUUUUGUCACUUAAUAUUUCAAUUUUUAUCAUUUUAUCAUUAAAAAAAUAGUAAAUACAUGCUUAGUGUAAGUUAUCCAUAAAAAUGGUUGUUGAAUUGUCUUGUUUCUCAUUUGGUUUAAUUUUCAUAAAUUCGACUCACACAAUUCAAUUAUGAGUGAAGAGUUUUUUUGGGAAAAAUCUGGUCUUCCAUGUACUAGAAUCAGGUCUGUUUGAUUUUAUUAUUUUUCUUUUGUUUGAAAUAUACGUGAAAAAUGUUGAACACUUUGUAGGAUUUAGAAGAAUUUGAAAGUUUGAAUGCAUAUAGUUUACUAUCGAUCAGCUAGUGCAUAUUCUGUAUUUUAUGAAAUCAAAGCUGGUUGAUUGAGAAAUGGACCUUAUUACAUGUCAUAAGAUUUUACAGUGCUUUCUAAUGGAGCAAAAUAAAAUGAUUCUUACCUGCACAGAAAAUUAGAAACGAAAAGGAGGGUUACUGAUCCACAGAGUUGUUAUUUACGAGAAGCACAUAGAUAUUACACUUAAUUUAUUAUCCAUCUGUAUUGUUUGGAUGACACUGAAGUAUUACCUAAAUUAGCCUUUCAGAACUUCGUUUUCAAAAAUCUAUGGUUGUGAUGCGUCUCUAUAAACUCACUCGUAAAAAUUCUAUCUAAUGCCAAUUGUUUUAAACCCUGUUCUGAACAGAGCAUGAAAGGAUAUGUUCACUUAUCUAGUUGUGUUUUUUAUGCUUUCACUUCACUUGAUUCACCUUGUCCCUCUUUUAAAACAGCUGUAUAUGCUGGAGUGCCAAAUCCAUCACAAGGAUCAUAUUAUAUCCUACGGAAGGAGCACAGUUCAUUGGCUGCACUCAGUUUACAGAGUAUUUCGGGAUUCAAGACUGUAGGUUGUUGCGGAUGCAACUUGCAAGGCUGUUGCUGUGUGACUGUAUGCCACGCUGGCAAGUGUGCUCUGACAGAUUGUGGAGAUGGCACCAAAGAUUGUAAACUAAUUAGUACUGAAAAAUCAUAUUUGCACAUAAAUUGCACAAAAUAAAUAGAUUGAGAAAAGUUGUACAAAGAAAUAAGAUUAAUAAAGUAAAUAAAUUUAUCUUUUAACAAAAUAUUUCUAGUCUUUUGGCGUUUUUGUGUAUUUUUGUGUAAGUGCAAAUAGCAUUCUAAUAAGUAGCUCGUUUGAGCCUAGGACCUGUAAUUAUGUUUUACCUUUCUGUUACUUUCUCUUAAAUAUUAUCUCAGUUCUUUUCUUCUUUUCUUUCACUUUCUCUUCCAUUUUCCUGACUCCCAAACACCACCAAUCCUUGAUUUUCUAGAGUAUCAGCUAUCUAUUUCUACAAACACAAAACUGCUAUUUACUUUCAAGAAAUAACAUAUUCUGUGGUUUAUUGGCUUAUGCCUCGUGAACGGGGCUAAUGUUGGUCUAACUACUCCCGUGAAACAACGUACUCUGUGGCUUAUUGUCUCCUCUUCCAUUGACUCUGCCAAUUCACGACUUUGACACGCACACUAGAUGCUAACUGCCUUCUCCAUUCGACGUGCAAAAACUUUCUUGAGUCGGGUUAAAAUUAAUUGAUCAUUUUAUUUGGUGAUAAUGACUUAGUUGUCAAGUCAUGAGUUUGAUGAUGAAGAGGACGAAAAAUAUUAUUUUAUUAUUUAAAAUAAGACUAUCAAUUAUUUCGAUGGUCAUCUUAUUUUCUAAAAUAACUUAAUGGAAUCUUACAGAAUAGAGUGCUUGACUUCUUCAUACAGUGCUUGACUUCUUUUUACAGAAUUAUAAAGUGAAAAAGGAAAUUAAGAAAUUAAAUACUUUUCAUGCGAGUGGAGAACAUUGGGUAGCGAUUACAUUAAAUAAAAGAAAAUUAAUUUAAAAGUACAACAUUUUAAUAAUCUCAUUCCCAAUCAUAUCGGUACAAAAAUUCUGCAGAUUUAUUGAAUAACUAUUGAUUUUACUUUGGUAAUUUCUUUCUAAAAGUGAGGUAAACAUUUUUAUUUUCUUUGCAUUCGAGCUUUCUUUCUUUUGCGCUGGCCUUCACUUUUGACCGUAUUUCAUGGGGCACAUUCAAUCUCAAUCUUCUGCAAGUUUGUGGCAGUUUUGUUAAUUACGAACAUUUGUAGGAUUUUAUGUAGAUGAUACAUUUUUCUUUUCUUUUUUUCUUCGGUGAACAAAUUAAAAAUUUAGUUUUUGUCAUCAUGACUAGUGAAAUGAAAAUAGUCCUCAUUGCAAGGAUUGACAAAAACGUUGUACUCAUACCGAUUAAUGGGGAACUAAUUUCGUCCUCUUCAAAAAGAAUUAUUUGCAGCGUGGUAAUUCGGACCUAAGUGAUAAGAAUUUCCAAAUGAGAUAUAAUUUGGAGGGAAACAAAAAACUAAUUCAAGUUAAAGACCAGGAAUUUGUGUUCCUCACAAAAACAAUAAUUCAAGCCUCGCAAUAAUUUUUUUGAUUUAUUUAAAAAAAAAAUUGUUUUCCUCACAAAACAUUUCAACGUCUAUUCUCUCGUACAGGGGAAUAUCCUUCACUCUUUGGCGUAUCCCUGGGGCAAUGUAAGUUGACUUUACAUUAAAACAAAAUAUAAUUACAAUCACAUAAUUACAAUUAUCAUCACUGAUUUGUAUAAUUUUCAGGACUAGUAAAUUAUCCCAAUUUUUAAAAAACAUAAUUACAAUUAUCGAUCGAACACCACUAAUUCCAACAAUUCAUCCAAGUUUUUCAACUUUUUAGAUAUUUGAUAUAUGUCAUGUUUUAACUUGGUACGAGAAAAAAAUUAUAGAAUAUUUUUUUUUCAAAUUAGUGGAAUUAUUUUACGAUAAAACUAUCACAAUCACAUUUAAAAACAUUCUUUAAAUUUUCACUAUUUCUACUGUUAUUCUUUAAACUUUUUUCUGAACAGAGCAUGGAGGGUCGCUUAUCUAAAUAUGUUUUCUGUGCUUUCACUUCACUUGAUUCAUCUUGUCCCUCUUUUAUAGCUUCUAUCUCGUGUGAGCUUAGAACCUGCAACUCGUAUUUUACGUUUCUGUUACUUUCUCUUUCAUUUUCCCGACUCCCAAACACCAUCAGUCCUUGAUGUUAUAGAGUAUUAGCUGUCUAUUUGUACAGACAUAGAGCUACUGUUCCCACUGUAGAUCUUCAGAUGGUUAGCUCACUAUUGUUUGAAUAUUAAAAUUAAUUUGUUAAAUAAAUAAAGAAAACAAGAGACAAUUGCCAUAUAUAUUCCAUAUUAAUUAGUCACCGUCCGAUUGUCUCUACUUCCAUUGACUCUGUUGAUUCAUGCUUUCAUGAAGUGAAACGCUUAACACUCUGUUCUGAUCCGCAGGAGAGGAGGAAAAACAUAAUUUUAUUAUUUCAUUCCUGACACACGCAAAGAGCUUUCUUAAUUGAUGAAUGUGACAUGAAGCUCUAUAAAUAGUUUAAUUUGUAAAAUUGUUAAAAUUUGUUAAAUUUCAUUUAAUUGAUGAAUGUGACAUGAAGCUCUAUAAAUAGUUUAAUUUGUAAAAUUGUUAAAAAUUUAAAUUUCAAGGUAGAUAAAAUGAUUAACUUUUUUCAAUAUUUAGAUAAUUAACAUGUGCCAUGUAACUAUGAAUGAAUGAAUGAAAUUUUUGAAGUGCGAAUCCAUUUACAAGUUACGACUUGUCUUAUUUCUCAUUUUACUUAAUUUUCAUAAAUUUGACUCACGAUCAAUUAUGAGUGAAGAGUUUGUUGGAAAAAUAUGGUAUUCCAUUUAUUGUAAUCAGAUGAGUGUGAUUUAAUUAUUUUUUCCUUUUGCUUGAUGUCCCGAAAAUUAUGAAUACUUUGUAGGAUGCAGAAGAUUAAAAAUUUUAACGCAUAUCUAUAGUCAAAACUGAGGAAACAGAACAUUAUUGCUUCUAUAAAUAGGUCAUUUCAACUUAAAACUUGUUACUUGUAUUUUACAUUUUUGUUUUUUAACUUUUUCUUCCAUUUUCCCAAACACCACCAAUCCUUGAUUCUUUUCUUAGAGUAUUAGCUGUCGAUUGUUAUAAACGUAGACAUACUGUUUGUCUAAUUACUAUCAAGAAACAACAUACUCUAUCCUGGGGUCUCUUCGUUUAUUUAAUAUUUAGGUUUAUUAAUAUACUAUAUUAUUAAUUAAAUUAAUUAAUAUUAAUUAAUAAUUUAAAUUAAUUAAAUAAUAAAAGUUAAAUGAUUAUAUUGAAAAUCCAAGUAGUAUUUUAAUGUAAUGAAACCUAAAUCCCACCUCUAUACCACAUUUGUUACACAAUGUAAUUAUAUAAAAAUAAUAUUUUAAUACAAUAUAAUACAAGUAUAAGGCUGUGUAAGGCUGUAAUAUUAAUUAGCCUGUGUAAUAGUAUCCCAUGCUGGCAAGUGUGCUAUAACAGAUUGUCGAGCUGGCACCAAUUAUUUUAAACUAAUAUUAGUAAUUAGUUUAGAGUGUUUCGAUUUAUUCUAUAAAUAGAUCAUUUAAGCUUUGAACCUGUGAACUUGUAACGUGUACUGUACUUUUCUAUUACUUCUAAUAAAGAUUUUCUCUAUUCCUUUUUCUUUCACUUUCUCCUCUGUUUUCCCGACCCUCAAACACCGUCAAUCCUUGAUUUGAACUACUGUUUGUUUGUCUAAUUACUUUCAAGAACAAUACCCUCCAUCCCGCGGUCUCCUCGUUUAUUGACUUGUUACUUAUGAACAGGGCUAAAUAAAGGGCAAAUAAGAUGUUGGGCCAAUGGACCCAACGUCACAGAUCUUGAAUUGAUUGCCUCUUCUUUUCUCUACAAAUCUUUGCUUAAUUUUUAUGUUUCCUCAACUUUUUCCCCCCUUUUGUGCUAAAAUUAUUUUUCUGAUACUUUAUGCAAAAAAUAUGAUAAAAAUGAAUUAGUUUAGAAUAUCAAUAAAUUUUUAUUACAUUCAAGAUAAGGACAACUACUCUUAGAUCACUUUUAUUUAGUUGAAUUAUAGGUAAUAAAAUUGGUUUUAACAAAAUAUGAUUCUUAACCCUUGUAAUUAAAGACUGGUGUUAUUUAGUUUAGUUGUAACACCAUGCAACAGGUCAUCUUGGUGGGUUCAAAUUAAUAUACGAUCAUUCUCAAUAUUUAAUAGUUCGUAAUUAAAAAUUCCAAUAUCACAAUUAGAAUUUACAAACAUGUCAAAGUCAGUUAAAUCAAACCUAUAAAUUUAAGGUUUACUACAAGCUUCUAACAAAUUAAAAUUUAAAACGAUUAAUUAAAUGCUAGACAAUAUUUAGCUUAUAAAUGUUCCCGACCACAUGAUGAAUGUACUUAAAACAUCCUAAUUGGUCGCUAAUUGAUUGGUUGUUAUUUUUUCAAUUUCUUUUUAUAUAUCUUUGAAGCUUCUAGUUUCAUAACAUGUUAUUUGCAAUUCGUGUAAAUUAUUAUUUUUUAAAUAUUAGAGCAACAACCAGUAUAAAAAUAAAAUGCACUCAUUUAAUGGAAAUUUUUCUAGAUGCUUCAAUGGCAGAAUCUCAUUGGUCUAUAACUCUCAAUAAAUUUUUCUAGAUGAUUCAAGAUUCAAUUUCAAACCAAUGCCGAACAAACAGUAUAAACCUUAAUAAGAUAGUUGAAUAACCAUCUCUUACGUCGGGUGACCGAAUAACCAUCGCUUACGUCGGAAUUUAAACUUAAACAAAGCUACAUCCCACGUGUUCCCCACUUUCUUCAUAUUUCCAAAAAACCCCUACCAGAUCCAGAUAAUCACCUUAACUUUUCUCGUAUAAAUAGAGAAGACGACGACGAUUCCUGCAAAGCCAGGUGAGUCACGUGAACGUUACGGCCAUGGGACAUUGGAAUUGGAUCAAACCACUGGAAUGCACAGCAAAAUUAACCCGAAUAAACUAGGUUGAGUUAAGAAUUACUUUUCUUUUCAUAAUAAAUUAGAUUGAGUCAAUAAUAUUUGCCUGUGUGAAAUGAAUAAUCAGUUUAGUGUCACCCCAUUAUUAAUUUGUGACUCUCCGAUUGUCUCCUUUUUCAUUGACUUUGCAACUGUGACUUCUGAACCGGGUUAAGAGUUGACAAAAAUGUUAAUGUUAAUAUGUUAUAAUUCAUAAAACACGCAUAAUUAAUUAAUGGCCCACCAAUUUCUUCUUCUCAAAAGAGAAUUUUUGCAGGAGAUUGAAAAAAGGCUAAUUCAUGUUAAAUAUCUUAGAUGAGUGUCUAUCACGGAUACAAGUCAAGCCACACGAUUUUUCUUGUUAUACUAUUUGUUGGCACUUGUGAAUCCUUGAAUUAUCAAAUGAAUAGCAACAACACUUCAAUAUCUAUUGUUACACGGAGAGAAAUCCGUUCUCUCUUUGAUGUACUACUUGGCAAUAUACAUUGAUCUUUCAUUAAAACAAGCAUUCUCAUAUUGUUGAGAAAAACUCACGUUAAACUAUUCAAUUUAAUCAUUUAUUAAACGGAUAUUUGGUUUGAUUCAUUUUAUUCAUUUAGUAGAAUUAAUAAACGAAUCGAAUCGAAUCCAGAUUCAUUUAUUCUAUUACAAAUCUACAACGAAUUGAAUCGAAUCGAAUCAGAAUUCAUUUACAGUUCGUUUAGAAAAAUAUAAUUGAUAAACAAAAUUAAGCAAAAUAAAAUAUAAAAAAAGCCGCAAAUUUAAUACCACUUCCUACACCAUAUUCCUAAUUAGCUAGGGAUAGUCUACCAUGCAAUGGCUGCUGUCUUAAUUAAAUAAGAUAUGUGCUUUUAUACGCCCUCUCAAAGAAUAUCGAUCUCCUCAAGACUUUACAUAUUUGUUUUUGAAUAUAAACACUUGUUCACUUCUACAUAUUUUUUUUUAGCUACAUCCAUAGAAUUGCUCUAGCCUCUACGUUGGACAUAGCUGCUGUCUUAAUUAAAUAAAAUAUGUACUUUCAUACGCCCUCUCAAAGAAUAUCUAUCUCGUGGAGGCUUUACAAGCUUCGGUGGGAUCUUUAGAAAACGUCUCGACGACUCAAAAGACUACACUCCCACUUUCAAAAGUGGCACGAUUUGAACUUAUCCUGCCAACCUUCUAGAAGAGUAGUGAUAAACUUCAAGAUCAUUCUUUUAAUUUUCUCCCUUUUAACAUUUUGGUUUCAGGUAAGGACCAAUCACUUGGACACUUCAAUUUUACUUUUGGACCUUUCUUAUAAUGACAACACCCUCCAUCCCUCGGUCUCUUCGUUUAUUGACUUAUUACUUGUGAACAGGACUAAAUAAAGGGCAAAUAAGAUGUUGGGCCAAUGGACCCAACGUCACAUAUCUUGAAUUGAUUGCCUCUUUUUUUCUCCAUAAAUCUUUACUUAAUUUUUAUGUUUCCUCAACUUCCCCCCCCCCCCCCCCCCCCUUUUGAUGAAUUAUUUUUCUGAUACUUUAUACAAAAAAUAUGAUGAAAAUGAAUUAGUUUAGAAUAUCAAUAAAUUUUUAUUACAUUCAAGAUAAGGAGAAAUUUGUAUAAAAGUCGUGAGAAUAGAACUUUUGGUAAAACAAAAGUCGCGGGCUUAUUUAGAAAAAAGAAAAAAUUACAUUCUAUUUUCCAAUUACUAUGGUCAGCCUUAACACAUGCCGGUCUUUUUCUCCUCUACUUUCUAGAAAUUUUGGUUUCACUAUAAAAACUCGGUAUAUAACAAACUUAUGAGUGUUCUUGCAUUACCAAUCCAACUAAGCACACGCUUACAAUCUAAAAUACUCUCAUCUCAUGGAAAGAGUUCAUUCUCUCAGGAUGAUGAGCAUAUUUCUCCUACUCCAUUGUUUGAUUAUUAUUUCCUUAUUUAUCGCAGCAACAACAGCCAACACAAGUUCUAAUAUCACAGACCGAGAUGCUCUGUUAGCCCUGAAAGCUCACAUAACUCAUGAUCCGACCAAUUUCUUGGCCAAGAAUUGGAACACAAGUACUCCUGUCUGUAAUUGGACAGGCGUCGCUUGUGACAUCCAUAGCCAUAGAGUCACAGUCUUGAAUAUUUCAAGCUUAAAUCUCAGAGGCACCAUCCCAUCUCAACUUGGGAAUCUUUCUUCUCUGCAAUCACUCAAUCUCAGUUGUAACCGACUUUCUGGUUCCAUUCCCUCCGCCAUCUUCACCAUAUACACACUGAAAAAUGUUAGUCUCGGUAAAAAUCAGCUCUCUGGGCAAAUUCCUACAAAUAUUUGUAGUAAUCUUCCUUUUCUUGAAUUUCUUUCUUUGUCCCUAAACAUGUUCCAUGGCGGAAUACCGUCCACUCUAUCAAAUUGCACAUAUUUAAGAAUCUUAAGUUUGGCAUACAAUGAUUUCUCGGGAGCCGUACCUAGAGAAAUCGGUAACUUGACCAAACUUAAGGUAUUAUAUAUUGGCGCGAAUAGACUCCAAGGUGCGUAUGGUCAUGGAGUUUAAUUAUAAACAUUGUUCCAUGAGUUGUAAUAUGAAUAAUGUUCCAUAAUACACUUCUGAGCCCGAAAUCCUUUCCUUUCCUCCUUGACUCUCCUAUCGUCGAGCUAAGUGACUCUGUCAUGCCGCUUCAAGUAAUACAAACGUUGAUUAAUUUGCAGGAGAAAUUCCUCGAGAGUUUGGCAAUCUUACCGAAUUGGAGCAGUUUUCGUUACCAACAAACAAUCUCCAAGGUAUGAUUUUAAACUUUUUGCAAUUUUAUUCUAGCUCUGCUUGCUUCUGUAUUCAUUCGUUUGUUCAUUAAUUAUGCUAUGAUUUAUUGUUUUUCUUUCAAAUAGAGAUAAAGCUCCAUGUCUCCCCUCACUCAUUUCGUUCUUUGAUUUAUGCAGAUAAAAAUAAAAAAAAAUGUUUUGUAAUUUUCUUUUGUCAUAUUGCCACUUCCCUUUUAAAGCUCCCAAUUAAGUCGAUGAAAAUGAAUGAUGCUUCAUUCGUAUUCUUGUCAGCCUAAUUCUUAUAUAAUUGAAGAGUAAAUUGUUAUUAUGAUAUUCGUCAGCCAAUAAAUUCUUUUUUUUUUCUCAAAAUAUGAGUGAUCAAAUUGUUUGCGCAUAUAUAAUUUUACUUAAUUUGCAGGAGGUAUUCCACAGGAAUUGGGGAAUCUUGCAAAAUUGGAGAUUUUACAGCUGUUCCAGAAUAACUUGACCGGUAACCAUCUUUACUAUAUAUAUAUGAGACAUCUUCCGCUUCUUAAUUAAAAGAUUUCAAGUCUCUCAUUAUAAAUUCUCAUAUGAGGAUAUGUCAUUACUACAAUCUAACAUUAUUCCCUUUUUUAUUAGAAAUUAGUUUGUGUUAAUUCAAAAUUUUGUAACAUUUAAAAAAAAUUAAAAACACGUGGAAUAAAUCAUCAAUCUUUCUUCUUUAUUGAAUUUGGAUUUCUCAAAAAUUUUCUUGACAAGUAUACUUCACUAAUGAUAUGCAUGUGUGACAACUUCAUAAAAUAUUUUACAUGGAGUCACCAAUUAUCUUUAAAUAAUUGGAGAUGCCAUCAGUGAUACAUAAUUUCUUAACAAGCACCAUAUCAAAAGAAAUCAACAAUUUUAUUAAUCUUCAAGAGUUGCAUCUUCACUGCAAUUAUGACAUAAAUUUUUAGUCAUCAAUCGCAUAAUAUUUUAUCUUAACGGAUGAUGUUCAGUCUUGGAAUUUAUAAUACCUUGAAGGUUAGUAGCUUUGAAAAUAAGAACUGUUCAUUUGCUAAAAAGUUAACUUAGUAUUUAAGUUUUUCAAUUGAAAAUUUUGAAAAAAGUCUUGAGAACUGCCCUCCUUAGUAUUUCAGCUGAUAAAUAUGAAAAAUAGGCUAGAAGAAAUAUUGUUGUGUGUGCUUAUUCUACUUGGGCUUUGGGCUUGAUUACAAGGUCGAGCCUUGAUUACAAGGUCGAGCACUUACACCUGUCAUAAUAAUAGGCUUUUACUGUCACCACACGUUUAAUAAUUUCUUAACCUUCCGAAUUAAGUUAUAGCAAUUUAUAUAUAAAUAACUAUAGCAUACUAAUGCUAGCACAAAGUACUCAUGACUUAGGCUUGUUGUGUUACCUAUUACACACGGUCGAACACUUACAUCUAUUAGAAUAACAAUAGCAUCCGCGGAUCGACUAUCAGUGAUCAAAUUGUUUGCACAUAUGUAAUUUGCAGGACCAAUUCCACGGGAGUUGGGAAAUAUUACAGGAUUGGGGAUCUUAGCGCUGUCUGAUAAUUUUUUAACCGGUAUCAUUCCUUCAUCUAUCUACGAAUUGCUUUUCUCUAUUAAAUUUGGAACUGUCAUUUAAUAACUUAACAGGUAACUUCCCUUACAAAAUGUCUGUGUGACAUGUUUUGCUUCUAAAUUAAAAUAUUUCGCGUCUCUCAUUAUAAAUUCUCAUAGGCGGAUGUAUUGUUACUACUAUUUAACAUUAUCUCAUUUUUUUAUUAGAAAUUAAUCUGUGUUUAUGCAAAAAAAUUUAGCAUCUAAAAAAAGUAUAAAAACACGUGGAAUAAAUCGAAAAUCUUUCUUCAUUACUGAAUUCGGAUUUCUCAAAAAUUAUCAUGAGAACUUCAUAAAAUAUUUUACAUGGAAUCAGUAAUUAUCUUUAAAUAGUUGGAGAUGCCAUCACUAAUAAAUAGUUUCUUAAAAAGCAUCAUACUAAAAGAAUUCAAUAAUUUUAAUAAUCUUAAAGGGUUACAUCUUCACUGCAAUUAUGACAUAAUUUUUUAUCUAAAUAUAUUUUUAGUCAUCAAUCGCAUAAUAUUUUAUCUUGACGGAUGAUGUUCAAUCUUGGAAUUUAAAAUAUCUUGAAGGUUAGUAGCUAUGAAAAUUAGAAAAUUUUUAUUUGCUAAAAAAUUAACUUAGUAUUUAAGCUUUUCAAUUGGAAAAUUUGAAAUAAAUGUUGAGAACUGGCCCUCCUUAGUAUUUCAGCGGAUAAAUAUGGAAAAUAGGAUAGAAAAAAUUAUUUUACUGAAAUAAUAGUUAAAAAUAGAGGAGAAGUACAGUACUCAUGACUUAGGCUUGCUGUGUACUUUUUUUUACUUGGGGUUCGGGCUUGAUUACACACGGUCGAAUACUUACACAACUCCCCCACAUAGGGUUUUACUUUCAUCCCACAUUUGAUAAUUUCUUAACCUUCCCAAUUAGAUUAUAGCAAUUUAUAAAUAAAUAAAUAACUAAAGCAUACUAAAGCUAGCAUUGAUGGAUGGAUGAGUGGUGUCAAAAGUGUAUCUGUUUUUAUGUAUUAUUGUUCCCUGAUACAAAUCUAAAUAAUGGAAAAUAUAAAUUUAAUACUUUAUUUAAUACUCUGUUAACAUUUUAUCUAUAUAUAAUAAUUAAACUGAAACUCGUACUUAAAAAAAUUUUGGUUACGCAUAUUCAUUUCAUGAUAAAAAAAUGUCUAUUUACACUAAUUUACCAUUAUCAAUAAAAUGCUUUGAGACAAAUAAUCUAAUUUAUAUUAGUAUAUUUAAAAUACUUGCAUUUAUUAUAUUUUUGAAAAAAAAUUAUUUGCAAUUAUUUUAAACCUUUGAAUUCAAAUUUUCUUAGUUAUUAAAGUCAAAGGGUAUAAAUGUAUAAUAGUCAAAAAACAGAUUUGUAUGAUCAUUUUUCAAUGUAUAAAUUUUCUUAGUUAGUAGGAAAUUAAAAAUUGUUGAUUUACUCAUAAAUAAAUUUAGUGUUUAGCAUUUCAAUUUUGGAAAACUUGAACUAAAUGUUGAUAACUUCGAAUCCAUCGAGCCAAGUUUCGCUUCCUUGACACACAGACCCAUUCGAAUUGAGUUUCCAAGUGCUUAGAAAAAGCAUUUUCUUUUCCAUGUCACUAUAAUUUAUUCACAAAAGAGUUGAUUAGCAUCGAUGUUGCUGCAGAGUCUGAGACCAUGUUAGUAGGAGAAAUUUGAAAAGAAAUUAUUUUACUAAAUUAACUUAUUUUAUCUUGCUGUAACUGAAAUACUACCUUUUUUUUUUUUUUUUGUUAUCACUGGGGCUUGAUUUACUUUAAUAAUAGCAGCCACAAGCUUAGGCUUUUUUUACUUUUCACCACACAAUUUGAUCUUUUAAUUCAUUUUAACCACAUAAUCUAUCUAUCUCACACCUAUUGCUUACUUAAAUCGCAUACAUAUUUUACCUUACUAAUUUUUACAAACAUUAGUGAAAUAUAUUUUAUUACAUUUCGCUUGUAACUGCUCUAGUUGUGCACUAUUAAUACUUAACCCUCCCUUUUAAUUUACCGUGCAAUCUAUCAACCACUUAAAUUACAUAUAUAUUUUAUCUAUAUAUUUUUCCCGAAAAAAAAUAUAAAAAUAACAGAAAAAGAAUAUGUGUAGCAAUUUGUAUGGAACUAACAAAGCAUUGACGGUGUGUAGCCUUUCAAUACUUCAUGAGUGGCUUUUCUUGUGUGUUAGUACUAGUAAUAAUUGUGUAGUGUAUAAAUGACCUUUUAUUAUUAAAGCGCGUCCGUUGUUAGAUAUUAUUUAUUAUUUGAAAAAUAAUCUGAAUAUAAUUCUUUUCAAAAUACAGGGGAGAUACCAACUGAAAUCAGUAAUCUCCGUAAUCUGGAGGAGUUGGACCUUGCUCGAAACAAAUUAGUUGGUAUUGUCCCAGCUGCAAUCUUCAAUGUGUCAACACUCCAGCAUCUUGGUCUUCAAGAUAAUUCUCUCUUGGGAUGUCUUUCGUCCAUCGGAGACGUCCGACUUCCAAAUCUUGAAGGGCUUUAUUUGUCGGGUAAUAAUUUCAGUGGCACAAUUCCUAGAUUCAUCUUUAAUGCUUCUAAGCUCUUUAAGCUAUCGUUGCAAAGGAACUCACUCUUUGGUUUUAUUCCCAACACAUUUGGCAACUUAAGAAACCUUAAGUGGCUGUCUUUAUAUGAUAAUUAUUUGACAUCUUCAACUCCAGAAUUGAGCUUUCUAUCCUCGUUGUCAAAUUCCAAGUCUUUAACAUUUAUUGACUUAUCAAAUAAUCCACUAGAUAGCGUUCUUCCAAAGACAUUUGUCGGUAAUGUUUCUCAUUCUUUGGAAUUCUUUGUCAUGUCGUAUUGUAACAUUAGUGGCGUCAUCCCUGAAGAGAUCACCAACUUGACCAAAUUGACAACCAUUAUUUUAGGAGGCAAUAAAUUGAAUGGAUCAAUUCCAAUUACUCUCAGCAAGUUACAAAAGCUUCAAUAUUUGGGUCUUGACGAUAACAAAUUAGAAGGAUCAAUCCCAGACAGUAUUUGUCGUUUAGCUGAACUGUAUGAUUUGGAGUUGGGUGGUAAUAAGCUAUCUGGAUCAAUCCCUGCAUGCUUCAGUAAUCUGGCUUCUCUGAGGACACUGUCGUUGGAUUCCAAUGAGUUAACUUAUAUUCCCUUAACUUUUUGGAACCUUAAGGAUAUCUUGUACCUCAACUUUUCAUCAAAUUUUUUGAUUGGUCCACUCCCAUUAGAGGUUGGAAAUUUGAAGGUUUUAGUUGGAAUUGAUUUUUCGAUGAAUAAUUUUUCAGGCGUUAUCCCAACAGAAAUUGGAGGCCUACAAAAUCUAGAAUAUCUCUUCUUAGGAUAUAACAGAUUGCAAGGAUCGAUUCCUGAUUCAUUCGGUGAUUUGAUAAGCUUGAAAUCAUUGAAUUUGUCUAAUAAUAAUCUCUCUGGGGCUAUUCCUGCAUCUUUUAGAGAAACUCUUAUAUCUUGAAGAUCUAAAUCUUUCUUUCAACAAACUAGAAGGAGAAAUUCCUAGGGGAGGGUCUUUUGGAAACUUCUCAGCUGAAUCAUUUGAGGGAAAUGAAUUAUUAUGUGGUUCACCCAAUUUACAAGUCCCGCCAUGUAAAACUAGCAUCCACCCCACAUCAUCAAAAAAAUUCUCUUCUCCUGGGGAUCGUCUUGCCAUUGAGUACUACAUUUAUGAUAGUAGUCAUUUUGUUGAUCCUAAGAUAUCGACAGAGAGGAAAACGACCAUCGAAUGAUGCUAAUAUACCACUAGUAGCAACAUGGAGAAUGUUUUCAUACCUAGAACUCUGUCGAGCAACAGACGAAUUCAGUGAAAAUAAUCUAAUUGGCAAAGGUGGUUUUGGCUCUGUUUACAAAGCAAGACUUGGGGACGGGAUGGAGGUUGCAGUGAAGGUUUUCAAUUUGCAAUGUGGAAGAGCAUUUAAGAGUUUCGAUAUUGAAUGUGAAAUGAUGAAAAGUAUUCGCCAUCGAAACCUUAUCAAAGUUAUUAGCAGUUGUUCAAAUGAAGAGUUUAAAGCGUUGGUAUUAGAAUACAUGCCUCAUGGAAGUUUGGAGAAGUAUUUGUAUUCAAGUAACUGCAUUUUGGAUAUUUUUCAAAGAUUGAACAUAAUGAUAGAUGUUGCAUCAGCUUUGGAAUAUCUGCACUUUGGUCAUUCAGCUCCAAUAAUUCACUGUGACUUAAAGCCCAGCAAUGUAUUGUUAGACGAUAAUAUGGUUGCUCAUUUGAGUGAUUUUAGCAUCGCAAAAUUGCUAACAGGAGAAGAUCAAUCUAUGACUCAUACACAAACACUUGCAACAAUAGGCUAUAUGGCACCAGGUUUGUUUAAUAUAAGUUAUUUAUAUUUCAUGAUCUUGAUUAGAUGAGGAAUUAUUAUUAAUGAUAUAUCUUACUAUGUAAUUGUUGCAAUUCAUAGAGUAUGGAAGAGAAGGACGAGUAUCCGCAAAUGGAGAUGUUUAUAGCUUUGGGAUUAUGUUAAUGGAAACAUUUACUGGGAAGAAACCCACAGAUGAAAUGUUUAAUGGAGAAAUGACAUUAAAGCAUUGGGUUAAUGAUUGGCUACCCAUUUCCACUAUGGAAGUUGUUGAUGCUAAUUUGCUAAGUCAGGAGGAUACAUUUUGUUGCAAAAGAGCAAUGUGUGUCAUUUGUCUUCAAUUUAGCUAUGAAGUGCACUGUGGAAUCCCCUGAGCAAAGAAUCAAUGCAAAAGAAAUUGUAGCAAAACUCUUAAAAUUAGAGACUCAUUACUUAGAAAUGUUGGAGGCAGAUGUAUAAGACAAUCAAAUUUAAAUUGAUUCUGCCCCUCCUUCAUUGCUUGCUAUCCUUUUCAGAGACUUGAACAGUUAUCCUCCAUAGAAGUUUUGCUGAUAUGUUUUGUUAUUGCUCUUGCUCAUGUUUAUUUCUCUCUUUCUUUAAUUUGCAUGCGUGCAUUUUAGUUCUCUUCCAUGUUUGUGUUGGUUUAUAUGUAGUUUGUUUUUGGGAUAUGGUUUAUUAUGUCCUCACCCUAAUUAGAUGUAUCCUUUUGAUUUUUAUCAAUAAAGCUUCGCUAGUACUAUCGAGGUUAAUCGAAAGAAAAUUUUCAAUUGAUUUUCUUUUCUUUGACUAUAAUGGAAAUUCUAAUCUUUAUAGUGAAUAACUUCAAUAAUAGAGUGUAAGAGUAUUAGUAGUUGUGGUUGUUUUCUGAACUUGGAGUUAGAGUAGUUUAACAGCAACAAAUAGGUCUCUUGUAUUAUAGGCAAAAUUCUUUUCAUUAAUCUUAUUUGUCUACAUUUUCUCCUAUUUUCUUCUUUAAUCUUCGCUCAAGGUUUCAUGCUUCCAUUUUGACAUGUGAGAUUGUUUGUCAUCCAUUUGCUAAAAUGGAUAUGAGAGGAGCUUUCAAUCAUUACCUCCACCAAAAUCCUUACAAUGCAACUUUUAAAUUUAUUUUUUAAAAUACGUUCAGUUAAUUUAUAAAAAAUAAAUCCAUUUGUUAAAAUUAAUCUUUUUCUCAUAAAUUGCAACCUAAAAAAUAUAUUUCUUUUAAGUUUUAUUUUAAAAUACAUACAAGUUCUAAACUAUUAAUUAUUUUUUCUUAUUAUAUAGUUUAUAUUUCCAUAACUCUAAACUCCUAUAAUUUUAAAAAAUAUAUUUUUAAUUUAAAAUAUGAAUAAAAUAUAGAAUGGAGUGGGUAUACAAGUUUUGUAAAAGAAUAAUUCAUUUAAGUAUUUAGCUGAAUUUUAAUUUAAAUAAGAAAUAAUUAAUUUAUUUUUUAUUAGUUAAGUAAUUUUUAAUUGAAAANNNNNNNNNNNNNNNNNNNNNNNNNNNNNNNNNNNNNNNNNNNNNNNNNNNNNNNNNNNNNNNNNNNNNNNNNNNNNNNNNNNNNNNNNNNNNNNNNNNNNNNNNNNNNNNNNNNNNNNNNNNNNNNNNNNNNNNNNNNNNNNNNNNNNNNNNNNNNNNNNNNNNNNNNNNNNNNNNNNNNNNNNNNNNNNNNNNNNNNNNNNNNNNNNNNNNNNNNNNNNNNNNNNNNNNNNNNNNNNNNNNNNNNNNNNNNNNNNNNNNNNNNNNNNNNNNNNNNNNNNNNNNNNNNNNNNNNNNNNNGAAAACUUGAAUAGAAAUACUCCAAUGUAAUUUUACACAUGCAAAUUAUGAACCAGUGAUCUUUAGAGCAUCAUAAAAUUAUUUUAACACAAUUAGUUAGUUUGAAAAAUUGCCAAUAAUGUUUAAAGUGGGAUUGAAAAGAUUAUACUAAAAAUAUAAGACAUGAUAUCAUUUAAGAGCUUACAGAUUAUGAGAAAUAUAUUGAUCUUACAAAUAAUAUAAAAUAUGUCAAUUAGACUGAGUCUAUGCAAUAAAAGUUUCAAAUUAAAAAAUAAACCUUUAUUUUCUUUUAAUCAUUAAUGUGAUCUUAAUUAUUAAAGUCAUUCAAUGUCCAUUACUUAUUUAUUUUUUUAAUUAUUUAAAUGACAUUGAAAACUCUACUCAAUAUUAAUUCAUUCUAGUGUUUUGUUUUAAAGUAAUCGGAAACUACAAAUGAAACAAAUGCUUGAAAUCACAAAUGGCCUAAAAUUAGAUUUUUAUUUCUUAAUGUUGUAGUGACUUUGAUCUUGAUAUUGAAAAUUUAUUUGUAACUUAUAUAAAGGCCUCGAUUUUAUCAUAAUUGAUUAGUAAGGCUAUGUACGGGAGCAUGGAUAAAUUUUGAGAUUGGAUUAUAUUUUUGGAACUAAAAAAUUAAUUUCAUCCAAUGUUAUGUAUAGCUGUUGGGACUAGCAAAUUAGUCUAAAAUUAUUGAAAUUAUUAGUCUUUUAAAUUAUAAUUUUUUCGUUCCCACUUUAAAAACAAAAAAUAUUUUGGUGGAAAACUGUACAAUGAUUAAAAACAAAAAAUUAUCAUUUUCCAAUGUUUACAAAGAAAACAAGAGACAUUUUAUUUCACUUUUACGCUCGGGCCUCACUAUCUUAACUUUUGUAACAUAGUGUAAUAAAUUACGUGGGCCCAUUUAAUAAAGAAAUAAUCUAAUAAAUAAACUAAUAUAACAAAUAUUUAAAAAUAAUAGCAAUAGUUUAUUCCAUACCUUGCAGCUUAACUACUUAAUAGAUUACCCAAAUUGUUUUAAAUAAAAAGUAAUAUCAUAUAAUUAUUAUACUAAAUUAUUACAUUGUUCGACCAAUAUGCAGUUAUUUAAAAAUUAUUACAAAUUUUCAUAUAUUAAUGAAAAUAUUUCAAUAAUAAAGUUACUUCUUGACAGCUAAUAUAAAUAAAUAUAUGAUAAUUAUGAAAUAAUUUAAAAUUUUCUCAAUUAAUAUUAUCUUAUAACUACAAUUUAUUUACAUAAUUAAAAGUUUUUAAGAAAUCAUAAAAUAUCAUCGUACCUAUAUGCAUUUAUAAUAAUAUAUAAUACAUCAUAAUAUAAUAGCUAAAUAGAUAAAUUAUUAAUGAUAUAAAAUAUAUAUUUAUAUUCACUGUAUUAUAUUAUUCUUUCAUAAUUGUUUCAUUAAAUAAUUCCCUAUUCUCUCUCUUUUUGUCUUCAUUUUUUCAGAUAAGCAACCAAAAAUUUUUUUUUUAUUUUAUUUUCAAGUACUGUUUUUAAAAUAAGGUACCAAACAUGUUUUUAUUUUUAAUAAAAACUAAUCAUUCUUAUUUCAUAAAAUAAAUUCAAAAACACCAUUUAAAAAAUAAUACCAAAUGCACCCUUAGAAACUAUGAGAAAUAUACUGAUUUUGCAAAUAUAUUUAAUACGUCGAUUAGACUGAAUCUUUGGAAUAAAAAUUUCAAAUUAAAUAAUAAACCCUUAGUUUCCUUUUAAUCGUAAUUAUAAUCUUAAUUAUUAAAGACAUUUUAUUUUGUGCUUGUCUUUUUUUAUUCACUCUUUUUUUAAUGAAAAAUAUUGCUCUGCAUGCAAGUCUUUGGUCGCGGGCCUAGGCGUCCCAAACAUCCAGCUGACAGCGACGUUUCCACUUUGAUUAUCCGCACUUCCCAGAAGUCGCAAGGAAAGACUUAUUCGAGUAGUUUGAUUGGUUUGAAGAUUCAUGAGACUGCUUUUCACUAGAAUUCCACGGCCUCAUUCAUUUUUUUUUUUAAUAAUCUAAAUGACAUCGAACACUCUACUCAAUAUAAAUUUUAUUCGAAUGUUCUGUUUCAACCUAAUCGGAAAUUACAAAUGAAACAAAUGCUUGCCAUCACAAACGGCCUAAAUGGGAUUUUUGUUUUUUAAAUGUUGCAAUGACUUUGAUCCUGAUGUUGAAAAUUUAUAAUGGCUUCAAUUUUAUCAUAAUUGGUUUAUAAUGCUCUGUUAGGAAGCAUGGAUAAACUGUUGGAUUAGAUUAGAUUUUAGGACUAAAAAUUAAUUUCAUCCAAUGUCAUAUUUAGCUGUCGUGACUAAUAAAUUAGUCCAAAAUUAAGAUAAGAUUUAUAAUAUUAAAUGAAAUAUUUUUGUUCUCUUUAUCACUCUUUUCUUUUUCAUUUAAAUUAAAUAUAAACAAUAAUUUCAUAAUUUUUUGUAGAAUUUUAUAUUAUACUAAAUAUCGAAAUUCUAUUCAAUAAUUUAUUUUAAGUUGUAUUUACUUAAGAUUAGUUAUCUAAGUUUAAUACAAUAAUUUAUUUGAAUAGUAUUGAAUAUUAAACAUUAAAAAUUAUUCAAUUAUUUGUUUAAAAUAAAAUUGAAUAUUAAAUAUUGAAAUAAUUAUUUAAUAGCAUAUUAUAUUAUUAAUAUAAUUAUUUAAUAGUCCAAUCUAAUGUUGUACAAAACAUGCACAAUACUAUAUAUAAUCCAAACUAAUCCAAUUCAAUCUUAAUUAAUAUUCAAUCCAAUCUUGUGAGUCAAAAUUGGCCUAAGGUUACCAAUUGUGCAAUAAUCUUUAUAGCCCGUUUCCCAGCCACACACCCUCCCUUUUCUAUUUGUAACUCGUAAUCUAACAAAUGACAUUAUACGGCUGUUACUUGCUAGUUUUUAUAAGGUGGCCAAGGCCUUUUAUCAAAACACUAUAGGAUCAACUAGUACAAAAUGAAUUCAUUUGGGAUGCAUUUAACGUACUGUGUUAGCUAUAUCGUAUUAUAAUGUAUUGCAUUAACAUGCAUUAUAUUAAGUUAUAAUGUUAUACUUUGAUAUAGUAUAAAUUGUAUUAUAUAAGGUAAUGUUUUAUAUUAAUGUUAAAACUAAAUUAAUAUUAUUUAAAUUUAUUAAUAUUUUAGGAUUUUUAUUAAUUUUUUAAAUUAAGUAUUAAAAAUUAUUUUAUAUAUAUAAAUGAGUUAAUAAUAUACUAUUAUUAAAUGAUAAAAUAUUAAAGUACUAUGUUAUAUUAUUAAAAAUUAUUAUAUUAUAAUAUAAUUUAUUUCUAGAUAUUAAUUAUUAUAAUAUAGUAUAAUCAUAUAAUAAUAUAAUAUAAGUUAAUAUUAUAUUGUAAAAAUAUAUAUUGUACAAUUAUUUAAUGUAAUAUAAAUUAAUUUAUACUAUAAUAUUAAAUUAUAAAUUUAUUUUUAUUAAUUAAAUAAAAUUAAAAUACUUUUAUGUAUUUAAACUAAAAUAAUUAAAAUAAUUUAUGUAAUAGAAGUAUGAUAAUGUAUUAUCAUUUUCUCAUUAAAUAUUUUUAGGUUUAUUAAUUUGUUAAAUUAUUAUUUAAAUUAAAAUUAAUUGUUUAAAUGUAAUAUAAAUAUAAUGAAUGUUUAAUAAAUCUACUCCUAUGGAUCUAUUUUAUAACUUUUUAUUCUAUAAAUCACGCUUAUAAUGUAGUUGUAUAAUAGAAACUGGAUAUUUAAUGGAAGCAAAAUCGCGCACGGUUUGUGGGUUAAAAGGGUCAGGAUUCUCUCCUGAUCUGAUCUUCAUUUGAGCAAAUUCUGUUAAUAUGAUUAGUGGUUAAUAAGUUAAAAAGAAAAAGUAGUUAAAUCAUAAUCAUCCAAUUUGAUACACUGAUUUUGUCCUCUUUAAUAUUUUUCUAGAUGCUUCCAUGUCAUAAUCUCAUUGGUCCAGUUUUCUUCACUGCUUAGAUUCAACUUCAAAAAUCAAUUUGAAGCAAACACAACAAUUCAACAAAUAUAAUAAGCGUCGAUAAGCUUGUGGCUGACUGGCUGUGGCCAAGCAAAACGUACCUCAUGGUUACCGAAUCAUAUCUUACGUCAGAAUUUUUAACUUAAACUAUGUUACCGUUCCACGUGUCACUCUCCAAAAAAUCCCCAAACUUUUAUCGUAUUUCCAAAGAAACCCCUAACAAAUCAAGGUAAUUACCGUCACUCUGCUCAUAUAAAUAGUCUCCUUGAUUCAACUGAUGUAGGGAUGGCAAUGGGGUGGGGUGGGGUGGGGGUGCGGAAUGGGGUACAUUAAAAUUUUUUGUCUCCAUUCCCCACCUAUUCCCUAAUAAAUUUAGUGGGUUGGGGAUGGGGAAUCCCACAUGGGGAAUGGUUUCCCCAUCCUCACCCAUUCCCCAUUUACCUAUUUUAUAGUAAAUAUAAAUAUAUUAUUUCAGUAAAUUAAAAAUUAGAAACUUAAAAUAAAUCAUCACCAUAUUAUGAAGUAUUUAUUUUUUUAAAAAAAAAUCUCUAAAAGUUUGAAACAAUAUCUUAAAAUGAUAUUAAAAGUGAAAAAUAUUUAAAGACAGCAACACCUUAAAAGAGAAAAGAAAACAUAAUAAUGUUUUAGAAUUGAAAAAUAUUGUAGGAUUUUCUUUUAUUCAUAUCUUGUUUAUAUUACAUAAAAAUUUAAAAAAAUUAUUAAUUGACAUUAUAGUUGAUAAAAUAAAAAUUACUAAAUAAGAAUUAAAAAUAUAUUUAUAUAUAAUGGGGAUUGGGGUAGGGGUGGGGUGGGGAGUGCAAUACCAAACCCCACUCCGUUAAUAAUUUGAGAAUUAUUUUUCCCCACUCCCACCCCAUUCCCCAAAAAUUAUUAAAAAAAAUUUCUAUUUGGGGUGGGGCUUCAUGGGGUCUCAAACCCGUGGAGGAUUUUGCCAUCCCUAAACUGAUGACAUAUCCUCAUAUAAAUAAAGACUAUGACGACAUUUAUUUAGAAGGGAAAAUUAUAAAAAAAAAUCUCCUCUUUCUCUGAAAAUAUAGGGUUUCUCAAGAAUAGCUAAACCUACAUCCCUAUCCUGCAAACUCUCAAUUUAACCUCUCUAGGGUUUCGAUUGAAGAGCAUUCGCUUCAAAAUUUAUUAUUCUUUUAGUGGAUUUUGGUUGUCGCGUAUCCUUCAGUUGUUAGUUCGGUUCGGAUAAUAAUUUGGAAUUCAGUUUCAAGGGUUAAGUGCAAUUUCUAAUUUUUUUAUACAAUUUAAAUUGAAAUUGAUAGAACAAUUGGGCGGUUAAUAAUUAAUUGAUGGCUAGUGAUACUACAACGGCGCCCGCGCCCGCAGCUCCGGAAAAAGUGGAGGCGGUGGAGGAGUAUGAUAGCAAUCCAGAUGAAGUGAAACGCUGUCUUGGGACACGCAGAAGGGAAGCCAGCGAUGACGAGGACGUGCAAUACCAAACCCCACUCCGUUAAUAAUUUGAGAAUUAUUUUUCCCCCACUCCCCACCCCAUUCCCCAAAAAUUAUUAAAAAAAUUUUCUAUUUGGGGUGGGGCUUCAUGGGGUCUCAAACCCGUGGAGGAUUUUGCCAUCCCUAAACUGAUGACAUAUCCUCAUAUAAAUAAAGACUAUGACGACAUUUAUUUAGAAGGGAAAAUUAUAAAAAAAAUCUCCUCUUUCUCUAAAAAUAUAGGGUUUCUCAAGAAUAGCUAAACCUACAUCCCUAUCCUGCAAAAUCUCAAUUUAACCUCUCUAGGGUUUCGAUUGAAGAGCAUUCGCUUCAAAAUUUAUUAUUCUUUUAGUGGAUUUUGGUUGUCGCGUAUCCUUCAGUUGUUAGUUCGGUUCGGAUAAUAAUUUGGAAUUCAGUUUCAAGGGUUAAGUGCAAUUUCUAAUUUUUUAUACAAUUUAAAUUGAAAUUGAUAGAACAAUUGGGCGGUUAAUAAUUAAUUGAUGGCUAGUGAUACUACAACGGCGCCCGCGCCCGCAGCUCCGGAAAAAGCGGAGGCGGUGGAGGAGUAUGAUAGCAAUCCAGAUGAAGUGAAACGCUGUCUUGGGACACGCAGAAGGGAAGCCAGCGAUGACGAGGACGUGGAGGAGGAGAGAGAUUGGGACACGCAGAAGGGAACCCAGCGAUGACGAGGACGUGCAAUACCAAACCCCACUCCGUUAAUAAUUUGAGAAUUAUUUUUCCCCCACUCCCCACCCCAUUCCCCAAAAAUUAUUAAAAAAAUUUUCUAUUUGGGGUGGGGCUUCAUGGGGUCUCAAACCCGUGGAGGAUUUUGCCAUCCUAAACUGAUGACAUAUCCUCAUAUAAAUAAAGACUAUGACGACAUUUAUUUAGAAGGGAAAAUUAUAAAAAAAUCUCCUCUUUCUCUGAAAAUAUAGGGUUUCUCAAGAAUAGCUAAACCUACAUCCCUAUCCUGCAAAAUCUCAAUUUAACCUCUCUAGGGUUUCGAUUGAAGAGCAUUCGCUUCAAAAUUUAUUAUUCUUUUAGUGGAUUUUGGUUGUCGCGUAUCCUUCAGUUGUUAGUUCGGUUCGAUAAUAAUUUGGAAUUCAGUUUCAAGGGUUAAGUGGCAAUUUCUAAUUUUUUAUACAAUUUAAAUUGAAAUUGAUAGAAACAAUUGGGCGGUUAAUAAUUAAUUGAUGGCUAGUGAUACUACAACGGCGCCCGCGCCGCAGCUCCGGAAAAAGUGGAGGCGGUGGAGGAGUAUGAUAGCAAUCCAGAUGAAGUGAAACGCUGUCUUGGGACACGCAGAGGGAAGCCAGCGAUGACGAGGACGUGCAAUACCAAACCCCACUCCGUUAAUAAUUUGAGAAUUAUUUUUCCCCACUCCCCACCCCAUCCCCAAAAAUUAUUAAAAAAAUUUUCUAUUUGGGUGGGGCUUCAUGGGGUCUCAAACCGUGGAGGAUUUUUUUGCCAUCCCUAAACUGAUGACAUAUCCUCUAUAUAAAUAAAGACUAUGACGACAUUUAUUUAGAAGGGAAAAUUAUAAAAAAAAUCUCCUCUUUCUCUAAAAAUAUAGGGUUUCUCAAGAAUAGCUAAACCUACAUCCCUAUCCUGCAAAAUCUCAAUUUAACCUCUCUAGGGUUUCGAUUGAAGAGCAUUCGCUUCAAAAUUUAUUAUUCUUUUAGUGGAUUUUGGUUGUCGCGUAUCCUUUCAGUUGUUAGGUUCGGUUUCGGAUAAUAAUUUGGAAUUCAGUUUCAAGGGUUAAGUGCAAUUUCUAAUUUUUUUAUACAAUUUAAAUUGAAAUUGAUAGAACAAUUGGGCGGUUAAUAAUUAAUUGAUGGCUAGUUGAUACUACAACGGCGCCCGCGCCCGCAGCUCCGGAAAAAGCGGAGCGGUGGAGGAGUAUGAUAGCAAUCCAGAUGAAGUGAAACGCUGUCUUGGGACACGCAGAAGGGAAGCCAGCGAUGACGAGGACGUGCAAUACCAAACCCCACUCCGUUAAUAAAUUGAGAAUUAUUUUUCCCCCACUCCCCACCCCAUUCCCCAAAAAUUAUUAAAAAAAUUUUCUAUUUGGGGUGGGGCUUCAUGGGGUCUCAAACCCGUGGAGGAUUUUGCCAUCCCUAAACUGAUGACAUAUCCUCAUAUAAAUAAAGACUAUGACGACAUUUAUUUAGAAGGGAAAAUUAUAAAAAAAAUCUCCUCUUUCUCUAAAAAUAUAGGGUUUCUCAAGAAUAGCUAAACCUACAUCCCUAUCCUGCAAAAUCUCAAUUUAACCUCUCUAGGGUUUCGAUUGAAGAGCAUUCGCUUCAAAAUUUAUUAUUCUUUUAGUGGAUUUUGGUUGUCGCGUAUCCUUCAGUUGUUAGUUCGGUUCGGAUAAUAAUUUGGAAUUCAGUUUCAAGGGUUAAGUGCAAUUUCUAAUUUUUUAUACAAUUUAAAUUGAAAUUGAUAGAACAAUUGGGCGGUUAAUAAUUAAUUGAUGGCUAGUGAUACUACAACGGCGCCGCGCCCGCAGCUCCGGAAAAGCGGAGGCGGUGGAGGAGUAUGAUAGCAAUCCAGAUGAAGUGAAACGCUGUCUUGGGACACGCAGAAGGGAAGCCAGCGAUGACGAGGACGUGGAGGAGAGAGAGAUUGGGACACGCAGAAGGGAACCCAGCGAUGACGAGGACGUGCAAUACCAAACCCCACUCCGUUAAUAAUUUGAGAAUUAUUUUUCCCCCACUCCCCACCCCAUUCCCCAAAAAUUAUUAAAAAAAUUUUCUAUUUGGGGUGGGGCUUCAUGGGGUCUCAAACCCGUGGAGGAUUUUGCCAUCCCUAAACUGAUGACAUAUCCUCAUAUAAAUAAAGACUAUGACGACAUUUAUUUAGAAGGGAAAAUUAUAAAAAAAAUCUCCUCUUUCUCUGAAAAUAUAGGGUUUCUCAAGAAUAGCUAAACCUACAUCCCUAUCCUGCAAAAUCUCAAUUUAACUCUCUAGGGUUUCGAUUGAAGAGCAUUCGCUUCAAAAUUUAUUAUUCUUUUAGUGGAUUUUGGUUGUCGCGUAUCCUUCAGUUGUUAGUUCGGUUCGGAUAAUAAUUUGGAAUUCAGUUUCAAGGGUUAAGUGCAAUUUCUAAUUUUUUUAUACAAUUUAAAUUGAAAUUGAUAGAACAAUUGGGCGGUUAAUAAUUAAUUGAUGGCUAGUGAUACUACAACGGCGCCCGCGCCCGCAGCUCCGGAAAAAGUGGAGGCGGUGGAGGAGUAUGAUAGCAAUCCAGAUGAAGUGAAACGCUGUCUUGGGACACGCAGAAGGGAAGCCAGCGAUGACGAGGACGUGCAAUACCAAACCCCACUCCGUUAAUAAUUUGAGAAUUAUUUUUCCCCCACUCCCCACCCCAUUCCCCAAAAAUUAUUAAAAAAAUUUUCUAUUUGGGGUGGGGCUUCAUGGGGUCUCAAACCCGUGGAGGAUUUUGCCAUCCUAAACUGAUGACAUAUCCUCAUAUAAAUAAAGACUAUGACGACAUUUAUUUAGAAGGGAAAAUUAUAAAAAAAAUCUCCUCUUUCUCUAAAAAUAUAGGGUUUCUCAAGAAUAGCUAAACCUACAUCCCUAUCCUGCAAAAUCUCAAUUUAACCUCUCUAGGGUUUCGAUUGAAGAGCAUUCGCUUCAAAAUUUAUUAUUCUUUUAGUGGAUUUUGGUUGUCGCGUAUCCUUCAGUUGUUAGUUCGGUUCGGAUAAUAAUUUGGAAUUCAGUUUCAAGGGUUAAGUGCAAUUUCUAAUUUUUUAUACAAUUUAAAUUGAAAUUGAUAGAACAAUUGGGCGGUUAAUAAUUAAUUGAUGGCUAGUGAUACUACAACGGCGCCCGCGCCCGCAGCUCCGGAAAAAGCGGAGGCGGUGGAGGAGUAUGAUAGCAAUCCAGAUGAAGUGAAACGCUGUCUUGGGACACGCAGAAGGGAAGCCAGCGAUGACGAGGACGUGGAGGAGGAGAGAGAUUGAGGGCUUCCAAUGGCGAAGUGUCCACAUUCCUGCGGGAGAAGCGGAGGCUGUGGAUGAGUACGAGAGCGAUCCAGAUGAAGUGAAAUACUCUCUUGUGAUGGGCAGAAUGGAAGCAAGCGAUGAUAAGGAGGAGGAGGAUAAAGAAUUUGAGCGUCGAAUGAACCGUAGGGUCCACAUUCAUUCUUACGAUGAAUCUGAUGGCCAAGGUGGUGUCCAGCUGAGUAUGGUGAGGUUGAUGAUGAAGAAGAUGACAGAGAAUUAGAAGAAGAAGAUGAAGAGGGGGAUGUGAUAUGACUUCAUAUCAUUUAAUUUGUAUAACCGUGACGCCAAUCCCAUUGAUCCUGGUCCGACCCGAACGGAUCUUGUUGAAUGAAUUGAUCCAUUGUUGUAUGCCUUACUUCUUAGUGAUUUUUUUCCUACUUGGAGCCGCCUUUGAGUACUCCUGGGAGAUAAAGUGGAAACGUUUUUUAUGGUGAAGAGUGGGGAGUGAAAAGACCAAUUCAGCAGAGAACGACCGCAUGAAUCGGAAUCCAAGAAAGGCUCCACGUUCUCCAAGUGAUUGAUCUUAGCGUAGCGUGCUAGCCGCUGCUUCAUUUCGUAUAGUGAUAACGCUUUCUUAGCGCUCCGCCGCCCCCCCCCCCCCCCCGGCGGCCGCGCCCGGGGUAUAGUAGGGGACUGGUUGCGCGGCUUUCUCUUAUAGGGGUCUAUUUUCCCUUACUUUACUCAACUUGAGUCGGUUAGAGUAUCGCUUUCAUACGGCAAGAGUUAUUGAUUCAAAUCCAAUAGUAGGUAAUAAUGCUGUCAAUGUCGGUUAGAGUAUCCAAGAGUUAUUGAUUCAAACGCAGUUGUCAACCACAUUCGAAUAACCCUUCUGCUACCUUCUAAAAACCCUUGCAUGGGCAUUAAUGCUGGCAUAAUCUCUUUGACUUCCCUUGCAUUUGAAUGAAUGGAUGAGCGUUGCAUUUGAAUGAAUGGAUCAGUGUCAAUGCAGGCUAAGAUUUUCUGGACUUUCAUGGAUGCACAAUAAAUGCUACGUCAAAGGCCUGGUAAGAUGUCAGCAAGCUGGUCGAAGAUAUCAACCUGAUUUGGUGGCUGCAAGAUUUGUUCAUCCAGGACCAUUUUCUUUGACAAUGAGAAAGCCCCAAUGUCUAUAAAUUGAGAACUCACUGAAUUGUAGAGAGAGGGGAAAGUGAAUAACGGGAGAGCCAGUGAAAAGAGAGUGUGGGAAUAUUUGUGCGUAAUUGGGGUUUGGGUGUGAGAUAAAAUAAUCAGAGAGUGGUUGUAAUAAUUUUUUAUAUAGUGAAAAUUUUUGUCUCCUUGUUUUUUGCAGUGGUGGUAAAUUUUGUCUCUAAUAAAGGAGUCUUCCAAGUAAAUUUUGUGUGUUAUGAUUGGGAUAUUCACCAUUUUAGUUUUUUAUUUAUUAUUUGUUUUACAUAUUGCUAGCAAAAAUCUGGGGCGGGAACCGAAAAUUCCCAACAAUUAUUAAUUAUUUUAAACUCUGUUCUGAACAGAGCAUGAAGGGUUUCACUUACCUAGUUACGUUUUUCAUUCUUUCACUUCACUUGAUUUCAUCUUGUCCCUCUCCUUUAUAGAAGUUGCAGAGCUUGGAUCUUUACUCGAACAGUUUCACUGGCUCUAUUUCUGACACAUUGGGCAAGCUGAAGGAAUUGCAAUUCCUGUAUGAUAAUUUCCCCAACUAUUAUUUGAAUAAUUAUUUAAUGCCGUUCAUUCCAGCACUGUUUGGCUGUCAACUUUAUUUUGUUAUUUAUGAGGAGAUUCAUUUCCCACCUGAAGCUAGAAAUUUACGGAUCAAUGACUUUUUUUUUUUCGGGGGCCAAUUGCAGUUUUGAUAACAACUAAAAUCUGUGUGGUCCGGUUACCACAAAGCCUUGCCCCAGAUCCCUGCCAUUUUCUCCUCCACCUCCAUUUGGGGAAAUUACUACUUACUUUUUGCAAGUUUUUCUUGAAAUAUUUAUUUUGAUAAGAAAACCAAUAAUACAUUUUAAGAUUUGGGCUGUUUCAAAGAUUUCGCUUGAUGUCUCUGCUACUGGUUUUCAGCAGAGUGCCCAAAAAUAGUUUUCAGCAGUACAAAAAGUAUAUAUUUUGUACCUUCCAUACAUUUUGCUUUGUUAAUGUUAUUAUUUGAUAACAUGUUUGUCGAGUUGCACAGUGUAUAAAUGCUAUACAAAUACACUCCUUUCAUUUUAUACAACUUUGAUCGAUCAAGUUGUAUCUCUUUGAUAAUAUGUUCAAUCUCCUUUCAUUUUAAACUUCAAUUGAGUUGCUAUCUAUUUAACAUUGGCAAGUCAGAGAGAGGGAUGGGACUGUCCAAUUAAAAUUAAGUUCCAAGUGCCAAUCCCACCAUUGUCGUCUCUUGUUUGCCAAAUUCAAAUUUGAAAAUCUCACCAAGUCAGUAUGGUGAUGUUGUGGGAUUGUCUCGCCUAGGUUUUUAGCCUCAUGACCUCCUUUAUUAGAAAAUGUCUUAAGUGUUCUUACUCAAUGGUAGAAUCAUAAUUUUACUUCAAUGGAAGCCAUAAUGAUUAAAAUAUACUCUUUUGAUUAAUUACUUAUUUGAUGUUGCUCUCUCUACCUUCAUCUCCUUCUUUAUGAAAAAUUUAUUGUAAUACAUGGAAGUAUAUAUUGCAUUGAAUAAAAUGAAAUUGUUCAAAAAUUAACAAAUUCAGCUUUAUUAUAAUCUAAAACAAAGUAAAUAAAAUAAUACCCAUCAUGUAAAAAUUAAAAAAAUAAAAAAUUUUGUACCACUUUGAAUCUAUUUUAAUUUUUUUGGUCAAAUCUCAGAAGCACAAAAUUUGACCAACAAUAAUAGGUAAAAACUAAUAAUCUUAUAAUAAAAAGUAAUAUUUAAAAAUUGAAAAUUAAAUUAUGCUAGUAAUUCCGUAAAAUUAAAAUUUAUCUCCCAAAAUUGAUAAAUACUAUGUCACUUUGUCAAAUUACUUAGGAUAAAAGUUAUGUGGCUAAAAACUUUUAAGAUGAGUUGUAUGCUAAUGGAGAAGGACAAGACACAAAAGAAUUCAAUGAAUGCUACAUCACGCAACAAUGCUUACUCUUAACAAAUUAUUACAAUUUACAAACGUGAUUCAUGAAACUUGACUUUUUUGUCUAAAGAAAGGACUAAAGAAACAUGCUAAGCAACAAAUAAAAAGUUGAUAGGCACUAUUUAAAUAGUAUUAAUAUGGCAACAAAAAACAUGCGAGCAAAGUAGCCUAUUCCUUUAUUCUAUAAAUAGCUCAUUUGAGCUUAGAACCUUUAAAGUGUGUCGUACGUUUCUGUUACUUCCAAUAAAGAUUUUCUCUAUUCCCUUUUCUUCCACUUUCUCUUCCAUUUUCACGAUCCCCAAACACCAUCAAUCCAUGAUUUUCUAGAGUAUUAGCUGUCUAUUUCUACAAACAUAGAAUUGCUGUUUUAAGAAACAAAGUAGUCUGUCCUGUCACCCAUGAUUGCCUCUUUCUUUUCUCCACAAAUCUUUGGUUAAUUUUUAUUUUCCCUCAACUUUUUUCCCCUUUAGCACCAAAAUUGAUUUUUGAUACUUUAUGCAAAAAUUAUGAUGAAAAUGAGUCACUUUAGAACAUCAAUAAAUUUUUUUUUACAUCCAAAAUAACGACAAUUACACUUAGAUCACUCUUAUUUAGUUGAAUUAUAUAUGUAAUAAUGUUGGCUUAACAAAAUAUAAUUCUUGACCGUUGUAAUUACGAGCUGGCAUUCUUUGGUUUUAGUAGUAGGGCUUAUAACGCUGUGCAACAAUUCUUGGUGGCUUCGAAUUAUUAUACGAUCAUUCUCAAUUCUUUACGGUACGUAAUUAAAAAUUCCUAUAUCACAAUUAGAACUUACAAACAAGUCAAAGUGAAUUAAAUCAAACGUAUAAAUUCGAGGUCUAUUACAAACUUCUAAAAAAGAUUUUCUCUGCUCUUUUUUCUUUCACUUUCUCUUCCAUUUUGCCAAUCCCCAAACACCGCCAAUCCUUGAUUUUUUAAGUAUUAGCUGUCAAUUUCUACAAACAUAGAACUGCUGUUUGUUUGUCUAAUUACUUUCAAGAAACAAAACUCUCUGUCAUGUGGUCUCUUCGUUUAUUGGCUUGUGAGCAAAUAAGAUAUUGGGCCGAUGGGCUUAACGUGACAAGUUCUUGAAUUGAAUGGCUCCUCUUUUUUUCAUAAAUCUUUGCUAAACUUUUUUGUUCCCUCAACCUUUUUUGGCCUUUCGCGCUAAAAUUCUUUUUUUGAUACAUUAUGCAAAAAUUAUGAUGAAAAUGAGUUACUUUAGAACAUCAAUAAAUUUUUAUUACAUCUAUAAUAAGACAACUGUAGUGAGAUUUCUCUUAUUUAGUUGAAUUAUAUGUAAUAAAAUUAGUUUAACGAAAUCUAACCCGUCAAUAUUCCAUAUGACAUAAUUAACGUAUUUAAAAAAUCUUAGCUGUUCCGUCGCUUGUUUUACAAUUCUUUUAUAUAUCUUUGAGACUUUCUGCUUCCUGACACAUCAUAUUGUUCUCAAUUCGUCUAAAUUAAUUUUUUCUUCAAACACUGCAGCAACAACCGGUAUAAAAUAGAAUGAACUCAUUUAAUGGGAAUUUUUCUCAUUGGUCUAUUUCUCUUCGCACCUUAGGUUCCUCUAACAAACUUAAAAGAUGUUCCCCAUCCCACGUGUCCCCAAAUCUUCGUAUUUCCAAACAAACCCCUGCCAAAUAGAGAAGAGGAUGGCUUUUAUUGCAACCUGUAUGAACGUUAUGGCCAUAGGACAUUGGAUCAAAAUCAAACCAAUGGAUUGUAAAGCAAAAUUACCAAUUAAAAAUUCAACCAAUUGAAUCGGUUUGGUGUCACUUAAAAAAUAAAUAAUAUAUAAAACAACACAAUUAAAUUCAUUCAGUCAGUAUUUUUCUUUUCUCAUUUUCAAUGAAUGCUUAAUAUGGAAAACAAUCUGUCCCAUUGAGCACUGUUUAAAUCAUUCCCUAGUUUGUUCAACAAGCAAAGAAUAUUCUUAUUCGGCUCGGCAGCCAAUCCGUUAAAAUUUGUAAAAAUUCAUUUAAGUGAUGACUGUGAUAUGACUCGAUCAAUCGUUUAAUUUGUAUAAUUUAUAAAAAUUUGAGCUUCAAGUAAUGUAGAUAGAAUGGUUAAUUAUUUUAAUAUUCAGAUAAAUUGAUAUAUGUCAUUAUAUUAUGAGUGGAUGAAAUAUCCAAUAGAAAAAAAAAAAUGUUUGUAUUCGUCAUUUUUAAUGGGAAUCUAUUUAGUUUAACUUAUCCAUAAAAAUGGUUGCCAGACUUAUCUUGUUUCUCAUUUUGUUUAAUUUUCAUAAAUUUGACUCACGAUUAAUUGUGAGUGAAGAAUUUUUUGAAAAAAAUCUGGUCUUCCAUUUAUUUUGUAGGAUUUAAAAGAUUAAAAAACUUUAAUACAUAUAAUUUUAUGCUCGAAACUAAAUACUCGUAGCAUUGCUGCUUCUAUAAAUAACUCAUUUGUGCUUCCAACUUGUUAUUUGUAUUUUACGUUUUUGUUUCUCUUCAUAAAGAUUUUCUUUUUUUUCUUUUUUCCUUUCACUUUUUCUUCCAUUUUCCCGACUCCCAAACACCACUAAUCCUUGAUUUUCUAGAGUAUUAACUGUCCGUUUCUACGAACAUAGACCUACUGUUUGUCUAAAUACUAUCAAGAAACAAUAUACUCUGUCGCGGGAUCUCUUCGUUUAUUGACUUUUGACUUGUGAACGGGGCUAAUUAAAGGGCAUUCCUUUCUUCAAGAAAGAAUGCAAAGAAAGUACUAUCCAUGAGACACGUUAAAAAUUAUUUUACAUAAAAAAUGAUAAUAAUCAUAAUAAUCGGUUUAGUGUAACCCCGUUAUUACUUAGUGACUGUUCGAUUGUCUUCUCUUUCAUUGACUUCGCAACUGUGACUUCUAAAUUGGGUCAAGGAUCGACAAAAAAUGUUAUAACCUAUAAAGCAUGGAUAAUUAAUUAAUGGGAAUGCACCUCUCAUCUUUACCAUUCUCUUUGUCAUUUUCAUAAUUCAGCUGUUUAUUAAUAAAGUGAAUAAAUUUAUCUUUUAAUAAUAUGUUUCUUGGCUGUUUUUUGUGUAUUUUUGCGUACAAUUUUGUGUGCAAAUAGCAUUAUUCAUUAGUAAUAAGUCUGGAGUGUUCUAAUUUCUUCUAACAAGUAGCUCAUUUUAGCUUAGGACAUGUAACUAGUAUUUUAUGUUUCUGUUAAUCUUUAAUAAAGAUUUUCUCUAUUUUUUUUUUUCCUUUCACUUUCUCUUCCAUUUUCCCCGACUCCCAAACACCACCAAUCCUUGAUUUUCCAGAGCAUUAGCUCUCUAUUUCGACAAAGGCAUAAUUAGUCACGGUCCGAUUGUCUGACUUCUCCGUUGACUCGGUCAAUUCACGACCUUGACCUGCACAGUUGAUACAAACGGACUUCUCCAUUUGAUGUGCACAAAACUUUCUUGGGUCAUUUUGUUUGGUGAUGAUGAAUUGGAUGUCAGUUCAUGAGUUUCAUGAUGAAGGGGACCAAAAACAUUAUUUUAUUAUUUAAAGAAGACUAACAAUUAUUUCGAUGGUCAUUUUAUUAUUAUUUUUUAAAUAUCCAAAUGGUGAAAUUUUAAAGAAUUAAGGUGGUUGACUUCUUUACACAGAAUUACAAAGCAAAACAAUUAAGAAAUUAAAUACUCGUCAUCCAAGUGAGAAGAGAUUGGGUUGUUGAUACAUUAAAUAAAAGAAAAAUCAAUUAAAAGCACAACAAUUCAAUAAUUUCAUUCUCAAUCAUAUCAAAAAUAAAAUUUACUGUACAUUGUUGUUCGGUUCUGUAAAAAAAAAAAAAUUAUUAGGGAUUUGCAGUUUUUUUUAGUGUAAUUCUCGUUAAUUAAAGUUUAGUCUGAAGGGUUAAGCACAUGGAUCAUAAUCAUAGUAUGGCCUAAGGAAGGAGCACAGUUCAUUGGCUGCACUCAGUUUACAGAAUAUUUUGGGAUUCAAGACUGUAGGUUGUUCCGGAUGUAACUUGCAAAGGCUGUUGCUGUGUAACUGUAUGCCAAGCUGGCAAGUGUGCUAUACACAUAUUGUUGAGAUAGCACCAAAGAUUGUAAACUAAUUAGUACUGGAAAAUCCUAUUUGCACAAAAAAAUUGCACAAAAUAAAUAGAAUGAGAAUACUUAUGCAAAAAAAAUAAGAUUAAUAAAGUGGAUAAAUUUAUCUUUUAAUAAAAUAUUUCUAGUCUUUCAGUGUUUUCGUGUAUUUUUGUGUACGUGCAAAUAAUAUUACUCAUGAGUAAUUAGUCUAGAGCGUUGUAAUUUCUUCUAAUAAGUAGCUCAUUUGAGCCUACUACCUGUAACUAUGUUUUAUGUUUCUAUUACUUUCUAAUAAAGAUUUUCUCUGUUUUUGUUUUUUUCCCCCUUUUACCUUCUCUUCCAUUUUUCCAACUCCCAAACACUACUAAUCCUUGUUUUUUGUUUUUUUUCCCCCUUUGAACGGGGCUAAUGUUGGUCUAACUGCUUUCAUGAAACAACGUACUCUGCGGUUAAAAUUAAUUGAUCAUUUUAUUUGGUGAUAAUGAAUUGGUUGUCAAGUCAUGAGUUUGAUGAUGCACAGGACGAAAAACGUUAUUUUAUUAUUUAAAAUAAUACUAACAAUUAUGUUGAUGGUCAUUUUAUUUUUUAAAAUAUGCAAAUGGAAUUUUACCGAACUAUAGUGCUUGACUUCUUCAUACAGUGAUUGACUUCUUUGUACAGAAUUAUAAAGUGAAAGAAAUUACGAAAUUAAAUACUUUUCGUGCGAGUGGGGGAGAAAUUCUGUAUAUUUAUGAAAUAACUAUUGAUUUCACUUUGGUAAUUACUUUUUAAAAGUAACGUAAACAUUUUUAUUUUAUUUGCAUUCGAGCUUUCUUUCUUUUUCGCUGGCCUUUACUCUUGACCGUAUUUCAUGGGGCAUAUUCAAUCUGAAUCCUCUGCAAGUUUGUGGCAGUUUGGUUAGUUACGAACUUUCGUAGAAUUGCAUGAAGAUGACGCUUUUAUAGACAUUUUUUCUUGUUUCUUUUUUUCUUCAGUGAACAUAUUAAAAAUUUAGUUUUUUGUCAUCAUGACUAGAACAGUAAAAUGAAAAUAGUCCUCAUUUUGACGAUUGACAAAAAUGUUGUACUCAUACCGAUUAAUGGGCCACUGAUUUCGUCUUCUUAAAAAAUUAUUAUUGCAGUGAGGUAAUUGGAUCGAAGAUGAACGAUUUCCAUAUUUGCCUAACCUAAGUGAUAAGAAUUUUCAUAUGAGACAUAAUCUGGUUUAUUUUGCUUGACUGUAUUCCAAGAGACAGUCAUAUCUACUAAAUGAAACAAAUCUUGCUUUUCUAGAGAAAUAAUGCAAUAUGCAAUUAUGCAUGAAGGUGCGCAUCCAUGUGAGAAAGUUGACGAAAGCUUCUUUUUCAGUAUUGGAAGUGCAAUCCACAGCGGAACAUUGGAUAAAACCAAUGGAAUGUAAAGCAAAAUUACCGAUUAAACUAAAUUGAAAAUCCAACUAGUUGAAUCAGUUCAGUGUCACUAAAAAAAAAAAUUAUAUAUAUAUAACAACACAAUUAUCAUAUUAAUGAGGCACUGUUAAAUUCGAAUAUUUUUCUUUUUCAUUUUUAAUGAAUGCUUAAUAUGACAAACAAUUUGUUCCAUUGAGCACUGUUUAAGUCAUUCAAUGAAAAUGAAUACUUCUAUACAAAACAAUUAUUCCCUUGUCUAUCUGACACACAAAGAACUUUCUUGCUCAGCUCGGCUGCCAAUCCUUUAAAGUUUGUUAAAAUUCAGUCAAUUGAUGAACGAGACAUAACUCAAUAAAUCGUUUAAUUUGUGUAAUUGAUAAAAAUUUAAACUUCAAAUAAUAUAGAUAAAAUGAUUUUUUUUAAUAUUUAGAUAAUUGAUAUAUGUCAUGUUAUUAUGAGUGAAAGAAUGAAGUGUCUGAUAGAAAACACAAUGUUUAUGUUUGUAUCAAAAAUUUUAAGUGCGAAUCUAUUUAGUGUGUACGAUAUAAAUAAAAAUAGUUACCAACUUGUCCUGUUUCUCAUUUUGUUUAAUUUUCAUAAUUUGACUAAGGAUUAAUUAUGAGUCAAUGGUUUAUUGGAAAAAUAUGAUCUUCCAUUUACUAUAAAAGAUUAGCGUGAUUUAAUUAUUUAAUGGUCGUUCAAUUUUAUUGGUUACAAAAUUCUCUAGGAUUGCAUGUAGAUUAUACUUUUAUAUAUAAAAACAAACACUGUCAACAAGCAUUAAUGUCAUUUGACGCAUGAAAGACAAUUAGUCCCAUUUUUUGUCCUGUUUACUUGAACACCACUAAUUCCACUAAUUCCAACAAUUUAUCCAAAAAAACUAUAGUUAGUUUGCCAGGUUCUAGGGGGGCUACUCUUCUUUUUUUUUUUUUUUUUUUCGAUCUGUUAAUGAAUGCUCCUACUCCUAUCGGUUCUAUAUCCAACUCGACCUCGGAAGCUAAUUCGCGUGGGCUUUAUUGGAAUAAUGGUAUCGAUUGGAAUUGUAAGGAAAGAGGUCUUCGUGUCGUGGACAGCUCAACCGAAGAGAGCAGAUGAGCCUUUUCCACCCUUUGCAGAAGAAGGAAAUAAGCUGCCUAAAAUAUUUUUUCACAAAAAUAUUUAUGGCUGUAUCAUUACUCAUUAACUAAUAGGCCACUAAUUUAUUCUUCUUGAAAGAGAAUUACUGCAGCGAGGUUGGAGGCUCAAAGAGUUCUCAUUUAGCCAAACAUAAGAAAUAAGAGUUCAUAGAAGACGUAAUUUGGAAAAUCAAUUCCAUCCAAUAGGCAAUAGGUCUCAGUGGGUUCGACUUAGUAUACGAUUAUUUUCAAAUUUUUAACGUCUUGUAAUUACAGAUUCCGAUAUCACAAUAUAAUUUUCAAACAAAUUAAAGUGAGUCAACUCAAAUUUAGAAAUUUGAGGUCUACUAUAGACUCUUGACAUAUUAAAUCUAAGAUAAUUAAGUAAAUGCUAGACAAAAUCUAACUUGUAAAUAUACCUUACUGCAUGAUGAACGUUCUUAAAAAUCUUAACUGAUUGCUCACCAAUUAAUUGUAAUUUUAAAAUUUUUACAUAUCCUUUCUUUUCCCUAAAACUUCUAGUUUCCUAACAUAUUGUUCUCAAUUGGUCUAAUUAUAAUGUAAAAUUUUUUAAAUAUAAAUUAAAUGAAUUUAUUUAAUAGAAAUUUGAAAAAGAGACACUUAUCUAUGCAAGCAAAGUUGCAUUCUGUUUGUGGGGACCUUAAAAAAAUUUUUUAAAAAAAAGCAUAAUGAUACACUGAUGACGACAAUCCUUAAGUAUUUGUUUUCUUUAGUUACAGUUUGGUUUGAAUGGUUAAGUUCAAGUUCGAAUUUUCUUUUUGUAAUUUAAAUUAAAAUUGAUAGAACAAAUGGGCUGAUCAGUAUGAUGAAGAAGAAGAAGAAGUAAAAGCUAUUAAGCAUUAUCCUAUCACCAUAUCAAAUGGACCGAAUUCAAUCAAAUGAAAUCUAGAAAAUAGAGCAGCUCAUAGAUGUACGUCGCUAAGUGGAGGUUCAUUUGGAAGUACUUGGUCGAAUUGCGACUUGCGCCGGAGGCUUCGUUUUAGAAGAGUGCAGAGCAGCUGCCUUGUCCAUUAGGCACGCCAACGACUUUCUAUUGACCAAUAAUUUUGAAAGCGAUAUUAUAAAUUUACCAUCUAAUUUUUUUUUCUUAUCAUUUCACCAUCAAAAUUUUUUGAUAAACAUCUUUAUUUUCUUUGCAUACGAGCCUUCUUUCUUUUGCUUUGGCCUUUACUCUUGACUGUAUUUCAUGGUCCUAUUCAAUCUAAAUCUUCUGUAGGUUUGUGGCUGUUUUAUGAGUUACGAUUUUUUAUAGGGUUGCAUGUAGAUGAUACAUUUAUAUACAUUUUUUCUUUUUUCUUUUAUUUUUCGGUGAAGAUACUAAAAUUUAGUUUUUGUUAUCAUGUGAAAUGAAAAUAGUCCUCACUUCAAGGAUUAAUGGGCCACUAAUUUCGUCUUCUUAAAAGAAAAUUUUUUGCAGCGAGGUAAUUGGAAGCUCGAAGAUUUCUAUAUUACAUAGUCAAACCUAAGUGAUAAGAAUUUCCAUAUGAGAUAUAAUUUGGAAAAAAAAAAAACAAUUCAAGUUAAAGAUAAAAAAUCUGUGUUCCUUAAAAAACAUAAUUCAAGCCACACAAUUUUUCUUGUUUUAUUUGAAAAAAAGAAAUUUGUGUUCCUCACAAAAACACUUUAACAUUUGUUGUCUCAUAGAGGGAAAUGUCCUUCACUCUUUGACGUAUCCCUGGGGCAAUGUAAGUUGACUUUACAUUAAAACAAAAUUGUCAUGUAGUUAAGAAAAAUCAGUCUCAUUUGAUACGCAAAGAGCUUUUUUACUCUGCAGCCAAUAUUUUGAUGAAUGAGACAUUACUGGUUUGUAUAAUUUUUUGGAUAUUAUCUCAAUUUUACUUCUGUAGGUUUGUUGUUUGUAUAUUAUCUCAAUUUUUAAAAAAAUGUAACUGCAAUUAUCAAACACGACUAAUCCCAACAAUUUAUCCAAAAAUUUUUGUUUCGAGAAAUGUAGCAUUUAUGAUAGAAUGGCUAAUUUUUUCAAUCGACUUUCUGGAUAAAUGAUAAUUUUUUGAUAGAAAUGUUACUUACUUAUUACAGGAAGAAAAUUAUAGAAUAAUUUUUUGAAUUAAUAGUAUUACUUUACGAUAACACUAUCACAAUCUAAUUAUAAAAAAAAAUAAAGUUAUUCUUUAAAUUUCGCAUUACUAUUCCUACUUUUCUUUUUAUACUACUUAAUGGCACUGGUGAAGCCUCGAAUUAUCAAACAAAAGGCAAAAAUAGUUCAAUAUCUGCUGUCCCACUGAGCAUUGUUAAAUUCAUAUGAUAAAAUGAGUACUUAUAUUAAAAAAACAAUCGGUCUCAUUGCGUGCUCUUUAAUAAUUUGUGGCACUUUUAUGAAUUUUCAAGACUAGUGAAUUUUUCAAAUUUAAAAGAAAAAAUACAGAAAUGUAAUCUCAAUUUAUCCAAAAAUUUGAGUUUCAUGGAAUAUAGCAUUUAUUAUAAGUCAUGUUAAGAUAGAGAAGAAAAUUUUAAAAACUUCUUUUUGGAUGAAUAAAAGUAUUUUCUGAUAAAUAUUUCACAAUCAUGUUUAAAAAAAUUUCACUCCUCUUGGUACAUAAUUUAAGAAUUUGACAUUAUAAAUUAAUCUUUUUAAUCAAAGUAAUAAUCUCUCCUCGGCCUGCAAAUGCUAAAAUUUAAUAUUAUAUCCGUUGACGAUAUUUUGCUCCAAAUUCACGAAAAUAAAAUUUCUAACAGAAUUAUGAAAUUCAUUACUAGAAAUUUGUAUAAAAGUUGUGAGAAUAGAAGGUUUGAUCAUAGGAAAUUAAUAUAUCCCUAUCCGAUGCAAAAAUGAUUGUAAAGAAAAACAAAAGUCACAGGCUUAUUUAGAAAAAAAAAAAGAAGAAAAAAUUACAUUCCAUUUUCCAGUUAUUAAAGUAAUUCUAAAAUUGCUAGGAUCACAAAGGAUAGGCUUUGGUUGACUGAGGUCAGCCUUAACGGAUGCCGGUCUUUUCUCCUGUACGUUCUUAGAAAUUUUGGUUUUCACUAUAAAUACUCGGUAUAUAGCAAACUUAUAAGUGUUCUUGCGUAUAGAAAGAGUUCAUUCUCUCAGGAUGAUGAGCAGAUUUCUCUUACUCCAUUGUUUGAUUCUUAUUUCCUUAUUUAUCGCGGCAGCAACAGCCAACACAAGUUCUACUAUCACAGACCGAGAUGCUCUGUUAGCCCUGAAAGCUCACAUAACUCAUGAUCCGACCAAUUUCUUGGCCAAGAAUUGGAACACAAGUACUCCUGUCUGUAAUUGGACAGGCGUCACUUGUGAUGUCCAUAGCCAUAGAGUCACAGUCUUGAAUAUUUCAAGCUUAAAUCUCACAGGCACCAUCCCUUCUCAACUUGGGAAUCUUUCUUCUCUGAAAUCACUCAAUCUCAGUUUUAACCGACUUUCUGGUUCCAUUCCCUCUACCAUCUUCACCACGUUUACACUGACAUAUGUUAGUCUCCGUCAAAAUCAGCUCUCUGGGCAAAUUGCUGCAAAUAUUUGUAGUAAUCUUCCUUUUCUUGAAGUUCUUUCUUUGUCCCGAAACAUGUUCCAAGGUGGAAUACCGUCCACUCUAUCAAAUUGCACAUAUUUGCAAACAUUAGCUUUGUCAUACAAUAAUUUCUCGGGGACCAUACCUAUAGAAAUCGGCAAUUUGACCAAACUUAAGGAAUUAUAUCUUGGCGUUAACAGACUCCAAGGUGCGCAUGAUCACGGAGUUUCAUUAUGAAAGUUGUUCCAUAAGUUGUAAUAUGAAUAAUGUUCCAUAAUACAGUUUACACACGUUGAUUAAUUUGCAGGAGAAAUUCCGCGAGAGUUUGGCAAUCUUGCCGACUUGGAGCAGAUGUCGUUGGCGAUAAACAAUCUCCAAGGCAUGAUUUUAAACUUUUUGCAAUUUUAUUUUAGCUAUGCUUGCUUCUGUAUUCAUUCGCUUGUUCUUUGAUUAUGCGAUGAUUUAUUGUUUUUCUUUCAGAUAGAGAUAAAGCUCCAUGUCUCCCCUCGCUCAUUUCAUUCUUUAAUUUAUGCAGAUAAAAAUUAAAAAAAAAUGUUUUGUAAUUUUCUUUUGUCAUAUUGCCACUUCCAUUUUGAAGCUAUUCUUAUAUAAAUGAAGAGUAAAUUGUUAUUACGAUAUUCGUCAGCCAAUAAAUUCUUCUUUUUUUUUCCCCCCAAACACGAGUGAUCAAAUUGUUUGCGCAUAUAUAAAUGUACUUAAUUUGCAGGAGGUAUUCCACGGGAAUUGGGGAAUCUUACAAAAUUGGAGAUGUUACAGUUGUUCGAGAAUAACUUGACCGGUAACCUUCUUUACAAUAUAUAUACGAGACAUCUUCCGCUUUUUAUUAGAAAUUAUAAAUUCAAGUUAAAUCUUAAUUAAAAGAUUUCAAGUCUCCCAUUAUAAAUUCUCAUAUGAUGAUGUGUCGUUACCACUAUCUAACAUUAUUCCGUUUUUUAUUAGAAAUUAGUUUGUGUUAAUUCAAAAUUCUGUAGCAUUCAAAAAAUUAAAAACACGUGGAAUAAAUUGUUAAUCUUUCUUCUUUACUGAAUUUGGAUUUCCCAAAAAUAAUCUUGACAAGUAUGCUUCACUAAUGAUACGCAUGUGUGACAACUUCAUAAAAUAUUUUACGUGGAAUCACUAAUUAUCUCUAAAGAUGCCAUCAGUGAUACAUAAUUUCUUAACAAGCACCAUACCAAAAGAAAUCAACAAUUUUAUUAAUCUUAAAGAGUUACAUCUUCACUGCAAUUAUGACAUAAAUUUUUAGUCAUCAAUCGCAUAAUAUUUUAUCUUAACUGAUGAUGAUGUUUAGUCUUGGAAUUUAUAAUAUCUUGAAGGUUAGUAGCUUUGAAAAUAAGAAAUUGUUCAUUUGCUAAAAAGUUAACUUAGUAUUUAAGUUUUCCAAUUGAAAAUUGUGAAAAAAGCGUUGAGAACUGGCGCUCCAUGGUAUUUCAGCGGAUAAAUAUGAAAAAUAGGCUAGAAGAAAUUAUUUUACUGAAAUAAGAGUUAAAAAGAGAGGAGAAGUACAGUACUCAUGACUUAGGCUUGCUGUGUGUGCUUAUUCUACUUGGGCUUUGGGCUUGAUUACACAUGUUAUAAUAAUGGGCUUUUCCUUUCACCGCACAUCUAAUAAUUUCCUAACCUUCCAAUUAGGUUAUAGCAAUUUAAAUAUAAAUAAUAAAGCAUACUAAAGCUAGCAUUGAUGUAUGGAUGAGUGCCGUCAAAAGUGUAUCGGUUUUCAUGUAUUAUUUAUUCUCUGAAACAAAUCUGAAUACAAUUCUUUCAAAAUACCGAUGAAAUAGAACAUGAAAUCGGAAAUAUUUUAUUGCGAUGAGAAUUCGUAUAUUCAUUGUAGUAGAACAUAUAAAAUAGAGUAUAAAUUUAUUAUUCUUUGAAACAAACCUGAUUAUAAUUCCUUCAAAAUUAAGUUUGUCAUUAAAUGAUUUCUCAGGAGCCAUACCAAAAGAAAUCGGGAAUUUGACCAAACUCAAGGAAUUAUCUCUCUUCGGUAACAGGCUCCAAGGUGCGCAUGAUCACAGAGUUUAAUUAUGAAAAUUGUUGCAUAAGUUGUAGUAUGAAUAAUGUUCCAUAAUACAGUUUAGACACGUUGAUUAAUUUGUGUUAAUUCAAAAUUUUGUAGCAUCUAAAAAAAUUAAAAACACAUGGAAUAAAUCGUCAAUCUUCUAAUUUGGAUUUCUCAAAAAUUAUCUUGACAAGUAUGCUUCACUAAUGAUAUACAUGUGUGACAACUUCAUAAAAUAUUUUACAUGGAAUCACCAAUUACCUUUAAAUAAUUGGAGAUGCCAUCAGUGAUACAUAAUUUCUUAACAAGUACCUUAUCAAAAGAAAUCAAUAAUUUUAUUAAUCUUAAAAAGUUACAUCUUUACUACAAUUAUGAAAUAAAUUUUUAGUCAUUAAUCGCAUAAUAUUUUAUCUUAACGGAUGAUGUUCAGUAUUGGAAUUUAUAAUACCUUGAAGGUUAGUAGCUUUGAAAAUAAGAAAUUGUUCAUUUGCUAAAAAGUUAACUUAGUAUUUAAGUUUUUCAAUUGAAAUUUUUUUUAAAAGUAUUGAGAAUUGGCCCUCCUUAGUAUUUCAGCGGAUAAAUAUGAAAAAUAGGCUUGAAGAAAUUAUUGUUGUGUGUGCUUAUUCUACUUGGGCUUUGGGCAUGAUUACACGGUCGAGCACUUACACCUGUCAUAAUAAUAGGCUUUUACUUUCACCACACGUUUGAUAAUUUCAAAUUGUUUGCACAUAUGUAAUUUGCAGGAGCAAUUCCACGGGAGUUGGGAAAUAUUACAAGAUUGGGGAUCUUAGCGCUGCCUAAUAAUUUUUUAACCGGUAUCAUUCCUUCAUCUAUCUACAAAUUGCUUUUCUCUAUUAAAUUUGGAACUGUCAUUUAAUAACUUAACAGAUAACUUCCCUUACAACAUGUCUGUGUGACAUGUUUUGCUUCUCAAUUAAAAUAUUUCACGUAUUUCAUUAUAAAUUCUCAUAGGAUGAUGUAUUAUUACUACUAUUUAACAUUAUCUCAUUUUUUAUUAGAAAUUAAUCUGUGUUUAUGCAAAAAAAUUUAGCAUCUAAAAAAAGUAUAAAAACACAUGGAAUAAAUCGAAAAUCUUCCUUCAUUACUGAAUUUGGAUUUCUCAAAAAUUAUCAUGACAGCUAUCUUAGUGUCUUACUAAUGAUAUGCAUGUGUGACAGCUUCAUAAAAUAUUUUACAUAGAAAAUAUGAAAAAUAGACUUGAAAAAAAAUUAUUUUACUGAAAUAAUAGUUAAAAAGAGAGGAAAAGUACAGUACUCAUGACUUAGGCUUGCUGUGUACUUAUUUUACUUGGGCUUCGGGCUUGAUUACACACGGUUGAACACUUACAUCCCCUGACAUAGGCUUUUAGGGAUGAGUGCCGUCAAAUGUGUAUAUGCUUUUAGGUAUUAUUAUUCUUUGAAACAAAUCUGAUUAUAAUUCUUUUAAAAUAUAGAUUAAAUAGCACGUGAAAUCAGAAAAUAUUUUACUGCGAUAAGAAUUCAUAUAUUCAUUGUACUAGCACAUAUAAAAUAGACUAUAAAUUUAGUUCCAAAAUACAUUCUUAUCUUCAUAUAAAUUUUACAUUAUUAACUUAAAUUAAUAUUAAAAUAUGUUGUUUCUUUCACUAUCUUAUUUUAUUUACACAAUGAUGUGACUAUUGGAAUUAAUAUUUGUAUAUUUAAAAUACUUGCAUUUAUUAUAUUUUGAAAAAAAUUUAUUUACAAUUAUUUUAAACCGUUGGAAGUUGGAUUUAAAUUUUUGUAGUUAUUAAAGUCAAAGGGUAUAAAUGUAUAAUAGUCAAAAACAGAUUUGUAUGAUCAUUUUUCAAUGUAUAAAUUUUCUUAGUUAGUAGGAAAAUUAGAAAUUGUUGAUUUACUCAUAAAUAAAUUUAAUGUUUAGCAUUUCAAUUUUGGAAAACUUGAACUAAAUGUUGAUAACUUCGAAUCGGUCGAGCCGAGUUUCGCUUCCUUGACCCACGGACCCAUUGAAAGUUCUAUUCGAAUUGAGUUUCCCGGUGCUUAUAAAAAGCAUUUCUUUUCCUUGUCGUAGUAAUUUAUUUACAAAUGAGUUGAUUAGCAUCGAAGUUACCUGAGAGUCUGAGACCAUGCUAGUAGGAGAAAUUUGAAAAUAAAUUAUUUUACUGAAUUAAUUUAUUUUAUCUUGCUGUAACUGAAAUACUACUUUUUUUUUGGGCUGUCAUUUGGGCUUGAUUUCCUUUAAUAGUAGUAGCCACCGACUUAGGCCUUUUUUACUUCUCACCACACAAUUUGAUUUUUUAAUUCGUUUUAACCACAUAAUCUAUCUAUUUCUCACCUAUUGCUUACUUAAAUCGCAUACAUAUUUUACCUACUAAUUUUUAUAAAUAUUAGUCAAAUAUAUUUUAUUACGUUCCUCUAGUAACUGCUCCAAAUGUGUACUAUUAAUACUUAACCCUCCCUUUUAAUUUACCGUGCAAUUUAUCUAUCACUUAAGUCACAUAUAUAUUUUACCUAUAUUUUAACCCAAAAAAUAUAAAAAUAAAAGAAAGCAAUUUGCAUAUAACUAACAAAGCAUCGACGGUGUAUAGCAUUUCAAUACUUCACGAGUGGCUUUUCUUGUGUGUUAGUACUUGUAAUAAUUGUGUAGCGUAUAAAUGACAUUUUAUUAUUAAAGUGCAUCCAUUUUUAAAUAUUACUUAUUAUUUGAAAAAUAAACUGAAUAUAAUUCUUUUAAAAUACAGGGGAGAUACCACUUGAAAUUGGUAAUCUCCAAAAUCUGGAGGAGUUGGACCUUGGUCUAAACAAAUUAAUUGGUACUGUCCCAGCUACAAUCUUUAAUGUGUCAACACUGAAAUUACUUCUGCUUGAACAUAAUUCUCUCCUGGGAAGUCUUUCGUCCAUCGCAAACGUCCGACUACCAAAUCUUGAAGAGCUUCUUUUGUGGGGUAAUAAUUUCAGUGGCACAAUUCCUCGUUUCAUCUUUAAUGCUUCUAAGCUCUCUAUACUAGAGUUGUCAAAGAACUCAUUCUCCGGUUUUAUUCCCAACACAUUUGGCAACUUAAGAAACCUUAACUGGCUCUAUUUGAAUGAUAAUAAUUUGGCAUCUUCAACUCCAGAAUUGAGCUUUCUAUCCUCGUUGUCAAAUUGCAAGUCUUUAACACAUAUUGCGUUAUCACAUAAUCCACUAGAUGGCAUUCUUCCAAGGACGUCUGUCGGUAAUCUUUCUCAUUCUUUGAAAGAAUUUUACAUGUCCAAUUGUAAUGUUAGUGGCGGCAUCCCUGAAGAGAUCACCAACUUGACCAACUUGACAACCAUUUAUUUAGGGGGCAAUAAAUUGAAUGGAUCAAUUCCGAUUACUCUCAGCAAAUUACAGAAGCUUCAAGGUUUGGGUCUUGAAGAUAACAAAUUAGAAGGAUCAAUCCCAGAUAGUAUUUGUCAUUUGACUGAACUGUAUGACUUGAAGUUGGGUGGCAAUAAGCUUUUUGGAUCAAUCCCUGCAUGCUUCAAUAAUCUGGAUUCUCUGAGGAUACUGUCGUUGGGUUCCAAUGAGUUAACUUCUAUUCCCUUAACUUUUUGGAACCUUAAGGAUAUCUUGUACCUCAACUUUUCUUCAAAUUUUUUUACUGACCCACUCCCAUUAGAGAUUGGAAAUUUGAAGGUUUUGAUUGGAAUUGAUUUUUCGAUGAAUAAUUUUUCAGGCGUUAUCCCAACAGAAAUUGGAGGCCUAAAAGAUCUAGAAUAUCUCUUCCUAGGAUAUAAUAGAUUGCAAGGAUCGAUUCCUGAUUCAUUUGGUAAUUUGAUAAGUUUGAAGUUCUUGAAUUUGUCCAAUAAUAAUCUCUCUGGGGCAAUUCCUGCAUCUUUAGAGAAACUCUCAUAUCUUGAAGAUCUAAAUCUUUCUUUCAACAAGUUAGAAGGAGAAAUUCCUAGGGGAGGAUCUUUUGGAAACUUCUCAGCUGAAUCAUUUGAAGGAAAUGAAUUAUUAUGUGAUUCACCUAAUUUACAAGUCCCGCCAUGCAAAACUAGCAUCCACCACACAUCAUGGAAAAUUUCUCUUCUCCUGGGGAUUGUCUUGCCAUUGAGUACUACAUUUAUGAUAGUAGUCAUUUUGUUAAUCCUAAGAUAUCGACAGAGAGGAAAACAACCAUCGAAUGAUGCUAAUAUGCCACUAGUAGCAACGUGGAGAACAUUUUCAUACCUAGAACUUUGUCGAGCAACAGACGGAUUCAGUGAAAACAAUCUAAUCGGCAAAGGAGGGUUUGGCUCCGUUUAUAAGGCAAGACUUGGGGACGGGAUGGAGGUUGCAGUGAAAGUCUUCAAUUUGCAAUGUAGAAGAGCAUUUAAGAGUUUCGAUGUUGAAUGUGAAAUGAUGAAAAGUAUUCGCCAUCGAAACCUUAUCAAAGUUAUUAGCAGUUGUUCAAAUGAAGAGUUUAAAGGGUUGGUAUUAGAAUACAUGCCUCAGGGAAGUUUGGAGAAGCAUUUGUAUUCGAGUAACUGCAUUUUGGAUAUUUUUCAAAGACUGAACAUAAUGAUAAAUAUUGCAUCAGCUUUGGAAUAUCUGCACUUUGGUUGUUCAACUCCAGUAAUUCAUUGUGACUUAAAGCCCAGCAAUGUAUUGUUAGAUGAUAAUAUGGUUGCUUAUUUGAGUGAUUUUGGCAUCGCGAAGCUCUUAAUUGGAGAAGAUCAGUCUAUGACUCAGACGCAAACACUUGCCACAAUAGGUUAUAUGGCACCAGGUUUGUUCGAUAUAAAUAUUUUCUAUUUCUUGCAAACUUCCUAAUAAGUUAUUUAUGUUUCAUAAUCUUCAUUAGAUGAGGAAAUUAUUAUUAAUGAUAUAUCUUACUAUGUAAAUGUUGCAAUUCAUAGAGUAUGGAAGAGAAGGACGAGUAUCCACAAAUGGAGAUGUUUAUAGCUUUGGAAUUAUGUUAAUGGAAACUUUUACCGGGAAGAAACCCACAGAUGAAAUUUUUAAUGGAGAAAUGACAUUAAAACAUUGGGUUAAUGAUUGGCUACCCAUUUCCACUAUGGAAGUUGUUGAUGCUAAUUUGCUAAGUCAGGAGGACGUACAUUUUGUUGCAAAGGAGCAAUGUGUGUCAUUUGUCUUCAAUUUGGCUAUGGCUUGCACUGUGGAAUCUCAUGAGCAGAGAAUCAAUGCAAAAGAAAUUGUAACAAAGCUCUUAAAAAUUAGAGGCUCAUUACUUAGAAAUGUUGGAGGCAGAUGUCUAAGACAAUCAAAUUUAAAUUGAUUCUGCCCCUCCAUUGCUUGCUAUCCUUUUCAGAGACUUGAACGGUCAUCCUUCAUACCAGUUUUGUUGAUAUGUUUUGUUAUUGCUCUUGCUCAUGUUUGUUUCUCUAUUUCUUUAAUUUGCAUGCAUGUAUUUUUCAUUCUCUUUUAUGUCCUCCCCUAAUUAGACGUAUCCUUUUUAUGUUUAUUCAAUAAAGCUUCUCUAAUACUAUCGAGGUUCAUCAAAAGAAAAUUUUAAAUUAAUUUUUCUUUUCUAUGUUAGAUAAUGAAAUUCUAAUCUUCAUAGUGAAUAACUUCAAUAAUAAAGUGUAAGAGUAUUAGUAGUUAUGGUUGUUUUCUGAACCUGAAGUCAAGAGCAAUUUAACAGCAACAAACAAGUCUCUUGUAUUAUAGGCAAAAUUCUUUUCAUUAAUCUUAUUUGUCUACAUGUUCUCCUAUUUUCUCCAUUAAUCUUCGCUCAAGGUUUCAUGCUUCCUCUUUGAUAAAGAAAAAUAUACUUGCGAAUAUUUCAAUUUGACAUGAGAGACAGUUUUGCCAACCAUUUGAUAAAAUAGCUAUGAGUGGAGCUUUCAAUCAUUACCUCCACCAAAAUCCUUACAACGCCACUUUUAAAUUUUAUUUUUUAAAAUACAUUCAGUUUAAUUUAAAAAAAAUAAAUCCAUUUGUUAAAUUUAAUCUUUUUCUCAUAAAUUUCAACCUAAAAAAUAAAUUUCUUUUAAAUUUUUAUUAUAAAAUACUUACAAGUUCUAAACUAUUAAAUUAUUUUCUUCUUAUUAUAUUGUUUAUAUCUUCAUAACUCUAAACUCCUAUAAUUUCUUAAAAAACAUUUUUUAAUUUAAAAUAUAAAUAUAAAAUAUAGAAUGGAGUGAGUAUAAAAAAACUUGUUAAAAUAAUAAUUCUUUUAAGUAUUUAACUGAAUUUUAAAUUAAAAUAAGAAAUAAAUUAAUUUUUGGGAAAUAUUUAACCUACCCCAAAUAAAUUGACAUUUUGCACCGCGUCCCCAAAAAAUUUGAUUUGUUGCACCGCGCCCCCAAUUCCGUUAUUUUCUCAGUUAAGUUUAACUGUGAGACAUUAAAAUUGGAAGUUUAUUCCUUAAAUUACUUUUAAUGGGAAUUCUCUUUAUUGCAAUUGAAAUAAAAAUCUUAAAAAGUUAAAGGAAAAAUAAUUGUGGUGACAAUGUACAUGUAAUAAGAAAUUUUUUUUUAUUGCAAUUGAAAUAAAAAUCUUAAACAAAUUAAAGGAAAAAUAAUUGUGGUGACAAUGUACAUGUAAUAAGAAAUUUUUUUUAUUGCAAUUGAAAUAAAAAUCUUAAACAAAUUAUAGGAAAAAUAAUAGUGGUGACAAAUGUACAUGUAACAAGAAAUUUUUUUUAUUGCAAUUGAAAAUUAAAGGAAAAAUAAUAGUGGUGACAAUGUACAUGUAACAAGAAAUUUUUUUAUUGCAAUUGAAAUAAAAACCUUAAAAAAAUUAAAUGAGCUAAAAAAAUUUCAUAAAGAGGGGUAUUUUUGUCAUUCAAUCAAAAGUUAGACGGAACCGUUAGAAAUAACUGAAAAAUUAACAGAAUUGGGGGCGCGGUGCAACACAUCAUUUUGUUUGGGUGUGCGGUGCAAAAUGUCAAUUUAUUUGGGAGUAGGUUAAAAAUUUCCCUAAUUGUUUUUAUUAGUUAAGUAAUUUUCAAUUGAAAAAGAGCUUUAUGAGUAAUAUUAUUGAAAUAUGAUUAAAAUUCUUAUGAAUUAAACAUUUUCGUAUAAAUACUAGUGAUAAUUAUAGAGAAAGUACGAUGAAGUGAAAAAACUUAAAUAUAAAUACUCUAGUAUAAUUUUACACAUGCAACUUAUGAACCAAUGAUCUUUAGAGCAUCAUAAAAUUGUUUUAACACAAUUAAUUGGUUUGAAAAAUUGCCAAUAAUGUCUACAGUGGGAUUUAAAAGAUUAAACUACAUAUAUAAGACAUGAUAUCAUUUAAGACGGCUUACAGAUUAUGAGAAAUAUUUUGAUCUUCUAAAUAUUUAAUAUGUCAAUUAGACUGAGUCUAUGCAAUAAAAAUUUCAAAUAAAAAAACCUUUUAUUUUGUUUUAAUCAUAAGUGUGAUCUUAAUUAUUAAAGUCAUUUAAUGUCCAUUACUUAUUCAUUUUUUUAAUUACCUAAAUGACAUUGAAAACGCUACUCAAUAUUAAUUCAUUCAAAUGUUUUGUUUUAAGGUAAUCGGAAACUACAAAUGAAACAAAUACUUGAAAUCACAAACGGCCUAAAAAUAGAUUUUCAUUUUUCAAUGUUGCAGUGACUUUGAUCUUGAUAUUGAAAAUUUAUUUGUAACUUAUAUAAAGGCCUCAAUUUUAUCAUAAUUGGUUAGUAAGGCUAUGUAGGGAGCAUCGAUAAAUUUUGGGAUUGGAUUAUAUUUUUGGAAUUAAAAAAUUAAUUUCAUCCAAUGUUAUGUUUAGCUGUCAGGACUAGCAACUUAAUCUAAAAUUAUUGAAAUUAUUAAUCUUUUAUACUAUAAUCUUUUCGUUCCCACUUUAAAUAUUAUUGGUAACUUAAAUCAUUUUUUAAAAUUAAAUAUAAAAAUUAAUUUAAUUUAAUCUAAAAAUCAUUUAAAUUAAAUAUUAACAUUAAUUUCAUAAUUUUUUUACCUAGAAUUUUAUACCAUAUUAAAUACUAAAAUUAUAUUCGAUAAUGUAUUAUCAUUUAUUUAAGGGAAAAUAUCCAUCGUCCACCCGUUUUUUUCAACUUUUUCAAAAAUACACAAUUCCUUCUUUUUUUGGCUGGAAUCCACCUAAAGUUAAAUUUGUUUCACUUUUCCACUUCCGUUUGGAAUCCGUUAAGAAAACUAACAGAAACUUAAAAAAAUGACCAUUUUACCCCUUAAAACGAAAAUUACAAUUUCACCUUAAAAAUUGCCAAAAAUAAUCAAAUUAAAUCUAAUUAUUUUCCCCAUCAGUCAAUAAAGAAAUUAAUUGUACAACCAUCAAAUGCAGGUUUUUUUUUUAAAUAUGUCUGUAAUUAAAAUGCUAAAUUAUAGCAGUAAUAUUAAAAAUAGCCCAAUCUCGCAAACCAUCAAUUGAAUUUAAGAUAAGUAGAGUUUUAUUAUUCAUUGAGUUAUAAUCUCUAGUAGUUAAGAUUUUUUUAUACUUCAUUAACGUACCAAUAAUGAUAUUCAUCAUUAAAUCUAAUUAUUUUUGGCAUUUUUAGGGUGAAAUUGUAAUUUUUGUUUUGAGGGUAAAAUGGUCAUUUUUUUAAGUUUCCGUUAGUUUUCUUAACGGAUUCCAAAAGGAAGUGGAAAAGUGAAACAAAAUGUAACUUUAGGUGGAUUCCAGUCAAAAAAAAGAAGGAAUUGUGUAUUUUUGAAAAAAUUAUAAAAAAUGGGUGGACAAUGGAUAUUUUCUCUUUAUUUAAUAAAUGUUUAGGUUUUAGUAUGUUAUAUUAUUAUUUAAAUUAAUCUUGUAAUUUUAAUAUGGGCAAAUUAGAUAGUCCAGUGAAUAAGAGACUGAUUCCCAACCAUCCUAAGAAUUAGUCUCUCAUUUUUUAUUUCUAAUUUGAUGUGGGUCCUGUUAUUUCGAUUUCAAUUCUUACAUUUAUUUGUGAGACAAAACUAUGGUGCAACUGUGGUACAAUUAGAUCCAGCCACAGUUGUCACCAUAACUAGAUCCACAAUUACACCAUAACCGGGCCCUUAUUUGUGAAGUAAAAUGGUGUUAAUAAUUUUGAUUUCCAAUUCGAGAAGUAAACACGUCAUAAUAUUUUUUUAGAUGCUUCUAUGGCAUAAUCUCAUUGGGUCCAUUUUUGUUCACGCCUUAGAUUCAGCUUCAAGAUUCAAGACUCAAUUUGAAGCAAACACAACUACAAAACAAAUAUAAUAAGCGUUAAUAAGCCUGUGGCUGACUAGCUGUGGCCAAGCAAAUGUAACUCAUAGUGACCGAAUCAUAUCUUAUUAUCUUAUGCCAUAGGCAAAUGCUAUGUUACAAUUAAUGUAACAUACAUACUCAACAACAACCACACAAAUUGUGUGGGCUCAUCAUUUGUGUGGUUAUUAUUGAGUGUGUAUGUUACAUUAAUUGUAACAUAGGGGCUCCCUAUGCCAUAAGCUAAACAAUGUUCCCAUUCCAUGUGUCACUCUCUGACCAAUCCCGAACUUUCUUCAUAUUUCCAAAGAAACCCUCACCAAGUCAAGAUAAUUACUUUCACUCUACUCAUAUAAAUACUGUCCUCGAUUCGACUGAUGUCUGAUGACGACAUAUCCUUAGUCUUUAUUUAAAAGGGGAAAUUAUAAAAAAUUCUCCUUGUUCCCUAAAAAUCUAGGGUUUCUCAAGAAUCGCUAAACCUAGAUCCCAAUCCUUCAAAAUCUCAAUUUAACCUCUCUAGGGUUUCAAUUGUCGAGGAUUCGCUUCAAAAUUUAGUAUUUUUGGGGGAUUUUGCUUGUCUCGUAUCCUCCAAUUGUUGUUCGG
rnacentral:lncRNA from 1 species